rnacentral:lncRNA from 1 species
AAGCCCAUGUUCGUUGCUGUUCUUUCUUGUUUAAGAGGUGAGUGCAUGACCAAGGCUUAUCUAAGCAUGUUUGAUCAUUGUUUUGGGUGCUUUGAUGAUUGUUUGAUUGAUUUCUUUGCUUGAUUGAUGUGUUGAAUGAUCCCUGAGAAACCCCUUGGAAAGUCGUUCAUAUCAUGGACGUAAUUUGGAGAGGAAAUCCAGUGAGAAACGCAGUUGGAGCGUCUGCAGAGAGUCAGUGUCGAUCGACACCAGUGGUGGCUGUCGCUCGACACCAACGUUUCGUGUCGCGAGGAUAACUGCGACUCACGAAUGGAGUGUCGAGGCCGGUGUCGACCGCGAGGUUCUACAGCGAGUGUCAAUCGACACCAGUGGUGGGUGUCGCUCGACACCAGUGGUGGGUGUCGCUCGACACCAACGUUUUGUCUCGCGAGGAUAACAACGACUCACAAAUGGAGUGUCGAGGCCGGUGUCGACCGCGAGGGUCGACAGCGAGUGUCGAUCGACACUAGUGGUGGGUAUCGAUCGACACCGACAGUUAGUUGCGAUUCUAGUAUGUCUUUUAUUGGCUGUUUGGUUCUUUUCCUUCAAUGAUGGUUGAUUGUGCUUAAAAGUACAGCCAGUGGUGGGAUGAUUGCCUCACUAAGUAUUUAUGAAAUACUUAUGCAUCUCUUUCUGUUAUGCAGGUAAAGCUAAAGAGUGAUCCGUGGUAUCAUGGCGAGGAGAGGAAGAUGAUCUAUGCGCUCAUUGUUGAUUUAGAUUAUUGCUGUAUUUGUUAAGGUGUUAGAAUGGAUUUUAGAAACAAGUUAGGAUGAUCAUGUUUUGGAAUAAUGUUUGGUUCAACUUGCUGGUUAAAUGGAAUUGUUUUAUUGGAUUUUUGGUUAAGUCUUCCACUGGUUAAGGUUGAUGAUUUGCUUUAAUGAGAUUGCUUGGUUUAAUUGAUUUAAUUUGAUUAGAGCCGGUUUAGCUGGUUUAGAUGCUUUGAGUUUAAGAUGGGUUAAUCCGGUUUGCAUGAUAUAUAAAAAAAAAUGGGAUGGGUUCUUUCAGUGGUAAACCUUUGGGAGAGAACUUGCUCUUGUCGCGAGUUCCAGAUACUGACGAUACCAGGUUCCUAUGCCAUUGCCGCUGUAAUUAAAGAAGGGGUAAGGGUGGACACUUUACUGGGAGUGUCGCAUACUGUGCCAAAUCUAAGGUUCGCUUAUGCGGACAUGAUAAUGCCAGUCCUCGACAUGGCAACUCUCGCACCUUCCCCCAGUGAUGUAGGUGGUGGAAAGUUAGCCCCUCCCUUUGUGAGGAUGCCGCCUGGGCGCCCGAGGAAGAGACGUUUAUUCUCACGUGGAGAAAUAAGGGUAAGUAAACUUCGUUAAAAUGGCUGUUAUCAGAAAAUAAGUAGGAUAUACAAUAACUUCUGUUUAAUCCUGUAACUAUAAACAGAUAACAACCCGGAGAAGAUGCACGAGAUGUCGUUCACUUGGUCACAACAGGGCAACGUGCCGGGGUCCGGUUCAGGUAACAAUAAUUGAGUCAUCAUUUUAUGUGAAAGUUGUAGAUCAUAUUACUAACUAUGCCGAAAACAGGGACCAUAGGUGGACCAAUAAAGUUUUUUGGCGACAGGUAGACCAAGCAACGUGUUUUUAGUUAUGUAGCAACAACGGAUGAAGGGAAGACGGUGGUAACAGUAAUUUUCUUUGUAUAUUCCAAAUAACAAAAUAAUUUUGAUUCAUUAUAAAAGCUAAACUGUAACAUAAGAAUAACUAUAAUUAAUUCGUAACCAUUCUUCAUGGUUGAUUGCAAGCAUUCGAUAAUUAUUUCUAAAAUGUGUUAGAGAAUAUGUUAUCGCAGUUAGUUACAUAAUAUCCAAACUGUUUCCAAUUAUCUAUUUUGACUACGUGUUUCCAAGUCAAAAUAAACUAAGCCCUAUCCACUUUUAUAUCAACCGAAACCAAUAUAUAAGUUGGACUAAUUACAAACGCUAAACCCUACCCACUAUGUGGUCAACCCAAACGUAAAUAUAAAUUAACUUAAUAACAUAUAUCUAAAUCCUAACAAAAAUUUGUCAACCCAAACAGAAAAAUAAUUUCAUAUAAUUACAAAUUAUAAACUCUAUCCACUACUAAAUCUACCGUACACUUAAUUACAGAAAUCUUAAACCUAACCAAACCAAUAAAUAAGUUCGACUAAUUACAAACGCUAAACCUUACCCACUGCUCGGUCAAGCCAAACCUAAAUAUAAACUCACUUAACUACAGAAAUAUAACCCCUACCAACAGUAGUGUCAACCCAAACUGAAAAAUAACAUCAUAUAAUUACAAAUUAUAAGCUAUAACCACUACAAAAUCUACCGUACACUUAACUACAGAAAUCUAAAACCUAACCUCAUUAAUGUGAACCCAAACUGAAUAAUAAAAUCCUUUAGUUACAUAACAUUAUUCAUCGUUGAUUGAAAGCAUUCAAGAACUAUUUUUAAAACGUGUUAUAUUAUCUGUUAUCACGCUAAGUUACAUUUUAUCCGUAAGUUUGAUUAAGAAUAAAACCGUAUAUAUAUAUAUUAUGCAGGAACUUAAAUAUAUAUCUUAAUUGAUAUCACUUUAACUAAAUAUUAAUAAUUAAAUUAUCUAGAUAAUGUUAUUUGUAUCUUGCUAACAAUAUGUGGGUCAUAUAAAGUAAAGCUUAUCCAGUAAAGGCUCGGUUCAGACUUAAGUAGACAAUGUUAACAUUCAGGUUUCAUGAUUAAUUCGGUUUAUAUAUAGUGAUGAAACAUUAUAUGGUGAGAACUCAUAACUAAAAUAGAAAACCGUUUGUCUCGAGAUUGGUAAAAGUAAAAAAAUAAUACAUCGGAUAAGUAAAAAUUUAUGGAACACAAGGGCGAACAUGUAACAAACAAUAUUAGUCAACCCCAGCGAGGAUAAUAGCAGAUAUAAAUUUCUUCAACUCGGGGUCAAGUUGCUCGACCUUCAAAUCAGCACACUCCUUCAAACCACCAGUGGCAUGUGCAUGUAUUAAAAAAAUGGACAUAAUGCCAGAAUCUGAAGGACACUGAACCUGCGGCAUCGUAGAUGGCCUGAAAAUGGUGAAAGGAUCUCUUAACCUCUUCCUUUUUCCAUACUCAACCCCGGCCUGUAUGAGAAGAUACGGAAGCAUUACAGAAAAGGGCUGAAGUUCAACGGAAAUUUCAUAGUCUUUCCUUAGUAGGAUAUUGCAAUCGAGAACAAAAAUGCGGCAACUGCAGAGGUCAAUGCAUAGUGACACCCAGAGCUUUUGAUCAAAAUUGAAGGGGGCAUAUAGAAAGUCAACUUCCGUGAAAAGCACUGCACGUCCACUGUCUCCAGCACCUAGUAGUUGUGCAACAACAUCAUCCGGAAAUUUAUAGUUGCCAAUGCACUUGCGUAAACCUUGGAAAUAGUCGAAACAACGAGGAAACAAACUUCGAGUCAAGCAAGUCUACAUGCAGUUUUUGCCCAUCUAGGUCCUCAGUCCGUAAUAAAUGGCGGCUAAACUUUAUCAAAGCAUCCAUGAUUUGAUCAAGAAGAUUUAAGCAAAUGAGUGUUUCGGUGGAGAUCAAAGAAUGUAAACAAAUUAGCUUUCAGGUAGAUCAAGAAAUAGUUAAGCAAAUGAAUAACAACCUAACCUUGGCUGGGAGGUGUUUUUUCCGUUCUAUGAUAUCAAAAACAUCUUUGUUCGAUAGAAAAGCUUCCCCACCAAGGUUUACCGAUCUUCCAAAGCAACAAGAAAAAGGACAUUCCCAUAUUGGUAAAACAGUGUUAAGAAUGCCAACGUAUAUAUGACUAUUUUAAAAUGCAAAAAUCAAACUGGGUUACCUAGCCCCCUUCAGCUUUUUCAUUGAGUUUUGGAAACGUUCAUGAGGAUCAACAUGACUUGGAUCCUUAUCAGCCGGUGAAGGGUGUCCCACCAAUAAUUUAGUCUUCUUGUCGUACUGAAAAGGACCAUCCAACUUCUUUGAAACUUUCCUCAGACUUUUACUCCUACUCCCUGGCACCACAGGGGCUACCUUUAAUAUGGACGGCAGUUUAUUCGGUAAGAAAAGUGGUAGGCGGUAAAUCUGAAAAUAACCAGUAACCGCAAUAUUAGCUUGAUUAAAAAAUGUUAACCUGUUCGUCGAAACACACUUUGUUUCCUCUCUGAUCGGAAGAAGUAGGCAUCGACAACUUCUACAGAAAAAUAACGAAUAAAAAUUACCAAGCCACAAACUUUGCAGAAACUUAGUCUUGAGAAAACAGAAAUCCCAUAGUCGUGGGAGGGAAGAGAUAUUAUCAUUUCCAUUAAGCCAAAAAUGUUUGGAUUUAGAGAAUAAAAGGACAAAUAAAUAUGACUAAACAGGAAUAAUUGGUGAAACUAAACAACAAAAACAAGGACCAAAAUCUCUCACGCCCUUUGACUGAAGUCUUUAUACUUUCAUACCCUCCUAUGUUCUAACUACCCUUUGACCAUAUCUUGACUUAAAUAAGGAUAUAUUUUGCCCCUCUUAUUAUUUGAUUUAAUUUAAACAAAAAAAGAAAAAGAAAAAUGGACAUGGACCCCACUCGAAAAUCUUCAUCUUCUCUCUCCUUCAACCACGAUGUCCUUCAACCCAAUCCUCCAUAGCUUAAUCGACGAGCUCCUCCUCCAUUAAACUCCAUCGUCUCUCUCAUGAACACGAGAAGCAAUCCAACAACUGAGGUAAUACACUUAUUCAUACCCGUUGUUAAAUUCAUAACUUGUUGGCAUGAAGUGGAGUUGUUGUGGAUUGUAUUUGUUCAUCCCUAUUGAACUAUUCUCAUUGUAGAUUUGGAUUUGAUCCGAUUUUUCUUAUCCUCAUUGUCAAUUAGGGAUAUGAGUCGAAUUGGGUCGACUAUUUUUCAUUAAGUGUGCAUUGUAACAGUUCAAUCGAAUUGAAUCGUAGGAAUGUAUUCGAAAAUUAGUAGUGAUACGUUGUAGUACAACUGGUAGAAGUUGGUAUAACUAUUCGGGAACAACUUGGGAUAACUAUAAUGGUAAAACUAGUAUUACAAAUGGUACUCUUUGGUAUAACUUGGUAUAACUAUGAACACGACAGAGAUUAUAAUGUUAGUUUUCCUAUUCUAUUUCAGGGCACAAUGAAUAAAAACCAUCAAAAAAUCAUAAUAUAUGAUUAUGGGGGAUAUUAUGCAACAAGAGAAAAUGAACCAAGAUGGAAUUCAAGAGAUAAAGUUCAUCAAUCUCUUAAAAUGGUGAACAAGAUAUGUCGGAAGGCGAAUGUUGAUGAAACAACGACUGAGCUGAAAUUGAGUUACGUUCCCAAAUCAGUGGAGCCUAAGAGACCAAUAUACAUAUUUGAUGAAGAUGAUGUUAUGUGUUAUAUGGAUAUGAAUGAAGAUCAUUUCGAAGUUUUGCAUGUCGAAGUCGUAAAUCAGGGGUAUGAGAAGAGUCGAGAAAGUGUAGGUUGUUCACUCAAUGAGGAGCAUAUUUCAAGUAGUAGAGCGACAGGUGGGACCAUGUUCUUUGACGAAAUCGAGCCGUUUGAACGUCAUGAGAUGGUGGAAAAUAGUGAUGGGAGAGAUGGGAACAUGAUUCGUUAUGAAGAACAAUCCGAAGAACGAGCAAUAGUAGAAGAUGGCACAAAUGUUGUUGAGAUAACACCUUCUGAGAUCACACCAUCCGAGAAACCACCUGCUGCAGAGAUUACACCGGUUGUAAACCGUGAGUGGGAAGAUGGUUUGGAUGUGACUAUCCGACAAGAAUUUGUAAGCAAGCAAGCAAGCAAUUAAAGAUUUAGUUGAAAAAGUUGCGCAUAUGGACUGUUUUGAGUUUGUUAUACUAAAGUCGGAUCCUAUGUUGUUUGUGCUUAAAUGCAAGUGGGCUUUACGAGCAGCAAGGAAUGGAAUGCAGACAGUUUCUCGGUCAGAACUUACACUAAGAUACAUACAUGCUUACGGUCAGAAACAAGUACAAUGAGUAAAAAAGGAGAGGCACAUCUCAUUUAAUUGCUUCUGUUUUGCGUGAAGAUUUCCCAUGUCUGAUAGACACUCCAACUCCAAAAAAUCUCAUCCCUUUGGUUCAAUCAAAAGUUGGUAUCAAAGUGUCAUACUCAACCGCAAAUAGAGGGAAAAAGCUAGAUGCAGCAGACCUUCGUGGUGCCGCAGAGGAUAGUUAUAAGUUGGUUUAUUGUUAAUUGCACAUGUUGGAGAAGAUGAAUCCAGGUACAGUUUCAUUUGUCGAAUUGGAUGAAGCCCAGAGGUUUAAAUAUUUGUUCUUCGCCUUGGGGGCGUGCAUUAAAGGCUUCGAUUCCAUGAGAAAGGUGAUCAUUGUGGAUGCAACCAGUAUUAAAAAUGUAUAUGGUGGAGUACUAAUCAUGGCUUCAGCUCAAGAUCCGGAUCACCACCAUUAUCCUAUUGCAUUUAGUGUAGUUGAUAGUGAGAAUAAUGCAAGUUGGACUUGUUUUUUCAGUAAAUUGAAAUAAGUUAUACCAGAUUGUACUGAGUUGGUCUUCUGUUCUGAUAGACAUCAAAGCCUAUCACGGUGUGCAUGUGCAUUACUAACACCUUCUCAAAAAAAUUCCUUAAGAACAAGAAUUGCCUCAAAAGCAAGAACCUACACACAACACAAAAUCGUGGACUUAAAAACUCAAUUAUACCAAGUUAUACUAAGUUGUACAUUUUCAUAAUUCAAGAAUUACCUCCAACAAAAUGAUGAAACUAGGAAAGACCCAUUGGUUUGUGCUCAAAACUCCACCAAAGUGGUUCAUACAAUGAAAGAUGUCCUUCAUGUUCUCAUCAAAAGCCAAACAACCCCAAGGGAACGUUUUACACAUGUCCAAAUCAUCAAUAGCCCUAAGAAAGAAUGGCUCUACAGAUGGUGCUUACUUCCCUAGGUUCUUCUUCCCUAUGAGCACACUACACAAGAAAUAGAGGACCGCCAUCUUCACUCGAUCUGGAGAAGCUUUCUUCAUCGAUAAAAGCUUUGCUUUGACAUCAUCAUAUCUUAUUGUUGUGCCAACACCAAAAUGCUUACCAACAAACUCAGUACUGCCCAGAGAUUCCAUGUCCCAGGGAUACUCAUGGCAGUAUAAGCCAGAAAUCAGUGCCAUUUCUUUGAGAGAAUAUCUGAUGGGAGUACCAUUUACUACGAACCAACAUUCCUCUAUUUCUCUAAAGACGCCGUCCAGAGAAGCAACAUCCACAUACCAAUCAAUUUGUGAUUGACAUCCUUUGGCAUAUGGAAGAAGUGCUUGAAUUGUGGGUGUCCUAGGAACCAGUCCAACUCAUGGGACUUAAGGUGAGCUCUCAAGAAGUUCACUGUCCUUGUGAUAUAACACUUAGCAGAUAGCUUCAAUGGCUUUAUGUACUCGGACAGAUUGAAGUACAUGUUCAGCGGUUGCAUUACUUAUGUUCCCUCCUCGGAUUCCUCCUCGGACUCCUGCAAAACAACAUAGUUAUACUAAGUUUUCCCAAGUUGUACCUUUUGAAUUUCGAAAUGAAAUAAACUAGUUAUACCAAGUUCUCCUAAGUUGUACUAUUCUAUCCAAGUUGUACUAUUCUAUCCAAGUUGUACAUACCGUUGAAUCCCAAAAUAUGAUUUCGGAUUUGACUCUGUUUCUUCUGAAUCAUCUCGACGAGUCCCAUCUUCUUCUACGAUUGCAUCUGUUGCCUUUUCAACUUCACCUACUGGAUCAGUCUCUUUGUUAAAGCUUACAUUCUUUAUACGCACCAUUCUCUUCCCCUUCAAACAAAACCAACAACCGUAAAUUACAACAUACUCGAGUAAUAAACGAAAUCAACACCUAAAUAGAAAAAACCUAAAUCGAGAAAACCUAAAUCGUUAACAUUCAAGCGGAUCUAACAUCAAAUACCCAAAGAAUUAUCGAUUUUGACUUACCUUAUCUCGGGUUGUCCUUAGUUAUACUCGAACUGCUUGUGAUUUCCAGAUUUUUCAAAACACUUAGGGUUUGGGGGACUUUUGAUUUUUCAAACGAUGAAGAGGAAGACAAAAGGGUAAAAGAUCCGAUGGAUAUCUGAUACUGAAAUGGGUUUUCGAAUAUAGAGUGGUUGGGUCUGUCAUUUUUUUAUUUUAGUGAGGAUGAGUUUUUAUUUUAACCAAUUUUUCGAUUUUUUAAAAUAAUUUUUUUUUCCUUUUGGUCAAACCCUUAGAAGAAUAAGAAAGUCAGUCAAAGGACACCAUAGAUUUUAAUCCCAAAAACAAACUUGUCGUGCACCAAUCUGCGCAGUAUCCUCUGCGGGUGCAUUCAUAACCUGCAGGUAUGUUUGAUUAUGACCAUCCGAUAAGAAAUGCAAAUUAAUCUUUACCCAUUAAUAAAAUAAAAGAGACAACUUUUUUUAGAUAAAUAUUAUUUUUAUUUUGAAAAUUAAAUUAUGUAAAAUUAUUGUUAACCCAUUUGAAAUAAAAAUAGGGCAUAAUCAAAGAUAUACCAAAAUAAAAUAGGAUAUAUCCGAUAAAACUCACUUUAAUCAGUAACUCCAGUUGAUAGCACAAGCCAUUGAGUCAAAAUAACAAUAUUCCCAAGAGAAAUCUUUAAUGUUCAACCCGUGCAAAAGUAAGUUCCAAAAAAUUGUUAAAUCUAAACUUAUCAACUAACCAUGUUGAUAUCUUCCUCCACAGGGAAAGCUUCACCACCACCCAGACUCUCACCUGCAACAGAUGGACCUCCAGACACCUAAGACAUUGGUCGGUAUGACAAAUUUUAUCACGAUAACAGGGACAAAGGCAUGGUUGGGUGAUUUAUACUAACCCCAUCUCCUUCAACACCUUCCGAAAUGGCUGAGAGCGAAGUUCCUGGCACAGAACUUUGGAUAACACCCACGCCAGCGUCAUCCAUUAUCUGAAAGCCAACAAAAAGAUUGACAUAACCUUGUAAGGUGAAUAUAUAAAAAAAAACACACUUAGAUGAAUGACAACUAAUUAGUAAGGCACUUACAACAACGGUGUAAGGGUUAAGUUCAUCAAGUUCGUCAAGUGUAAUGUCCUUAACAGAAAAACUAAAAAAUUUCACAAUCGAUAGACAUAGAAAAAAAACAGUUUUUUUGCGAAUUUUAGGACAUCUUAAUAUUCUAGAUAUACUACUGCUGACACGUCCAAGUCUCAUAUACUGAUUGAUUUAAUAUUAAAUGACCCACAAGUUAACUCACAGAAUAUAUCAUCCUAGAGUCAAAGCAAAUGGAUAUUCACUAACCUUCAAAACAUCGUGGGAGGGUUCCGAUCUGUGACACGCUAGCUGGUCCGAAAUAUUUUCACAAAACACCUAUUUAAUGUCCUCAGCCAUUUCAACAUGUUCCUUUACAACUUUGGGGUAGUGUGAAGUGGGGACUAAGAAACCAUCAACGAUAGCCAAACACGCAUAGAUCCGCCGCAUGUCUUUGUCCUCUACAAUUUUUUUCUUCAACAUAGUGAUGACCCGGUCCACCGUCACAUCCUCUUCUAAACCAAAAAGGGUACUAUAGAAAGGGAUUUUUUUCCCAGCGGUGCCUUUACGCUUUCUCUUUUGCAUAUUUGGAAACCGAUUACAGUUCAAACCGGUGACAAUCUUGAACUCUGUUAGUGAGAACCAAACAGGAGUACCGCCAAAAAUAACCCAGAUUUCGUAGGGUUUACAAACCUCUAGCUGCCGGGAAAGGAGAAAAAGUCCAAAGGAUGCGGACCAGGCAGGCUUGUUAGGGAACUCCAUCAAACUGUGAAACGGUGUUCUACUUAACCACUAACGUUCUUCUUCAUCAAGCACAUAAAAAAUCAUUGAGAGGGUCUUCAUUUUAUUGUAGACAUUAAACCUUUCGCCUAGGGGUUCUUCUCCAAAGGCAAUGAUGCGGUUGGGAAGAUCAAGAUCCGUCAUCUAUCAAUUUUGAAUACCCAGAAACGGUUAAGAUUUACCAUGGAAAAAUCAAAAACAACUAACCAAACACGAAUUAACAACCAGCAAUAACAUUGUGAUAGCAGAAUACUAACCUUUGGGAGGAAAUUGGAAACUAUUUUUGUAAGAAAAAAGCGAUGAAACGAUCUCAGACCUAUGCGAGAUUCACCGAAACGAUGUAAAUAAAACAAAGACACAGCAAUGAAGGGGUUUUCGGGGUUAAGUGAAAGAGAUAAGCAAUCGAAGCCAAUAAACUUUAAAUGAAGACAGAGAGACGUGACUGUUGAUAUGAAAAUAAAAAGAAGCACUGAUUCAAAACUAAAUAUCAUUAUAUUUUUGAUUUUUUUGAGAACAAAAUAAAAAAUAUAGAUUUUUUAGCUGCAAAAUAAUUUAGACAGCCAGCUACCCUAUGAUAUAUAGCUAUAGGGUGUUAAGGGUCCGAUAAGUUGCUUGCUAAUAAAAAAAUUAUGGGAGGCGAAAACUCAAUUUUUAUUUUAUCUAGGGCCACAGAUUAUGGUUUCCCAAAAUAAAUUAAAGUUUCUCACUUAUUCUAAGUUCUUUUUUAUUUUGUCAACAACUUUCAUAUAAAAGACUCAAAUGAGCCAAUAAGAGGGAAUAUUGUUUACAUAGAGACAAAGUAGCGGUUCAACACGCACUCGGCGUAUCCGCUUGAAUAGUAGAGCAACGAGAAACUUUUAAUAAAGAAAAAGAAGAAAACGCUUCCUUAUAUGCUUGGAUAGGGUCCUCUUUGUAUGCUCGGCUGUUGUAAGCUCAAGCUUAGAUUCUGCUUGUGAGCGUAAUGGUAUAAGCAUGCCUGACUGUGAGACCGAUUGGUCGAAUCUUCUCUAGAUAUGUCGCGAACGCUGGUCAUUCUGCUGGGGAAGACACCAUCUCCACCAAAUCUGAUAGUCUGUCAUGAAAGUCACUUCACUUCGGGAUGCAUUGAUCAUACACUUCGUCGCCCAUACAAAUGAUUCGACUUCCUUCUGUAGCGGUGAAAGGCUCCUUCAAAGAUUAGUCGCACCCAUUGUUGAGAGACCUCCCGAUGAAAUGCAGCACCAGCCCACUCCGGCAAAGUUAUCGUCGACUUUCCAGGAGCCAUCAAUGAAACACGUAUAACUUGUAGCACUUAUACCCUCCAUCGACGGAGUUGGUUGUCUUAGGAUCCUAUGAGUUUCCGCGAUUGAAACCUCCGUCUGUGCAACUGUCCAUGAACAAGCUUCAUUUUAAGCCAGGCGCAGCACUUUCCUAGGAUUCUUAUCUUCAUUAUCAAAAACCUUUUCAUUCCUGGCCUUCCAAAUGUAGCACAAAAUCCAAGGAUACAUUGAAAUAUCAACCCCAUUGGAUUUCUGCCAAAAUAAAUAAUCCAUAUAAACAUAAAUCGAGUAUAAUGGAAACUCCCUAAUUACCGUGGAUAUUGGCGAUAAAGCACAUGCCUUAAACAUGGGCUUUUCUUUAAUUUCUAAAAACUUAAGUAAAGAAACAAAUCUCCUCUAAUGUUAAACAUGGUUGAGAUAUUUGAUUUGACCAAUAUUGGACAAUGUUCCAUUACCAUUACGGUUUUACCAGGAAAACCCAUUGGGAUAAAACCGUUAUGAAGGAAAAAGAGUACAACACGUAUUACUCCCCCUCAUUUGAAGUUCACUGAAGAUCUUUCAACAGGCGCGUGAUUUAUAAGUUUCUUGAACGUUGAGGUUGGAAAAGACUUGGUGAAUAGAUCCGCUGAAUUGUCACAUGAUUGAAAUUGUUCCACUUGGACCUCUCCAGCUUUCUGUAAUUCACUAGUGAAGAAGAACUUUGGCAAGAUAUGCUUCGUCAUAUCUCCUUUGAUAUAUCCAUCUCUAAGCUGAGCUAUGCAGGCAGCAAUAUCUUCAUACAUUAUUGUUGGUGCUGCCUUCCCUUCGGUCAUCCCACAAUCAAUCCUAAUAUGCUGAGUCAUGGAUCUCAACUAAACACAUUCAGGCUGGCCUCAUGCAUCGCCAAAAUUUCAGCAUGGUUGGACGAUGUAGCUGCGAUUGUUUGCUUUUGAGAUCGCCAAGAUAUUGCCGUUCCACCAUGUGUGAAAACAUAACCAGUUUGUGAUCGACCAUUGUGCAGAUCCGAGAGAUAACCUGCAUCAGCAAAACCAACUAAUCCCUCUUUGGGUUGGUUAGUAUAAUAUAGACCCAAAUCUUUCGUUCCUUGUAGGUAACAAAGAAUAUGUUUGAUCCCGUUCCAGUGUCUUUGGGUCGGACAUGAGCUAAAUCUUGAUAAGAAAUACACGGCAAAACAUAUAUAUGGCCUAGUGUGGCUCGCUAGAUACAUUAAAGCUCUUAUGGCACUAAGGUAUGGCAUUUACGGACUGAAUGGAUCACUAUCCAAUAAGAGGCUUCUCACCACCAUUGGGCCUGGUCAAUGGGCGGGCCUAAUCCUUAUUAAAUUUCCUUGAGUACUCUUUCAGUAUAUGCCAUUUGAUGCACAAGGAUUCCAUUAUUCAUGUACUCAAAGUUGUAAUCCCAAACAUGACUUAAUUAUUGCCUAGGUCUUUCAUUUCAGAUUCUUUCUUUUUAUAUUCAACUAUUUAGUCGAUUACCUAGAGGUUUAAAUCAUUCAUAUACACUACUUAUGAUUACAAAUCCUUUGUUUGCAAACCUCUUUGUGAAAAAACAUGGACUGAUGGGAUCAUUUAUAACCUUACAUACGCCCAUUUAGUCUAAGUCCAUGAAAGGAUUUGUCGAGCUUUAUGCAGUGUUGUUCUCGAGAACCUUUCUUAUCUUUGAGCUCAAUACCCUCUGGUAAUCUCAUAUAUUAUCCAGUGAACUUGUAUAAAUAUGCAGGCAUUACAUCCAUUAGCCUCGAAUCAAGUCUUUCUCUUUUAUAUAUAUAGCCAGACUUAUCAAAAAUUUAAAUGUCUUAGCAUCCACCACAGGAGAGUAUAUCUCCUCAUCAUAUAUUCCUGGUCUCUGUGACAAUCCUUGUGCAAUAAAUCAUGCUUUAUAUCUCACGAUUUCACCAUAUUUAUUUCUUUUCCUCACAAAGACCCAUUUAUGUCCAACUGGCUUUAUAUCGAGAGGUGUCUGGAUUAUUGGACCAAAUACAUUCCUCUUCUUUAAUGAAUUUAAAUCCACGUUUAUGGCUUCUUUCCAUUUAUUCCAAUCUGAUCGUUGGGUGCACUCUAUUAUGGACGUGGGUUAUAGAUCCUCGUUUAUCUCUUUAAUUUCAAGUGCUACCUUGUAUGCAAAUAUAUCAUUGAUGUCGACAUCCUUUUGGUUCCAUCUUAUCCUGGACAUAACAUAAUUGAUCGCGAUCUCAUUGUUAUCAAGAACUUCAUCAGUACUUUGAAGCUUGGCGUCCCAAGCCUCAUUGUUAGGUAUCUGAGGUUUGGUUAUGUCUCGGGUAACCACGGUUUUCUCAACCUCGGAUUCAUUCUUAGCACCUUUCUUUAUUUUUCGAGGGUUUUUAUCUUUGGAACCUAUUGGUCUACCUCGUUUCAUACGGGCUUUAGACUCUGUAGCAACCUCGAUUGUGUCCUUCUUGAACAUCAAUUCUUAUAGGUGCAUUCAUAGCGGUAUAUGUGACUUUGUCACUCUAUUUAGAUCAAAGGAAUCUGGGAAUUUUAUUAGCUAGCUUUUGUAUUAUCUUUUGGACUUCUAAUUCAUAUUCCAUAGUCCGAGGAUCUUGCCAUGAUAAAGAUGAUUGAUUCCAUGUAAUUUCCUUUACCAGCUUAUUAUUAUUAUCUCCCCCCCCCCCAUGAUGGUGGGUAAUUGGAUUCGUCAAAAUGACAAUCCGCGUACUUGGCCUUGAAUAAAUCAACCGGGUCGGCUCAAGAUACUUAUUUAUUAUGGGAGAUUCAUGUCCAACAUAUAUCCCCAUCCUCUUUUGAGGACCCAUCUUAGUUCUCUGUGGUGAAGCUAUUGGUAUAUAUACGGCACAUCCAAAUGUCUUAAGAUGGGAUAUGUCUGGCUCAUGACCCGUAAGUAAUUGUUUUGGGGAAUAUGUAUGUUCACUAGUGGUCUGAUGCAAAUUAAUUCAGCUGCACAUAAAACAACAUGUCCCCAAGCUCAGAUCGGGAAUUUUGAUCUCUUUAGCAACGGUCUGGCAAUUAGCUGUAUGCUUUUUAUAAAUGAUUCACCCAAACCGUUAUGUGUAUGUACAUGUGCCACAUAAUAUUCCACACUUACCCCCAUGGACAUACAAUAAGCAUUAAAAGCUUGGGACGUGAAUUCACCAGUAUUAUCUAGACAUAUAGUCUUUAAUCACUUUGACUGGUGAUGGCCUUAUAAUGAGUUUCCCUUAUGAACAUGCUACCCUUAUUUCUUUGGGAUAACUCUUAUUUCUUUGGGAUAACUCUUAUUUCUUUCAGUGUGUACCCAUUUGUAUUUAAUAUCAAUUUUCGCAUCAUACUUGAUCCGGGAUGGCCAAGCCGGUCGUGCCAAAGAGUGAAUCUCUUGGUAAACUCUUUGUUUACCGUGGCAUUAGAUUCUAUCACACUGGUCUUAGCACAGUAAAAUGUCUUUUCUACUUUCUUAUGAGAUUUUAUACUUUCUUAUGGCCUUUUAUACAUUCUUACGGCCUUUUAUACAUUCUCAUGGCUUUUAAUCCUUUCUUAUAAUCUUUUAUAUUUUCAUAUGGCCUUUAAUACUUCCUUAUGGCCUUUUAUACUUUCUUUCUUAUGGCCUUGGGCGUUUUCAAAUAUUAUUAGGAACUCUUUGUUUCUUUCGCCCUUAGUUUCAACAUGGAAACCAUUCAUUCAUAUUUCAAAAAAAAUAAUCAUAUAAACAAAUAAUAAUCAUAUAAAACAAUCAUGAGAAUCUUGAUGUCAAAAUUAUCUUGGUUAUUCUAGGCAAUCGGGAGUCUCAUAUGCCAUAAAAUCAUCCUUGCUAUGAUCGAAAUCAACUUCAUUAUCAUAAUGCACCAAAUGGGCUUCCGGAUUCUUCCCCUUGAUACUCUCUUGAUAGAGGUCAAUAAAAUGUUUGGGAGUCCGACAUGUCUUAACCCAAUGUUUCCCCAUCCCACAUCUAUGGCAAACUGAUUUUCUGGUCGGGUUUUACGACUUAAUAGAUGUACCACGGCCUCGGCCUCUACUACCGUGAUACCCGCGGCCUCGGCCUUGUCCUCGAUCGUAGGAGUGACAACGGCCACGUCCUUGCCAUUUUCCACGUCCAAAGCCAGAUUGAUUAUGCUCUUUUUGGACGUGGUUAACAUCAUUAGUCUCUUUUUACCAAUGCAACCGCAUUGGCUUCAGGGAGUGGGGCUGAUCCCGGAGGUCUCAAUUCACCAUUUCUCAUUAAUAACUCAUUAUUUUGCUCGGCGAGCAAUAAGCAUGAGAUCAUACUUUCAUAUGUUUCAAAGCCCUUUCACGUUAUUGUUGUUGCAACAAUACGUUACUUGUGUGGAAGGUAGAAAAGGUUUUCUCAAGCAUAUCCUUUCCGGUUAUCUCCUCCCCACACAGUUUCCAGAUAUAGAUUAUCUUAAACAUGGCUGAAUUAUAUUCAUCCACGGACUUGAGGUCCUGGAUUCAGAGAUUCCUCCAAUCAUACAUGGCCUUUGGUAAUAGCACCGUCUUUUGGUGAUCAUAUCUCGUUUUAAACUCAUUUCAAAGGUCAAAGGGAUUCUCAAUUGUCAAGUACUGAUCCUUGAGACUCUCCGCAAGGUAAUGGCGAAUAAUCAAUACUGCCUUAUAUUCAUUUCGGGCUCGUCAUUCUCAUUCACAAUACAUUCACCGAGCCCUUGAUAUUUUAGGAUAAUCUUAGUAUUCAGCGUCCAUUGUAAAUAAUUAUCUCCCGAGAGAUUUAAGGGCAGCAAAAUCCAAGUUAUUGAGUUUAGACAUAUGCUUAUUCUUAGGUUUCAUAAAACCACUCAUUACUUUGCCUGUUCCAACCGUUCGAUAGAGAGGUAGCCUGCGCAUCAGUUCGGGCGAGUAUAAACUCGCCGAGCCGCAUCCCCUUUUCUCCGAACAAUCAUCCCGGACAAGGUCUAUGCAUAUUCUCAUAUUCUCAUAAUCUCAUAAUCUCAUAAUCUUAUAAUCUCAUAAUCUCAUAUUCUCAUAAUCUCAUAAUCUUAUAAUCUCAUAUUCUCAUAUUCUCAUAUUCUCGUAAUCUCACAAUCUCAUAAUCUUAUACUUUCAUAAUCUCAUACUUUCAUGCCAAACGACAUUCUCUUUUCAUAUCAAAUAUUCAUGCGAUUUUAAGCAAGCAUCCUAGCAUGCGAUUUCUAUAAGAUCAAACACUCAUCAUGCCAUUUCAAGCAUAUAAUCUCAUGAUCUUAAGACUUUAGAAUUUAUCAUGCAAUUCUAGGUGUUCAUGUUUGAUCGAUUUUAUUUUAGAGAAAAAUUAAGGUGAUCAUGCAUUCAUAUUUGAUUUUCAUGUUAAUCAUAUAUUAGGAUUUCAUAAAUUCAUAUUAAUAUAAACAAGCAACAAUCCAUAUGAGAAACAAAGUUAUAAUCGAUUUUAGGGUUACAUGAAAAGCAGUCCAAAGAACAAUCUCAUAUUUUACGGUUUCAAAAUUUCGCAUGAAAAGCAGUCCAAACAACAAUCACAUGUUUUAGGGUUUUAUAAUUUCAUGUGCAAAGUACUCCAAACAACAAUUUCAUAUUUUAGGGUUUUAUAAAUUCAUAUGAAAAGUACUUCAAACAACAAUCACAUGUUCAAGUUUUCAUGGUUUUAAGAUUAUAAACAUGAAACAAUGGUUUUAGGGUUCAUGUUGUUUACCUCUUGAACACCUAUUGAUUUCUGAAUAGAUUUGGACCGGGAGCUAAAGACCUCGGUAACUCAAGCAAUACCCAGAAUCGUCGUGAACCUUCUUGGAGUAGCAAGAGAACGUCGAGCUUCUUAGGUUUAAGGUUUAGGGGCGAUUUUAGCUUUUAGCAUUUAGAGUUUAAAAAAUUGUGCUGAUAACGUGUUGUAAACUAAAGAGAAUAGAGAGAGAAUUGAGAUGCUUUAUUCAUUAGCUUAUGUUUCUUUAUAUAGAGAUUAAAAUACAAGGGGUGAUAAGUAAACUUUAAUACAACAAGGAAAAAAUUAAGCCUCCUCAACAUAGGACGGACCGGACUUGUCAUGGGCCAUGCCGGACUGGGCUUGUUAUGUAAUGUAUUUAUAAUAAUAACUAGGUUUUGACCCGCGCUACAGCGCGGGGGAAAUAAUUACUUAUAUAUAAAUUUUAACGGAUUAUUAAAAAUAAUUUAUUUAACCUUUUACUAAAAAAAAGAAAUUUUAACGGAUUAAAAUAUAUUAAAGCUUAAUUUUAUUACAGUGAGUCGAUUACAAUGAAUCAUAUAUUUGUAUAAUAAGUUUAAAUAGAUUACCAAAAAAAUAAGUUUAAAUAAAAUAAUAAAAGGAAAAAGUGAGUAAAUAAUAAUAUAUUGAGUUUUCCUACGAUUAAAAAAAAGGUGAAAAUUUUAUAGCACGAAAUAAUAUUUAUCGAUAAAUUAUUCAGUUUGACCAUUUUUGUAGUAGAAGUAGGAAUAGACGUAAAAAUUACAAACUACAAUAUAUUUUUUGAAGUACCAACCCGUAACAUAAUUCAUAUUGUAAAAACAUUAUUCACAACUCGCUUUACCAUUAUAAUUGUGAUUUUAAAAACUACCUGUGAACUAUCUAAAAUUUACGUAGUUUGAUAUAUAAUAUUUUAUCAAUAAAACUUAUGUCUCCAAAUUUACAUCUAUGUAUUGAAAACAUUAGUUUUACUAUUUUAAAUCUAAUUUUUUUAUAUAUUUGAAACUUUUAAUUAUAAUAUUUUGAAACUUUUUAAAAUUUUAAUAUGCUCAUGUAACAAUGGUUUUAAUAUUGGUCAUACUUAUAAUGAUUUUAAAUCAUUGUCCAAAAUAUUUAACCGAGUGUAAUUGAGUAUUAUAUGUCCGUUUUGAAAAAUUCAAAUUGCAACAUAUGCGAAAAAGUUAAAAAAAAUUUAAACAUUUUUCAUAUUUAGUAUAAUAUUAUAAAUUUAAAAUAAGAUCAAAUAAAAGUGAAAGAAGAAUGAUAAUUGUUUCUAAUAUAUUCUAUUAAAUUAGUUAGAAAAAUAUUAGGAAAUCCUAAAAUUAGUUAUGGAAAUAAUGUAAUCCUAAAAUGAGAUAUGGAAAGUUCCGAUGUAUGUAUCCGAAUCCAUUUUAAUAUCCAAUUUUGAAGUAUCCAAUUGUUAAAAUCGGAUUAAUUUUUUAAUUUUGACUCGACCCGCAUUCUAUUUUGUACUUCUCUUUUACUAAUAUAGAGAUAUAUUUUUACUUUUUUUGGAGACUCAGACCACCUCCAAUGGAGGUGUUUAAUAUGUGCUUGUUCAAUAGCUUAAGAAUGUAUGUAUAGAAUAAAAUGCAUAACAUUGAUAAAAUUGCAAGGAUUGUUGUUUAAUUUGGGAGUUUAAGCAACAGAUAAGCGAUGCAUAGGUGUCAAAUUUUUAUUGGGUGGAAGGAAAAUAGAAAAAAAAAAUUCUGAACUUUCUCUCUCUCUUUAUCCGGAGUCUCUCUCUCCCUAGUUUCUCUCUCUUUCUCUCCAUGGAUGAAGAAAGCAUGGAAAACGAAUCAGUUUCUGGUAAUUUGAGAGGGGUAUACGUGUUAUUUUCUUCUCUUAUCUUCGUAAUCAUUUUCUCUCUUGAUCGAUGGUUUAAUCGGUGGUGAUAAAACUUCAAGAUCGGAUCCGAAAUGUUGACUCAAUCGAAGAUCCAACUGAAGAAUCAAUGUGUGGUUUGGUCCAAGGGGGUUUAUAAGAGCAGCUCAAUCGAAGAUCCAACUGAAGAAUAAAUUUUGUUUUUGUUUUAAACACUUCAUUAAGAAUCAUACCAUUGGAUCACCAAUAUUUUUAACAUCAAGAUAAAGUUGCUUAUGAAUUUAUUUUAUAAAAAUUAAUGUAAAAAAAUGUGUAAGCACCCUCACCAUUGGAGAUGCUCUCACAUCAGUAUAACCGAUGGAGCUGCUCUUAAGUCACUUGCCAGUUCAUCUAAUCAAAUAGAUCACGUUUGAAUCCAAUGCGGCUACUGAGUACUUUAAUUAGUGAUUGAGCAUAGCUCUACUUUUUUUUGGAGGUGGCUUUACCUCAAAAGUAUCUACCUCGUACAUACUGUAAGGUAAAGGGUAAUGUAAUGCUUUACAUUUUUAUGUGUAGAUGACGAGUAAAAUAAAUUUAACCAGUUCAAAUGAAACAAACGUAUAAGUCCCAAAUUUGACGGACUUCUGAGUUAUCAGUAUCAUAUGCUUUCAACAAAAGCAGAGUUUCAGUUUUUAAGACCUUCAGAAUCAGCAGGAAUGAAGUAGAACAGAAUGAAAUUUGUCGACCUUGCAAACUGGCUUUGUGGCUGAAGUACACAAACCAAAGUUAUGAAAAUCCAUUCUUUCCUUUUAGGUUGAUGACAGAGAGCUCUUGUUCAACAUACUCUCCUGCAGGUAUCGCCGGAUAUUUACUUGCCAGUGAUGAUUCCGCGAAUUGUCCCAAAGGUUUCAGCUCUGCAUCAGAGGCAAUGUGAGCAAACAACUGCAAAAAAAAAAAAACAAUUCUUUUAGAUAAAACCAAAAGAGUUGAGCUUUUCAUGAAACGUAUAAGGAUAUUGGUUUUGACUUACAGUCGAGGAAACUCUCCACAGGCUUCGGUUUUGUUCUUCUGCUAAUUUGAUUGCAUCUUUAGUCUUGCUCGUGACAACCACUUCGUGCAUUCCGGCAAUGCAUUCUCCAGCAGUCAGCCAUUCAAUCUGGACACAUGAAAACCAAAUAAGAUGUUAACACAGUUACUUCGAUUACAAAAUUCGAGAUAUUUUGCUAAUCAUCGACGCUUCAAGUAAACAAAACCCAGUAAACAUAUCGGUACCUGCUUUCCAGUUUGAAUCAAGAGGCAACCUACGGGAACUUUAACCGCAACCUUUUCCCCAUUCCUUAACCAAAUAUACAGACCAGGAAACCUACUUCUUCCAUGAAUUGUUAGAAAAUUGAGGUCAUAGUGAUAUCCUGCAAAUAUCGUCCCCUCCUCAUUGUAACAGCUAAGAUCACUUCCCGUUGGAGCAAGAAGAUGAGGACCCUGAAAUUCACAAGAACGACACACUUCAACUAAAGAAAUUCAAACCAUUCAUCAAGAAGUUAAGAGGGCCAAUAACAUACCUGCUUCAUGAGUGAUGUAAAUGCAUCUUUAGGCAAACCAAACCCGAUCGCUGCCAUUUCAGCAACAACCUAAACAAUUCAAGAUAAACAAGAAACCAUCACCACGUAGUUUAUAAUUAAACAAGCAUCAGAUUCCAAACUCUGCAGCAACGCCUCACCUCCACCGCGGAUAUCAUCUUAUAACCCCAAGAAUCCAUUACUUCUUUCCACUCUGGAAACCCUUCCGGUACAACAGGCUCAGAAUUAAGCUCCUAAACCACACCACUUACAAAAUUAACUACAAAAUCCAUACAAACACAACAACAAAUCUCAUUGAAAUGUAUCCAAAGAUCACACCUUAAACCGCGUGUUCGAAGGCCGAGGACCAACUCUCCACAUAUAUCUCCACUUAUGAUCUGGUCCUUUAGGAAUAUGUGGUUUGUAUUCAUCAGGCAUAGUCUUGAACUUUUCUUGCAUCUCUUCAUCAACCAAACUUCUAGGAACUUCAACUCCCUCUGGUGUCACACCAACCUAUUCAAAAAUCAAAACUUUUCAAACAACAACACUAAGAGUAUGUUCCCAAAUUACCUCAUGUGCCCUAAUCUUACCCUAAUUUUGAAAUUGAACGAGAAGGGCUAAUCAAAGAUUCGAUUUUGAUAAGAGAAUCACAAAGAAAACGAACCUGAUAGUGAAGAUCAGGUCUCUGUUGCAAUCGUUUGAAAUCAUCGGACUUUUGGAAAUAAGUCUCCAUCAUAUCGAUGAAUCGAUCGUUGUCUUGAGCGCUACAUCGUGGAUCUUUGACAAGGAGGGCUCCAGUUUCUCUAAGGAUCCGACUCACUUCUUGGCAUGAAGCGAGGAGAUCGGUUCUCAAUUCGUCGCCGGAGAAUUCAAGGUAACGAGAUAGAUCUACGACGGGUAAUUCCAUUUACAGACAAAAGAGAGGAAAGAGACAAGAGUUGUAGUAGUAGUAGUCACCGGUUCUGUCUCUUUGUGUUGUUGUUGUGAUAUGGCGGGAGAUUGAGAUGGUGGAGGAGUGUAGAUUUGAUGCAUGUAGUAGACGACGACUAGACGUCACUCCAUUGUUGUUCAUUGUAUCUGAUAGACAAAAUGGUUCAUAAAAAAAUUGUUACUUUUAGAAAGUAAAUAGUAUUGAAAAUUCGUUUCUACUAAUUUCUUUUUUAUCUUUGUUUUUAGGGUAAUACAUAUAAAUAUAUAAUAACCAUUCAAUAUUUUCGAAGAAAAUACAUAAGUUUUACGAAUAUAAUUUAUUCUGAUUUUAUUAAAAUUCUUUAUUUAUAAAUUCAAAAUUUAAAGGAUAAAAUAAACUAAAUUCGAAAAUAGAUUUAUUUAUUUUAUUUUAUUUUCUAAGAUAAUGAUAGGUUAUUAAAAUAAAUACUAAAUCUUAUAAAAAAUUAUCUUUUAGAUAUUAUCAAAUCUUAGACUAUAUAUAAAGCCAAACAAUUCCACAAUUCUCUGAACGUAUUCAACUAUAUUUUUUCUGAAAAAAAUGGCAAAGUAAAGGUUCAUUAUUAUUAUGUUUCUACAUGACUUUGUUAUGAAUCAAUCGUGUUUCUUCGUUGAUUUUUUUUAUAAUCUUAUUUUACAAAAAUUUUAAAAAGAUUUUUACGUAGAGAUUGCUUUGUGAGUAAAGAUGUGAAUAUGUUUGUUGUUAUGAUUAUGUUUAUUAACUUUGACCUUAUUACGUUAUUGUUUUGUCUUAUACUAUACCAUAUGUUUAUAUAAUGAAGAUUUAUGUACAUUAUGGCUAUGAUUAUAUUUAUACACUUUUUGACUUUGUUUACGUAAAUUUAUAAAUAUAAAAGUUACAUAAAGAUUACAUAUUUUGGGAGGUGUAUAUGUACGUAAAUUUGUUAUGGUUAUGAACAUGUAUAUCAUAGUUCAACGUAAGUUUAAUAUUUAUAUAUUUAUUGACUAAUAUAUAUAACAUACAAUUACUGAUUGUUCUAAUAUAAUAUGUUUUGUUUUGUUUAUGCUUUAUUGACUAGAGAUGAAGAAUUCAAAAACCGAUUGAGUACGUGAUGGAAAUAGUAAAGCUUAUCGAAGGAAACAAAAAUCAUGACUCGAUGAAAACAAAGAUGGUCUCAUGUAUCAAAGUAUUGAAGAAAGAAUACUUUGAUUCAUGUAUCAUAAAACCUAGUUAUGAUAUAUGAGAUAUGCAUGAUAUGUUCAAUAUAUUUGAAAAUAAUUCCCAAAGCUUUUCAAAAGCAAACAAGGUAAAACUAUAUAUGUUUGUUAUAAACUUUUAAUUUUAUGAAUAUAUUUCGAUAGUUAUUUUCUUUGUUGGGAAAACGAGUUCAAGACUACUUGCAAUAAAGUAGAAUUAGAUUAUUCGGUCGAAAUUUUAAGUGUACCUCAUGCAAAAGAUAAUAAUUGCAUACCGGUAAAGAAAUAGGAAGAACCAAGAAUGUUUUGAAAUCAAGUCAAUAUGAUCUCAUUUGCUUUAGCAUAUCAAAGUAUAGUUAAUUGACUAGAUUAAUGGUUAAAGAUAUACAUGUAUAUUUCGAUACUUUGACAAUACUUUGAUCUGCUAAAGCAAAUCGAUCAUAUUGACUUGAUUUCAAAACAUUCUAGGUUCUUCCCGUUUUUUCACCGGUAUCCAAUAACAAAUCAAAACUUUUGAUUUUUGUAUCAAUGUCCUUGAUUUUUGGGGUACACUUAUUUUCUUUUGCAGGAGUUUCUUUUAAAAUUUCGACCGAAGAAUCUGAUUCCACUUUAUUGCAAGUAAUCUUGAACUCGUUUUCAUUAGUUGUAACGACAAUAACUCUAUCGAAAUAUAUUCACAAAAUUAAAAGUUUACAACAAACAUAUAUAAGUUUACCCUACAAAUAUGAUUCUGAUUGGAUCACCUUACAAAAGAGAACAAAUUACGAAACGUACGUAGAACAUCAAUGAGAUCAGCUAUAAACAAAACCCCAUGGUGCCAGUAAAAAUAAUGUACCAAAAGCAUAUAUGAAACACAACGCAAUCACUUAUGCUUUGUUUAUACAUUUCUCUUUCGUGUAGUUUAAAAUUGCAACUCUCUGAAACACUUAAAUGAGGUAAGCUACAAAAUGUUUGGUAUAAAAACAUCUGCAAGAGUUAAAAAAAUGAAUCGUAUCAUCAUCACAAGAGUAGACACAUUGGUAUCUAUCUAUAAGACUAUAAACCACGAAACUUUAAAGAAGCAAUUACUGGCAAUAAGAGCACAAGCUUUUCCUUCUCUUUUAUCUGCUAGCAAUGUAGAAGAAACUAGUUAAAAAGUAAAACCAAAACAAUACUCUUUACUAAUCCUACGCAAAUAUAAAUCUCAAUCAUGUCUGAUUGAUAGAUAUAUCAAUUAAGAAGGAUGGUGUAAUGAUACAGCCACAAAAAUAUAGCUUUUUUAGGCUUAUGCAUUUGCAGUUCUUCACUGGGAAGAUCCAGAUGCCGUGCGCUGCUCGUAUUCGCCUUGUUCUGCUUUACUGAAUUCCUCGAGCAGUUCACGCUGUCUCUGAGUUAUAUUUCUGCCAAAGAACAUUAACAAACAUAAGUGACUGCGAUGUGGCGUUUGACUAAGUGUAUCAUUUCCAGGCACUAUUUACUCGGGGGGUUUUGGGAGACUUACGCAGGGAUGCUGACGUUGAAAUGCACAUAUUGAUCCCCAAAUUUCGUCGACUUUCUUGCUCUAAUACCUGUUUGUAUCAUACACAAAUAUAAAUAAACAGGAAUCUGUUUAACACUUGGUUUCUCAAUCUAUUCCCAGCUUCCAUAUGUAUUUGAGAAACUUAUGUUUUGGUGUCUUGCUCUUAAUAUCCAGUGAGACAGUAAUUAGCUCAAGUUGAGAAGAUCAUAUUCUAAAAUUUCUCUUAUCUUUCAGGUAUUCUGCAGCUGAGCUUAUCAACAGAAGCAAAAGAGCUCACCUUUACUUCUUAGCACUACUUUAUGACCAGGUUGGGUUCCAGGACGGACCUACAGCAAAAGAGUUUCCAAGUUAGAUUGCUGGAAAAGUUUCAACAAGUGGGAACAAAACCCAAAAAAAAACUGUAGUUAACUAUCAUUUAGCUAGCAAGCAAAAAUCUGAUCUUCUUUUUCAUCAAAAAUGAAGACAAUCUGAAGUUUAGAAUCAAAGCAUUUAUGUUUCAUUGCAUGCAGAAUGCUAUUUCACAUGUAGAGCAUGUUCAGUUUUCUGGCAAGCAUGUUUGACCGUUGAUAGAACUAGAGUUAAAAUCUUAAAGCAUUUUAAAAAUGUGCAAAUUUCAGAAACCUUCACGACAACAUCACCAGUGAGGGUUGGAACUUGAAUGGUUCCUCCAAGAAUAGCCUGGCAAAAGAUGGAAAAUAUACUUAGUUAUCAUGAACAGUACAAAACCGGUAAAAGAACUCACCGAUACUGCACCAGAAGUCCAAAAUAAAUGCUGAAGGCAAAAGCAACUGAAACUUAAAAGACAGCAUUGACAAGAUCAUGGUAUUUCACCUGGGUAACACUGAGAACUGCAUCCACAUGAAUAUCCGAUCCUUCUCUGCGGAACACAGGAUCUUCACGGACCUAAACAAAAAUACAGACAAGGUAUUGAGAACACAAUCAAGUGAUUAACUAUGACUGUCCAUUAGAAAGUUGACUUCAGAAAAGUCACCUUGAGAGUAACAUAAAGAUCUCCAGGCUGGUCACCAUCAGGAUCAGCCCCACCCACUCUUGCCACCUUUAAUGUAUCACUAUUGUCAACCCCUGAGAGAUGAAAUAAAUGUGAGAUUCAAGUGAUGAAAAACUACACAAAUUUUUUUAUUACCUACAAUCCGGAAAGGAAACUUACCUGGAUCGAUAUUGACUUUCACUGACUUCUGUCCUCGAACCACUCUAGCUCCUCUACAGGAUUUGCAAAUACUCUAGCAAUGUCAACGAAACAAAAUGAUUAGAAAUUCAAUGGUUAUAGAAAGUAGAAACCUACUAAAAGAUCAAAUAUUAGCUAUAAAUCUAACAGAAUGGUGUCUGUCUUCACGUAUAUGUAGACACAUACACAGAUAAACACUAUACAUGAUAAAUAGUGUGAUUUUCAAAAUAUUUGACAUACAGAGAACGUUUGACCAGCUCCACCACACUUCUGGCAAGUUCUUUGGAUGCUUAAUAUACCCCUUCUCAUUGUUGUCUGAAAACGUAAGUGGAGCACUUAAAAACACAAUACAAACAGAAAUUAUAAUUACAUGUUCAAACUAAAAUUUUGUAACAUAAGACUGACCAUCCCAGAGCCAUUACAGCCUUUGCAUUUUUCACGUUUGGUACCAGGAGGAACACCUUGUCCACCUACAUGUGAAAGGAAGAAAGAAAAAAACAAUUAGUAACUUGAGAGUGAGAUAAUAACAACGUAAAUUACAUUCAACAAAUACUUUAUACGUACCACAAGUAUUACAAGCCACCUCGGUUUGAAAAUUCACAGUUUUGGAGCAUCCUUGAACAGCUUCCAUGAAAGAAAGAUCAAGCAAAACCUUACAACAGUAAAGAAGGGAAGAAACAAGAAACUUAUUAAUCUUGGAUGACAAAAAUAAAUUGAUGGGAAAAAAGCAGAUGGUAAUACCUUGACAUCUUGACCUCCAACAUCUUGCCUGAACAUGUUGAAGAUCUGUUUUUCAAAAGAAUUAGUGUGUAAGCCAUGGAUGUUGAUUAGUUAGCCAUUUCCAUUCAAAAGGAAAUAUGUUUUUACUAUCUUUGCAGGAAUUAUCAACAAUUCUAAACAGAAAGCUAUCUAAUUAGUAAAAAAUAUUCGUAUGAGUGGAACCAAUUAAAUGAAAACCAAGAAAUAAAAGUUUUACAUCGCCAUUGAAGUUCCCGAAGAUAUCAAAUGGGUUAAACCCUUCACCACCACCACCGAAGCCUUGAUCAUUUGGAAACCCACCACUAGCAUUUUGCUCAAAUGCUUCAUGCCCAACCUGCAGAUAUGACAACAAACUUACAUCACAGCUGAAAUAGUUAAUCAAAGGAGCCAUGUUUGCUUGCUCUAACAGAAUCAAAGGAAAUAUUAUGAUGCCUAUUUACCUGGUCAUAAAGGUCACGCUUCUCCUUAUCUUUCAAAACCUGAGCCAAAAAAUCCCAAACCACAAUUCCCUUCAGAAUAAGAUUCUAACAGAUCAUAUCAAAUGAUACCAUGUAACAAGUCAAACUCACUUCAUAUGCUUUCGAGACCUCCUGGAACUUCUUCUCAGCUUCUGGGUCAUCUUUAUUCAUAUCAGGAUGAAGUUUCUUAGCAAGCUGUAAAAAGAAACAAGCAAUAGCAUCAAUCACUAAGAAACCAAAAAGUCAUAUCAGAUAAACAUAUUAAAUCUCAACCAAAAUAUCCCUACCCCAUAAUAAGCCUUCUUGAUUUCACCUUCUGGUGCAUUCUUAUUCACACCAAGAACUUCAUAGUAGUCCUUAGCAGACAUAAACGUCGAACCUGGUAUUCCAAAAACCACAAUAAACAUCGAAAACUCAAUCUAACAACAACUGUGAGAAUCAAUGAACCUCUGAUCCUACCUGUUCCAUGAAAUGACCUUGUUGAGCCAAAAUUAGUAUUAAAACCUCCAAAAUUGAUCCAUUUCCGAUCAUGCCCUACAUUACAAUAUCACAAUGUUAAAACCCUCAAUGACACUCAAUAACACACAAACAAAUUCAUAAAAUUCACACUCUCUUAUGAUCCAAUUACCAGAUUUUGAAGCGUAAUCUCCAAGAACUUUGGCAUGAUUCCCAACGCCUGUAUUCAAUCUCCUAUAACUCCCAAUACACACUCCCCUAAGUUUCUGCAAAUCAAGAAAAAAGUUAACAAAUUUGAAAUCAAUUAAGAGAUAGAUACAAAGAGAAACAAAAAUUAUAAAGAGGAGAACGAACCUGAUUGCCUAAAUCUUGUAGAAGCGAUGAUGAGAUACAUCGACGAGUCAACAAACGAAGAACCUUUGCGCCAUUGGAAGGAACCAUUUUUCUUCCUCAAAUCUUUAUAAAGGUUCGAUCUUUUAGCUUAUACUCAAAUUCUACUAAGUGGGUUUAAGUUCAGGGAUUGAGACAGAGCAGCCAAAGUUAAAACCCUAGCAAAAACCCUGUUUUGUUGUUGCUUCAGAACUGUGUAGAAGAAGCAAUUUCUGUUGUUCGCCACACAAUACCGGGUUUGACCUUUUCUUCUUACUCAACCCACCCACCUUAUCCGACCCAAGUCAACCCGACCCGGCCUUUCCUCUGUUUCCCUCGAACAGGCCCAUAAGCCCAUUAAAGAAACAGAACAGAACUAUAGUUGCCUUCGUCUUUGUAACUGUAACUUCGCCGUCGUUGCGCAGUCUCACCGAGAAAUCGCCGGAAAUAUGUAAUUGCAGGUACCAUUGAGUCGAUUCACAUACUUUUUCUGAUGUAAAGUUUCAAUCUUUUGUCGUUUAUUUACAUAAAACCUCACAAAUUGCUUUGAUUUUUCAUAAAAGAUGCAAACUUUGACCAAUUAAGCUGUAAAUUUCAAAACUUUAAGCUUUGGUAUUGUCUUCAGGUUACGCUACAAUGCGGUGGUUGCUUCAGGGAAGGGUUAGUUUGUGUAAAUACAAAGAAAGGUUUGAUUUUUUUCAGCAGAGAUGUGGUUUGGUUAAUGUUAAGUUGAAAUGGGUGAAAGAUAAAGAACUUGAUGCUGUUGUGAUUCGUGAAAAGCAUCUUAAAGCAGUGUGUAAUCUUGUUUCUGUUAUUUUGUCUUCUCCUGAUUCGAGACUACCUAUCUUUAAGCUUUUGCCUCACCGUGGUCAGUUAGGUUUGCCUCAAGAUGUUAAGGUUUCAGCUUUUGUUCGGAGAUAUCCCAAUAUUUUUGUGGAGCAUUGUUAUUGGGAUAGUGCAGGUACUCGUGUUCCUAGCUUCGGUUUAACGCGUGAGGCGAUGGAUCUUUAUUGUGAAGAAGCUGAUGUUUUGGAGGUGAAUAAAGGGGAUGUUCUAGUAAGGUUGUGUAAACUUCUUAUGCUUACAUGUGAAAGAACACUUCCUCUACAUUCCAUUGAUCAUCUCAGAUGGGAUUUAGGUUUGCCGUUUGAUUAUCGAGAUUCAUUGAUUCAUAAGCACCCGGAUUUGUUUUGUUUGGUGAAGUUGUCUAGUGACCUUGUUGGUUUGAAACUGAUGCAUUGGGAUGAUAGCCUUGCUGUUUCCCAAAUGAAACUGAGACAGGACGUUGGAAAUAAUGAUCAUAUGGCCUUCCCGGUGAAAUUUACGAGAGGGUUUGGGUUGAAGAGGAAGAGUAUGGAGUGGCUUCAAGAAUGGCAGAGACUCCCUUAUACGUCACCUUAUGUUGAUGCAUCUCAUUUGGAUCCAAGAACUGAUUUGUCUGAGAAGAGAAAUGUCGGAGUGUUUCACGAACUUCUUCAUCUAACAAUUGGGAAAAAGACGGAAAGGAAAAACGUUAGCAAUCUUCGUAAACCGUUUGCACUUCCCCAGAAGUUCACCAAAGUAUUUGAGCGUCAUCCGGGUAUUUUCUACAUUUCUAUGAAGUGUGAUACACAGACAGUGAUCCUUAGAGAAGCAUAUGAUAGGCGGCAUCUCGUUGAAACGCAUCCUCUCGUUGAAAUCAGGGAAAAGUUCGCCAACAUGAUGAAUGAAGGGUUUCUGGAUAGAAGUCGUGGACUGUAUCCGAGAUCUGUUGAGGCUCAUUUGGGGAAGAACAGUGUCAAGACAAUUUAUCCGGUUUGGUCAGAAGAAGAAGAAGAAGAAGAGUCGGACAAUAUAUCUCGAUAUGACUCUGAUUGUCCUGUAGUUGAAGAACAUAAACGGCUGUUUUAGUAGUGAGUAGGGUAUUCUGUUCCAGUAGGAACAAAUGAAAACAUAAGUUUUGUUACAGUAGGUGUGAGAAGUUAAAAGAACAUUCUGCAUCUAACUGUAGCAGCCUGAGCUCCCGGCAUCAAAUGGAUUCUCCAUCUAAAUUCAGUCAACUGAAUCUGAUACUUCAUCUUUCCCACAAUGAUCCAUUCUGGGAUGUUAUAAACAUAAAUCACCUUUGAUGGAACGCGAUAGACAACACUCUCAAUCGAGCUUUUAGCAUUUUCGCAGGCAAACAAAAGCUUGUUUUUAUCGGCGCUGGUGCUCCAAACCCGCAACAAGGACAUAGCAUUGCACUUUGGAUUUGGCAUGUAUGAUGUGUGCAUAUACACCUUUAUCAGUCACUCUGAGUCAUGACAUCGCGUUUUCCGGAAGAUGAUUAUUGGUCUGAGGCAUAUAUUGGAUCGUUGAUAGUGAGAGGUUGUUCUAUAUUUGUCAUUUAACAACAAUCAACUUAAAGACAUAAGAUGGUAUAUAGCUCUGUCGUCACAUUAGAUUGGUAUUGAACAUGUGAUAGGUCCAAUCAACAGCUUAUAAAAGCAUAGACCGUACAUAUUUUUCUCUAUAUAUUUCAUCAAAAAAUGGCACGAGUAUUUUAGACAUAAAUCAAAAAUAUAACAUAAUCUAUCUAAAACCCCUAACAAUCAUAAGAUUAGACAAUAUAUUAUUUUAAAAUUUAGGAGAUAAACAUAAAUCAAAGAUGUAACAUAAUCUAUCCAAAACCACUAACAAUCAUAAGAUCACAUAUUUUAUGUCUCUAUCUUAAUCAAUAUCGGUUUAUUUCGGUUAUGUUCUCAUCGACAUAGGGCUAGGUUUCAAAACUUAGAAACUUUCUAAACAUGGAAUGGAUAAAGUCAAAUGAAAUAAGAAAAUUGAUCAAGAAAAUAAAUGAAUACAAUAUAUGUUUAAUUUAUAUAAAAAAGAAGAAAAAUACGGAAUAUGAACAUGUUAAUCCAUUUGACAUGUAUGACACAAUGUUAUCAUAUCAAAUCGGACAUUUUAUUAGAAAUUAACUCAAGUAAUAAAGAGAUUGCGAAAAAAUGUUACUAAGAGCGAAGAACAAAGAAAUAAAACCUUAAAGAACUUUAGAAGAUGGAGUCGUUGGUUACAAGGCCCAAAGCUGAAAUGAGUAAUACAAGUAUAUGAUUGAUUUACAUAUAAUAAUUAGUUAAACAAAUUACAUUCGAAUUAGAGAAAAGAAAUGUAGAAUAUAUACCUAGUUAUGACGUAACGUUAUUUGUGUCUCUAGUACUAGGCAUGUCAAUCGGGCUAGCCCGGCCCGGCCCGGCCCGAAACCCGUAAAGCCCUCAUAUAUGUAAGCCCGGCCCGGCCCGGCCCGAAAAAUUUCCGAGCCUAUAUUUCAAAGCCCGGCCCGGCCCUAACAGGGCUACAGGGCUUUUCGGGCUUUUUCGAGCUUUAUUUACCGAUAAAAAAAUCAAUUUCUAAGUUUAUAAUAGUUUUUUAAAAACUAUAUUUAAAGGUCUACUAUUAAAAUAAUGCAUCAAAUUUUAAAUAACUUAUCAAUAUUCAAUAAAACUAACUUAAUUUAAGAGAAAAAAAAAUAAAAGCCAAAUAAAUUAUUUACACUUUAACCCAAUAAAACAUGGAACUAAAAUACUUUAAAGUAUAACAUAGAGUCAAAAUUUAAUAGAUAUUUUGAUGAUUUCAAAAUCAUGAUACUUAUAUAUAUUUAGUUUUAGCUUUGUAUAAAUAUUUUAAAAGUAAUAAGUAAGACUAGUAAGUAAAUAUGAAAACUAUAACAUUAAUCAAAUCUUUUAAUCAAACUAAAAUAUUCAAAAAAUUCAAAAUAUAUUUGUAUAAGGGCUUUUCGGGUCGGCCCGAGCCCGACCGGGCUAAGCCCAAAAAACCCUUUAGCCCGAAUGGGCUUAGCCCAAAAGGCCCGGUUUUUUCUGGACAUAUAUAUUUAAGCCCGAGCCCGAUGUUUUUCAGGGCCGGGCCAAACUAGCCCGCGGGCUUUAGCCCUAAUUGACAUGCCUAUCUAGUACCAAUGUACCAUGUCUCUUCGGUGGGAUUCGAAAGGGGGAUUGUAUUACAUACAUGAGAAUGAUGAGAUGACAUGAACAUCAUCGAUUGAUCUUUCAUGGAUGUCGGAACAUUAUAAGUCACAUUAGCAUCACCAGGUGGUAUGUACGAAUUAUAUGUCCCAUGUAUGUUGGUUGGUGACAUCUUAUGUGAUGUGGUUGACAUGUAUAGUGGUAGUUGUUGUGGAGGGUACGUUUGGUUAUGGAAGAAUCGUUGUCCACCGUGAGGAUACGGAUAUGCAUAUUGAGGAUGAUUGUAAAUCCAAGUACUUGAAGGAUUGAAUCGCGAAUUGUUAUUAUGGUAAUACUCACCACAACUAGUAUUACCACCACAAUUGUAUCGCAUGUUGUUAUUGUGAUAUUCUUGCGGGUAACGUUCUUGCUGACUAGGAACCGUAAACAUAACAUUUGGUAAGAAGGGCUGAUAUGUGUUGCUCAAAGAUGGUUUGCUUUGUUUGGAGAGACGACUCUCUUCCAUAAGCAACAUCGAGCGAGCUUUGGUGAAGGAAGGAAAUGGAGACUUGUGUUUGAUUACAUUAAGGAUGUAAUCAUAUUUUUCUGUCAAACCGUUGAGUAAGUGCAUGACAAGAACACGUUCGGAGAUAGGUGAGUCGACGUUUGUCAAAAGGUCAGAAAGUGACUUUAGCUUAUGACAAUACUCAUGUACUGAGAGAUCACCAAUCGUUAAAGUGCGCAAUUCGUUUUCAAACUGAAUUGCACGAGCCUCCUUGUUAUCGCGAAAUAGAUUUUCUAGAGAAAUCCAUAAGUCUCGAGCCGUGCACCCGGCUUUAAUGAUGGUGUCAAGGAGAGAAUCAGUGAUGGUUCCAUAUAUCCACAUCUUGACGAGUCCAUCACGUUCUUUCCACCUUUUCUCGGUUAUUGGAGUCGAUUCUAACAACUUAAAUAUAAAAUAUGUGGAAUCAAAUUAAUUUAACCGCUACCAAUCCUACCAUGAUUCCAUGUCCUUGCACCGGACAUAUAAAAGCACUGUCUCACCAAAACCUCCAUAAUUCCGACCAGAUUUCCGAUGUAAUUGGUUCAACAUUUUACAAAAGCUUUCCACAAAUGCAGAUCAACUCAAGCUAAAAAAAAUUUUAGAUUCUACGAUUUGUGUCUUAAUUGGCGAAUUGGAGCCGUGUUUAAAAAAAUGUAUUUGAAUUGAAAUCAGCACAAUAUCAAAAUUACGAUCUAAAAAUAAAAGUUUGAAAAAAAAAAAAUUGCCUUUUCCCACAAUUGCUCGAGCUGUAAUCAUUUGCAGCAUUAUACUUUUCCUCCAGUUUCAUUUUCCUGUAAAAGAAGAAAAAAGGAGAAUCCUUGUAGCUCAAGGAGAGACAAAAGCAGCUUCACCAUAAUCACAUUCUUUACUUCAAGUCAUAAACAAGCUAUACGUGCUUAGUUUAAUCAAGAAUAAAUACUUUUCUUCCACAACUAGGUUUCCUCCUCUUCUUAAAGAUUCUUUCCCUUUUAAAUCUCCCUUGCAACCCAAGAAACCAACAAAACCCACAAUGAGAAACACCAGCAAACUGGUCGUGCACGUGGUUGAUGCUCAAUGUCUUAUGCCUAGAGAUGGCCAAGGCUCAGCAAGUCCGUUUGUAGAAGUUGAUUUCCUUAACCAGUUAAGCAAAACAAGAACUGUACCCAAAAGUCUUAACCCUGUUUGGAACCAGAAACUCUUCUUUGAUUACGACCAAAGUGUGUUAAGCUUUCAUAACCAACACAUUGAAGUCUCUGUCUACCACGAAAGAAGACCAGUUCCUGGUCGGAGUUUCCUUGGUCGAGUCAAGAUUCCUCUUUGUAACAUUGUUUACAAGGACGACCAAGUGUACCAGCGCUUCACUUUGGAGAAGAAAUGGCUUCUUUCUUCUAUUAAAGGUGAGAUUGGUCUCAAAUUCUAUAUUUCAUCAUCAGAACAAGACCAAACCUCUCCUCCUCCUCCUCUACGUACUAAACCUUACACUAGCCCAACACAAGUCUCUGCCGCUGGAACAGAAGAAGAUAGUACUGCUGAUUCGGAAACAGAAGAUUCUCGAGAGAGUUUUGCAUCAGCAGAGCAAGAAGAUCUUACUGAUUUGGCCAGCGAGUGUGUGAAAGAAGUUAAAGAACCAGUUCAGAAACUACAAAGACAAGAAGUUUUUGCUCGGCCAGCACCAAUGCAUUCUAUUCGUCUGCGGUCUCGUGAGAACCCGCAUGAAGCCAAGAAACCUCUAUCUCGUGGAGCUAACCAGCCUCACCCUCAAAACACCAACCACUUGCAGUCAUAUGGUGACAGUACUGACCUAGAUGACUUUAAGGUGAAAGACAUGAACCUGGAUCUUGGAGAGAGAUGGCCAAACACAAAUGUUGGAGAGAGGUUUACGGGAACUUACGAUCUUGUGGAACAGAUGUUUUAUCUCUAUGUUCGAGUUGUUCGAGCUAAAGAACUUCCACCUGGUUCAAUCACUGGUGGAUGUGAUCCUUACGUGGAGGUCAAGCUAGGGAACUACAAGGGAAGAACAAAACAUUUUGAUAGGAAGACAACUCUUCCUGAAUGGAACCAAGUUUUUGCAUUUACCAAAGAACGGAUUCAAUCAUCAGUUCUUGAAGUUUACGUGAAGGACAAGGAAACGUUAGGUCGAGAUGAUAUUCUUGGAAAAGUUGUCUUUGAUUUGAAUGAGAUCCCAACAAGGGUUCCACCAAAUAGCCCUUUGGCUCCGCAGUGGUAUCGAUUAGAAGAUUGGAGAGGAGAAGGCAAAGUAGUACGAGGAGAGAUAAUGGUUGCUGUGUGGAUGGGAACUCAAGCGGAUGAAGCUUUUCCUGAAGCAUGGCAUGCUGACUCAGCUUCUGUUCAUGGAGAAGGCGUGUUCAACAUUAGAUCCAAGGUAUAUGUCUCUCCUAAGCUAUGGUACUUAAGAGUCAAUGUUAUCGAAGCUCAAGACAUGAUCCCAAGUGACAGAAACAGACUUCCUGAUGUUUUCGUCAAAGCCAAUGUCGGAAUGCAAACUCUUAAGACCAACAUAUGUCGCAUGAAGACAACAAAUCCACUUUGGAAUGAAGAUCUUGUCUUUGUAGUUGCUGAGCCAUUUGAAGAACAGCUAGUGAUCUCCGUUGAAGACCGCGUUCACACGUCCAAAGAUGAAGUUAUUGGCAAAAUUAGCCUGCCUAUGAACGUGUUCGAGAAGCGAUUAGACCACCGUCCAGUCCAAUCCCGUUGGUUCAAUCUUGAUAAACACGGUACCGGAGUUCUUGAGCCAGACACAAGAAGAAAAGAACAUAAGUUCUCAAGCCGGAUUCACUUACGAAUCUGUCUUGAAGGAGGCUACCAUGUAAUGGACGAGUCAACAAUGUACAUAAGUGACACAAGACCUACGGCUAGACAGCUGUGGAAACAGCCAGUGGGAAUGUUAGAGAUUGGGAUUCUUGGAGCAAAAGGGUUAGUGCCAAUGAAGUUGAAAGAUGGUAGAGGUAGCACAAAUGCUUAUUGCGUGGCUAAGUAUGGGCAAAAAUGGGUGAGAACUAGAACCAUUAUUGACACAUUAAGUCCUAGAUGGAACGAGCAGUACACAUGGGAAGUAUAUGAUCCUUGUACUGUCGUUACUCUAGGAGUUUUUGAUAAUAGUCAUUUGGGUUCAGCACACUCCGGAACUGUAGAUUCUAAAGAUGCAAGAAUCGGAAAGGUAACUUUUUAUUUCUCUAUAAUCUUAGGGUGACUAAUCAUAAGCUAUUAAACCUUUUGGUUCCAUAUUCUUACAAUUUAUUUCUUCUGAAACUAGAACUUGUUUAUUUUAUUUUAUUUUGGUUCGGUUUGGUUUAAAAUUAUUCGCAGCUCAUAUGGUUAUGAGCAAAAUAUUUGUUAAAAAUAUAAAUAAGUAAAACAAUAAUAACUCAUAUUAUAUAUUUUAGUAUAAUUAUAUGACUUUCUUAUAUAUAAAUGUUUAUAACUUAAUUAUUUUAAAUUAAUUAAAUUUGGUUAUAAUUAUUUUUGUUACUUUUCGGUUUAGAAAUGGGUUUGGUUUUUCUUUUUAAGAUAACAUUUUAGCUCGGUUUGGUUAUUAUGGCCACCGUAGAACUGAUUUAUUUUAUUUUACUUUGGUUCGGUCUGGUUUAAAAUUAUUCGUAGUUCAUAUGUUUUUUAGCAAAAUCUUAAUAAAAAUGCAAAUAAGUAAAACAUUAAUAUCAUAUGAACUUCUAGUACUGUAUAUAAUUUAUUACAGUUUAAUAAUAUUAAAAUUGGUUUAUUGAGUUUCGAUUUGGUUUUAAGUAUUUUUGUUACCUUUCUCGGUUAGUAAUUGGGUUUGGUUAUUAGGGCCAUCCAUACAAUAGUCAUACGUAGAAGAUGCAUUAAGUUUCACUUCUAACUUUGUUGUGACUUCGAAACUCUUGGAACAGGUUCGAAUAAGGCUGUCUACACUAGAGGCACACAAGAUCUACACACAUUCAUUUCCACUACUUGUUCUUCAACCUCACGGCCUCAAAAAAACAGGCGACCUACAAAUAUCUGUCCGUUUUACGACCUUAUCAUUAGCCAACAUCAUCUACAACUAUGGCCACCCACUUCUCCCCAAAAUGCACUAUCUUUUCCCUUUCACGGUCAACCAAGUAGAUGGCUUAAGGUACCAAGCCAUGAACAUUGUUGCAACCCGCCUUGGCCGAGCUGAGCCGCCACUAAGGAAAGAGGUCGUCGAGUACAUGUUGGAUGUAGACUCUCAUCUAUGGAGCAUGAGAAGAAGCAAAGCCAACUUUUUCCGCAUAAUGUCACUUCUUUCAGGUUAUUUCUUGGUCGGGAAGUGGCUUGAAGAUGUUUGCAACUGGAGAUACCCGGUUACUUCGGUUCUUGUCAAUGUCUUGUUCUUCAUUUUGGUCAUGUACCCUGAGCUGAUUUUGCCCACAAUGUUUCUCUACAUGUUCUUCAUCGGGUUGUGGAACUUUAGGUCUAGGCCAAGACACCCUCCUAACAUGGAUAUGAAGCUCUCAUGGGCCGAGGCUGUUGGCCCUGAUGAGCUUGAUGAAGAGUUUGACACGUUCCCAACGUCUCGGUCGCAAGAGAUGGUUCGGUUGAGGUAUGACCGGCUCAGAAGCGUGGCAGGUAGGAUUCAGACUGUUGUUGGAGACAUUGCAGCCCAGGGAGAGAGAGUUCAGUCACUUUUGAGCUGGAGAGACCCCAGGGCUACAAGCCUCUUCAUCUUAUUCUGCUUGGCUGCGUCUGUGGUGCUUUACGCAAUGCCGUUCAAAGCAAUAGCACUGGCUAGUGGGCUAUACUAUUUAAGGCACCCAAAGUUUAGAAGCAAGUUACCUUCUCUGCCAAGUAACUUCUUCAAGAGGUUACCUUCUCGUACAGACAGUCUUCUUUGACCUAAACUCUUUCUUGUGUUACAAUAAAAUGACUUUGUUUUAACUUUUUUUCUACUCUCAGUAUACAAUAAUGUAUGUUACGAACAGAAAAUUACCAAUAAAAUAAUGAUACUAUAAACGUCAUAGAAGCAAUAUUAAUGUUUUGUGUUCUAGUUUCGUCUUACAAAACAAUGUCAGGUUUUUUUGGGCAAACACAAAACAAUGUCAGGUUUGUAAAACAAUAACCAAAGAUAAAAAAGAUAACAAAACACUGUUCUGUUUUUACAAAACUAGUUAAAAUCAGAGAGAGACAGUACUAGCUCCGUUGGAACCAGCUCAUCUGAUAAGUGUCAGACCAGCUAUUAAUGGAUUGAAUUUGGCACUAAAUUUGGAGAAAUCAAACUCUAAUUCCUCAAUGCGGUCUAAAGCAGUGACAUUGAACUCAAAAUUUCAUUUGCCUCAUUCCCAAGAACCAUUCCUACAACUAUAAACCCUAACAAGAAAAGCUUCCUCGUUGGUCUUAACUCUUUCUUAGAGCUGAGAACGAAGAAAGAAUGGUUAAAAGUAGAAAGACUUAAAAAACCAGGAUAUAAAACAAAUGUAGAAACUCGUAGUGUGUUACUGAAAGAAUCGAUCUUUGUGUUCAGCUUGUAAUAAGGAAGAAGAAGAAAAAGAGAAGGAGACAUAGCAGAGAAAAGCAGUUAAGAAAGACUGUUUUUAAAAAGAUGUUUCUUGUCUUAAACCAAAUUUCUCAACAUAAUGUUCAUAAGAUGGGAAAAUAAAAAAUAGGGUUUUUUUUACUUCUUAUGUGGCAAGUUCAUUCAUCACUUAGUUGCUCUACCAUUAGGAAUAGAGAAUAGGACAAUGGGAUUAGAAGAUUUGACAAAAAGGCACAUCACAUCUGAAAUAAACUUUGCUCUCAGAUUCCUCAUAUUCGAAUCACCAAGUGGCAUGUUUCCUUCUUCGUGUUAGGAUUCACAAAAUCAGCAACUUCAUCAUCAUCUUCCAGCUGGUUGAGCAAACCAAAAAAAAAAAAAACAAAAGAGAUCAGUGAUCUUGAGAGAGAUAUAACAAUAAUGUAAAGAUGUAUUCACCAAGAGCUUAACUCUUCUUGGUGAUAAGAUAAUCAAACUCUGUUAAUGUGAGAUUCACCAAUUCAUUGGUGUCAGGAAGCCAUGUGAGCUUCAGCUUUGUAGUCUUUAUAGAUCCUUGGUGAUUCAGAACACCAGAUAACGUAGUGACAUGACCCUUCAAGUUCUUUGUGAUUUCCUUUACUAUGGUGUUUCCCCAAUCCAUCAAAGUUACUUGCUCAACAAUAGAUAUUACACUCGGAUCAGCUUCCUCCAUCCAAAUUCUCUUGCUGAAAGUGCUUGCCUUUUCUCCAGCACCUUCAAAUUUCUUGUGCUUUUGUAUUAAGCGAACAAAUAGCUCAUCAAGACCACCAGUUUAGGUAAAUAGUACACGGUGCUCUGCAGUCACAGCCGUGUUCUAGGGCAGGAUCAAUUGUUCUUUUACUAAUAUACCAAAGUUUUUCCCAUUCCAUCAAAUUUAUAUAGCCCCCUGGACAAGUAAAAUUUCAACAUAAUUGUUAUUACAUAUCAUAACUGUUGGCUGUCUUUAGACAUAGGGGCAGCCACAUGCUUCCUCGAGCCCUUCUUUGCAUAUGUUGCUAAAACCUUGUUAAGCAGCUCAUUGUACUCUUUUAAUACAUAUGUUUGUUACCUUAUCGACUAACAUAUCAGAGAAGAACAGUGGUUCCACUCAAUUUCCGCCUAAAUCAAGAAUUUGAAGAAAAGGAAUAAACUUUCAGAGAAAGAAGAAGAAGUAUUGAGAAAGAGAAAAACAAAAGUACCCGUCGAAGAAGACGUAAGAAGCGACGGUGGCUGCGGGCGACUGAGGAAUCAAUAGUUACCGGAGAGGCUGAGAGACAGAGAGCAAUGAUUACUGAAAGUGGUGGACUUUCUGGUGGGAACAAAAGCUUCAUCCCGUCCAUAUUUGGAUUGAAGUGUAGGGGAGAAUUGAUCAGAGAAAUAUUUUCAGACACGCUUUGGUAGGGGAGAAUAAAUGGGCUGAAUUUGUUUUUAUAAAAGCCUAAAUUAGCCCAAUUGUAAAUUUGUUUGGUUAAUUAUAUUUGAAAUAUACAGAAUUCUUAGGUGAAAAAUAUGAACAAACUAGGUUCAAUCUAUUUAAAUUGUGUCUUCCUUACAUUACAUUUAUUUGCUUCAGUUCAUGACUAUUGUAUCUUGGAACUUAUGAAUUACUAGUCGGUUGCCCGCGCUACGCGCGGGAGUUUAUUAUGUUGUUUAUGAGUAAUUGGUUCGUAUUUUAUUUCCUACUUAUUUUUUUCACUAUACCAUACUUUACUUUUUUAAAACUUAAAUUGUGUUUGUAUAGAAAAACUAUUGAGUGAUGACAAAAAAAAAAAUAGAAAAACUAUUGAGUUUUAGCUUCAUUAGUCGUUGAGAAAUUAAGUGUGUAUAGUAUAAGUCGAAGUGUGGGCGUAAAUGGAAGUGCGGUUGAGAAUCAUUGAGAAACGUGUGCUAAUAGGGUUUUUACCAAAUAUAGAUCUAGAUGUUAAUAUUUUGGGCCAUUUUAUAUGUUGGCAUGAAAUUUGAACAUGAUUUGUGGGUUUCGGGCGGAUUGUUGUAUUUUUAAUUGUUUACAUUAUCUCUUUAUAUAUUGUCAUAAUUUAUUAUUUUUUGUUUUACGUUUUUUUUUUGGAUUUGUCGUACUUUAUAUCUCGUAAUGAUCAUUUAUAUACUAUUAUAUAUUUUUCUGAUUUUAUGUUUUAUAUAUUUUUUGUUUUUCAUAUGGAACAAUUUUUAAAUUUAACAUAUUAGUAUAAUUUACUUUAUAUUUAGUUUAUUUCAUUUAAUAAUGUUUUAUUUUAAUUUUCAAUUUUAUGAAAUAUAGUCAAUUUUUAAUUUUGUUUAUUAGUUUAACAUAUGUGUUGUAUUGGAAACAAAUAGUUAAAUUCAUAUUGGAAACUUUUAAAGAAAUAUUAUUUUUAUUUUUCCCUUUUUAUAUGUUUAUAAAAAAUAAGAAUUCAUGUUUCGGUCCGACCUAUCUCACUUAUGUUAGAAACUUUUUGAGACAUAAAUUAGAUAGAUUUAUAUUCUCAAAAUUUCUUACUUUUUGUUUUAUUCCCGUUAAAUCCUAGUAUAUUUAUGUUUACAUUGUGUAAAUAUAAUCAUAUAUAUAUAUAUAUAUAUUAAACAUUCACUAAAAACUAUAAUCUAUUAUUUAUAUAUUUGUUAGUAUAAUCGAUAAUUAGUAAGUUUUUUUUAACUCUUAAUCAAUUAUCUUUUUUACUUUUAUAAUGUAUAAUAUAAAAAGACCUUUCAUAUUCAUUUUGGAAAAACUUAUUUACAUAGGUUUAAAUAUUAAAAUUAAAUGAUAAAAUGGUAUAAUUAAUUUUAAAAAUUAAAUAAUAAAAUGAGGUGGAUGAUGAUGUGGCUUAAGGAGAAGAGAGAAAAAGUUAAUUUUAUAUAUAUAGAUUACUAAAUGAGUGGCACAUAGAGCUUUGGAUAUGAAUGGUGUGAGUCUAUUCUCAUCUAUACUAUACCAUUUUUUUUUUAUUCUCACUACAAAGUUUAAAAAACAGCUCUGGUCCAACACAUUAGCCGGUUUGCAUCAAUAUAGACAAAAUGAUCUUUUAUUAAUUGAAACCUCACAAGAUCAUAUACUGUUUGCAUAAUUGCAUUAGAUGAACAUAUUUUUUAAAAGCCAAAGAUCAUAAUAAACUUCUUAACGAUGUUAUUGGUGAACAUAUGAAAAUCUCUUUUCCCUAGGCCCUGAAAACAUGAAGAGUUUUCUAUGGUUCCAAAAUAAUUUCCACGAGUUUCUUAAGAGGAGCCAUACAAUGCUCAUCAACCAUCAAUUGGUACUCCUGCAUGUUGUGAAAAAGUGUGCAUAGUCAUUAUACAAAAUUUUGCCAUCAACUACUUAAGUACAUUCCUAAGAAAUCAAUAGAAUCCAGAGAAAAGUCAUCACAACUUACAGACAUGAAGAGAAUAAAAUGCUGGAAGCAAGUGUUGAGAUGAGCUUCUUCCUUGACAUCCACAAUUGAAAGAAAGUGAGUACGAUAGAUGUGUGCAUACACAUUAAACAACUUCCUCGAAAUGCGCUUCACGAUAUCCUUAAAGUUUGGAGGAAACGGUUCUCCUGAAUAGAAAAGACAGAAACAAGCAUGUUACAAACUUAAAAACAACAUAUGAUGUCAAUUUAAACUAUGAAUUAACUUUGCAAAAUAAGUACCUGAUUUCUUUGGAAAGAUAGUAUCGUUAUCGAUAUGAGUUCCAAUCCAGUUCAUGACAGACCCAAUAUACUCAGUGGCUGAACCCAUUUUAUGUCUUUGUCCAGUAUUUACAUCUACCCAUUGACACUCAUAUCUGCAAAGUAUAAGACCGAUAAAGACCAUAACUAUACUAUACUAUCAAUUCAUCAUGUACUCAAAAAUAUCAAGAAUGAGAAAGAUAUUUACCUUCCAGCCUUCAUUAUUGGGCAAGUGGUGGGUGUGCAUAAAUUUUCAAAAGUAGCACACAAAAGUCUUACUUGUUUGUAGAAAUCCAUAGCUAAAAGAAAAUUCACAAAAAAAAAAAAAAUCAAAUUAAGAAGAAAUAAAUAAUCAAGUUUGGAUAAGAAUAGUUAUGGAUAAUGAUUUUUUUCUUAACUGUUCAAGGCCAACCACUCGUUAAUGUCUUCACCAGGAGGUAGUUUCACGGCUUCUCUGAGAUUGCUACCCUCAAUAGUCACUGUUAGGAGCUCACGCAUCUGAAAAACAUCUUAACUUUUAUUACAACUUUAAAACUUUUACAAUGUCAUUACAGAGCAGUAAUGUAAUCCCUAUUGACCUUGCUUUGGGAUAGAUGCUCCAUCUUCUUUGGUGGAAUUGUCCUCUGAACAUUGUUCAUGUAAGACAAAUAACUCUAAACUUAAGAACCAAACAUAUACAAAGUUAUUACUCAUACAAAGAACAUAGAGGAUGAUAAAGAAAGGUAUUGAAUCUUUGCAAGAUACCUGCUUUUCAAAACCAAUAGAUUCAUGUCUGCAAAUGGAUCAAACGAUUAAAUCUGAAGCUUGCUCAACCUGAAAAUCAAAGAAACUAUCAAAAUCAUACUAGUAUAACGUAAAAUGUUUAUCUUACAAUAUAAGGACUUGAAUUCAAACGGAGUCUAAUUAACUAACAAAUUAAGAGGAUUUUCUUUUGCUACUCUAUUCAUUACUUCAAAAUUCAGAUUCGAAAUUUUACAUAUAAAAAUAUGUUAGUAUAGGUAUUUAGUUUUCAAGGCAAACUUUUAUUAUUCUUAGAUUUCAAGGGUUAAUGGAUUAGUAAAAGUACCAUAUGGAAGAGUAUUCAUCCAUCAAAUCUCAAGUCAAUUCCACAAUUUUUUUUGACUGAAGCGAUGAAUUAUUUGAGUGUGAAAUGAUUUAAGUUCACAUUCAAUGGCAGAUCUAAGUGUGAGAGAAGAUCUACCACUAAGGUGAUUGAAAUAGAAAAAGAUGUAUUACCUAAGUGAUUGAAAUAGAAAAAGAUAAACAAAGAUGAAUCAACAGAGAAAUGACGGAGAUUACGAUGAUAUAAAGAUGAUACACUCUAUUUUCCAAUUUCUUAAUGUAACUUUUAGAUCUACCAUUGUUCACAAUAUUAGAGAUACCAGAUUUGAUUUAUUACAUAAAAGUGUAUAUAACACCAUUAAAGCAUUUGAAACAUCGAAAAAAUUAGAAAACAAAGAAACGACAGCUAUACAAAUAAUACAAAGUAAAUCCGAAAUUGGAAGAUACGUCUGAUUUCAGAUAUGUUCGAUUCUGUGAUAUUUUUUCUCUAACUUUUAGAUCUAUCAUGACUUACAAAAUAAGAUCAAAUAAAUCUGAUUCGUAACAAAAACACUGUCUGUAAUGUAAAUAAGAUGAUUGUAGUACCUCGACUCGCGAAUGAGAACCCUUUCCUCCUUAGACUUACGCAAACUUUUACUCUAGAUUACUACCUCUGCUGUCAAGUUAUAUUUAUAUUGUAGCCUUGCAGGUCUAGUUACCCUAUCUUUAUCUAGAACAUUGAGCUGUCAAAGAGUUACCACCAUAUAUUUCACCAAGGACCCCACCAACUUUUUCUGGCUUGACUUUUCUCGUGUGUGAAAAUCUAUCCUAUAUAUGAGAUAAAAGUACAACAAAUCACAGCCGUCCAAUUGUCAAAAAUUUGCAAAUACACAAAUUUACGAGAUUACCCACUAUAUAAAACCCAUGCCCCUUGUUCGAUCGUUUGAUAGUCCAAUAUAUGGACUCACUACUUUUCCUUUUUCACUUUCUUUCUCUCGCACAUUCAUUCACUCUCCUUUAUUUAUAUAUUUUUUAUAUAAAUUUUUUUUUAUGCAAGUCUUUAUGCGAUAUAUAAUGUAAAAUUAACAUCUCUAUAGUGGUCAAGAUUAUAACAUAAACAGUGUGUAUGGUAUUGAUAUCUCUGACCUUUUAGUUUCUACAUAUUUCUUACCUCCAUUUCACUGCACAAUCUGGUUUUAUUCCAACAACAGUCACUAACUUUGUUCCCAAAUUUUUAGAUAUAUAUAAUUGUUACGUAAUAUAUCUAUUACUUAACAUAUUUUAAAUAAUUAUGGGAGAAAAAUUCUCGUAAAUGCGGACGCGAAUCUUUCAUUGUUUUUUCAUGUAUUGACGCAUCUUUUUGGGAUUUACACUCCUUUUAACACGUGUUCGGCCACUAAGUGGAGACUCUUUCCGCUUCUCAGUUCUCACCUCUACCGAGACGUUCUUCCACCAUUGUUAUAAGAAACACACCCUCUUUUGUUCUUCAUAUCUUUACUCAAAUGAACUUUAUUUGUCCCAGUACUCGUUCAUAGGAAGCCUUUAUCUCUUCGUGUACCCAUGCAUGCACCUAACCAUCUGCUGUCGCUGAUCCCAAUUUCCAAUCUCUUUCAAGCAUCUAGAUGACAGAGAAGAUGCGUGAACUAUGCUUGAUACCUAUGGAUGUUUAAAUAGCUCUUCCAUCCCCGAUUGAAUCUAUUGAACACCACAUAGUUGAUUAUUUCUGCGUCUACAAAGUUUAUUUUCAGGGGGGGGGGGUGAAUUAUAUUUUCCUCUUCCCGAAGUUCUAUUUCGUUUUUGCAUCUUCACAAGAUUGCACUUUCUCAGUUACCCCAAAUUUUCUCUGAGAAAUAUAGACUUUGCCUACCAUCGAAGCUGAAGUGGGUUACACGCUCUCUAUACGACCAAAAUCUUUGAACUUUUUUAUAUUAAGGCCACAUGUCAUAGUUCCAAAAUUUUAUCCUCUUACCCUAAUGUUGAUUGAAUAGUCGUGUCGGGGUUGCCAACUCGCGAUGAUAACUGGCACUGCUAUUGGUUCCUGAUAAAGUUCUCUCCCACUUCGCUCAAUGGACUGGCUUCCUUGCUUCCUCUGGAGUGGAGAUUGAGCACAUGUUUGAUCUUUCAAUCUUUAUCUCGCUUAUUUAUUAAUUUGCUUUAUCGUAUAAUUUUUAUUUAUUCCGGUUCUUUAGAACGACCUAGCCGCUCUAUUCUUGCUGAUGACUUUAUCAGAUUCUUUUCUAGAUUGUUCGACAUCGAACAUUAUUGGAAUUCUAUUAUUAUCAAUCAUAUUCACCAAGCAUGUGAAAUUUUUAGGACUGAGGAAAAGAGGUCUGAGUCCCCAUCCCUACAAUUCACAAGAAGAAAGUCAUGGAAAAGACCUUUCGAGGGCGGAUUUCUACAAAUUUUCAGGAGAAAAAGAAACUCUUCUCUUUAUCCCUGAGAUGACCUGCUGCAAGGUUCUAUUGGUGGAUGAUGGGUCCAGAGACAGCUUUAAAUAAGUGUCUGAACUUCCCCCACCCAACCUUGAUGUUACUCAAACCCAAAGCGGUGGUCUUCAUGAAUCCCUAAGCAUAGGCAUAGAAAGAAAAAUUCCUUAAUCGACUUAUCCUUUUAGUGUGAUAAGAGAAAAGAAUUGAGAAAAAAUGCCACACUGUCCUGUCAUAGGUCCUUUCACUAUACUUCUUCCAAUUGAUAUGAAUUUUGAUCAAAGCCAGUACACGAUCGUUCCUCUUGCCCACACUGUUUGCAGCUGGAUUAACCCAUAACCGUUUUGAGUUUUAAUUCUCGAAAUUUCUUUGGAGAUGUUACGAAGGGAUGCUUGACGAGUUUCUGGUUUUUAGCAAAAGCUUGCUACUCCUCUUCUACUUACAUCGAACUGUUGGCUAUGAACAAGGCAUCUUGUUCUGUUGCAGGUCGAUUAACAAUGAGUUCCUCUCGUAACCUAGAUUCGGGCCACAAUCCUUUUUUUGUAAGGUGGAUAAGGCAUCAACUUCGUUAUUCAUGGAAUUGUAGCUAAGAGUUCCUUAAAUUUUCCAAUAUGACUCUGGAAAGGUUCCUGCUAUGACUAAGUUAGGUUCCCAGGUCACUACCGGAUCUUCCUUGUGUAAUGAGCAUUGAUUACUACAUGAAUAACAUGGAUGACAUGUCCUUAAAGUUGUUGAUUGAUUCUAGAUCUAACUACGUGAACCAUAACAAGGCAAGUCUGAAUAGGUUUUCCGAGAAAAUCUUGCAAUAUCCCACAUCCUCCUCAUGGGGCUCCAAAUUAGUUCGUCAUGCAACAUUUUAAACAGUUGUGAGAUGACUCUUCGUAUCAACUUUUCCAUCAUAAGUGGAAAUGUUCACCCUGCGAGUGUCCCUUAUCCAAAGAUUUGAGAUUUUUGGUACGAAAGGAGACCUCAUGGUUUCUGCUAUUACUUUAUAAAUGUAGGAUGCACAUCUGGUCACCUGGUGCACCUUCGACUUGAUUUCCUUCAGGUGGAGAUGUAUCUUAUCAAGAUCGGAUGCACGCUUUGGAUCAGCUCCAUUUUUAUGUGUCCCGAAUAUCGAGAACCCGAGCCCACGAUCUGUCCGGCCGAGGUCACCGUCCGUCCGUCCGCAUUAAUCAAAGAGCGACUUACCAAGGGUUAACAAUUCGACUUCUAGGCAUCAUUGGACAACCAAGGAACAUCAAGAGGAGCAACGCGAGGUCAUCUCAUGGACAUCGUUACCGAUCAUCCAUCCAACAAGCAAAACUUCAACCUUUCUCACCGAAGGUCCAUAGAACGCAUCACCAUCGAAGGACCAUCGAGUGCAACCAGCUUUGGGAAGCUUGAUACGUGUGUCUUCACCACCACGCUCGAGUGUAGAACCAAAAGACUUUUAGGGAUGUCUUCACUCGAGCGUGGUGGUGAAGACACACGUAUCAAGCUUCCCAGAGCUGGUUGCAUUCGAUGGUCCUUUGAUGGUGAUGCGCUCCAUGGACCUUCGGUGAGAAAGUUUGAAGCUUGGCUUGUUGGAUGGAUGAUCGGUGAAGAUGUGCAUGAGAUGACCUCGCCUUGCUCCUCUUGAUGUUCCUUGAUUGUCUAAUGAUGCCUUGAAGUCAAAUUGUUAACCCCGGGUAAGUCGCUCUUUGAUGGAUGCGGACGGAUGGACGGUGACCUUGGCCGGACGGAUCGUGGCAUCGGGUUGUCGAUUUCCAUGGACACAUCAAUUUGGGUCAUCUCUGGCAAACCAUCCAUUAGAUCCGACAUCCUUACACUUCUUUGAUUAGAAGAGGGGUUUCCCUAUUAUAAGCUGUUACUGGAGGAUGAUUGGUCGCUUCUGUUCCAUUUGUUGCAUUGCUUACUGCCACUGAAUUGUCAAUUUUAGUGGAAAUUGUUGAAUAAUUGUCGUUGAGGGUACUCGAAGUGGCUUGAAGAUUAGUCAUUUCCUCAUGAUUUGCAAUGAUAUUGCCUCUCAAGUUGGUUACUGUAUCCGUGAGUGCUUGAACCGAGGAUGUGAAAAUUAAAUCAAAGAACUUUUCGCGGGGUAAUUCUUAGACUUUCGUCCCCAUAGACAGUAUCAAAUUGUGCGACUCAAAUCCCACACCCUUGACUAUGAGUGGUGAAGGACUAAAUUUAUUUCUGAAACAAAAUACAAAGAAUUUAACACGGGAAACCUUAUGAGAAAGACAAAGAAAUUGCUAAAGGAAAUCUGUAUUUUAAAAAAUAUAUUAACCUAUAUUUAUACUCAUAAUGGUGUUUAAUACAAAACAAAUACAAUUAAACUCUAGUUAAUGAAUUUAUUUUGAUUCUACAUUAAUUACGUAAUGGUUUCCUUUAAUUCAAAUUAUUCCUCUUUAAAUGUCUUUUUUAAUUCUCGUUCCAAGAUUAUGUACUUUUCUCCGUGCUGGCUAAUACUUCUUUCUUUCAUCAUGUUAUUCUCCUUCUCGGUUGAUCAAUCGAUCUCGCUGAUUUCUUUUCAUCUCGUGGAGUACGCUUCAUGUUCUUCUAAUAAUGGUCCUUCAAGGUAAAGCUCAUACCCAAAUAAGGAGGGGGUUUUGGCCCCAAAAAUAAGUAUUACAAAAAAUGUUUAGUGAGGCAAAUUGUAACGCCCGUCUCCGGUUGUUCUUGGAUGGUAUAUGUGUAAGUUUAUCGAAGGAUUUGUCUAUGGUCGAGAAAAUGUUGAUGUAAUCGAAGGUUAUUAAGAAGAUUGGAAUGGACAGUUGGGAAUCCGAAUGUUCGGUGAGGAAUGAAGUAUUGUUCGGUUGGUUCGGACAAGAUGGGUCUUUCGGACAGGUUUUGUCGGAAGAUUAUCUAUUAUGCGGAUUUAUCGGACAUUUGUCUGGUUCAGACAGUUUUGGUUGAGACUCUAUCGAUGGAAUGUUAGUCCGUGGGCUUUCUAUCGGCCCAAACUCGUCAGGCCGCGAGUGGUGUUUCGGAAGAUCGAUAGAAAAUGAUAUUAUUCGACAAAGUGUUGGAAUAUGCAAAUAUUCUCAAGAGAAAUAUCGGAGGAUCGACUGUUUACUCGAUAGUAUAAAAGAAUGAUCGAGAGAGCUAGGGUUUUUCAUGCAUUAUCUUGCAUUAUGAGCGCCGUCAAGGCAGUGAUCGAGAAAGAAGAGAAAAAGAGUGAGAGUUAUUGAGAGUAUUGUUAUGAUGAUCGAGAUCUUGUAUUCAUGGAUCGAGAUCAACGAUUAUGGCAGAUGACGAAUCCGGUGGAACGUAUGCAAUCGAUUAGGUUGACAAAAUGAUCGGGUUAAUGAGAAUUAAUGGUCCAUUUUCGAGUAUGUGUCUAGAAGUAUCGACAAAGGGCGAGUAAGUUCGGGCAAGAACGAGUUGAUGAUCGAUUGUAUCGAGGAUUCGCGAGUGAUCGCAUCGAGAGAAGUGACGAUCGGUCGGUUAUAUGCUAACGAAGGAUCGAUCGAAGUGUUCAUGGGUACGAUUACCGAGAGAUUUCGAGGGAGACUGAUGGUUAUCGAGUUAUUAUGUGUUAGGGGUCGAGAAUCGAUAGCGGUUGUCGAUGGAUGGAUCUGUUUGACGGAUCGAGGGUGAUUGGCGAGCACUCGGUGUUACCGAGUGUCGAACGUAGCAAGUGGCGGAGAAGAAUAUCCGCGGCUGGACGGAUCAAGCAUCCAGCCCAUCUCUUAUUGUUUACUCUGUCACUUGGGGAUGGUUGGUUGUGUGACUAAGAAACAAUAAGGGAUGGUCAUCAGUGAAAUAAGGAGACGUGUUCGGUAGUGCGAGAAUGGAGUCCUGAAAGCUGGAUCGUUAGCAAGUGAUACAGAUGGAUGGUGUUCGAUUCAGAGACUCCGAAUCUAUAAGUUACACAUGGAGGUAAAAUGUGUUCAUGUUAUUGAUUGUAUGGAGUUAUGUUCGUUACAAAUGUGUUUAAAAUGGUUUAUGCAUGUUUUUAAGUAUAUUUUUGUUAAGUUGAUUUCUCGUCGGAAGUCUCGCCAGAAUGUUUUCUCCGGUAGAUUUUUAGUUUUCGGGUUAGGGUCUUUCAAGUUGGUAUCAGAGCGCGGUCGCUUCUAGGAAAGUUCUCUAAUGGAAAGAGAUAAGUCUAGUUCGAUUAGUGCGGGAAUGUUAUGGAAAAGCGAUGGAAAAAGUUGAAAGUGCUAUGGAAAGGCAUUAACGGGUCGAUGUUUGUAUUCGGUCCAGAGGUGAUCAAGUAAGAAUCGGAUGAGGGAUUUCGAGAAUGAAGUGUAUACGGCCAGUAGCAUGUUUCAGAUAUUGGUGAAGUGAUCGAGAGUCACUAAGACGGUGUACUGAAUCGGUCAAGUCAUUGGGAAUGAAUGAUCGACGUCAUUGUAAUGGCUUAGGAGGAAAGAAAAGGGAUCAUUGUCGGUUAUGGAAGACUAAGGGUUUCUCAAAUGAACUAAUUAAGAUGGUAAGAAAAGCUAAGUGGAAGAAGCGAGUGGCUUCAAAAUAAAGAGUAACUCGGUCGAGGUAUGGCCGAGAGUUGUUGAUAUUAAAGGUUUGUUUGGUAAGGGAUUAGCGAAGGUGAAGUAAUUUGCUGUGAAUGUUUAGAUAUUGAUCUAACAUUCUAGUAAGGGUCGAUAAAGAAGAUCUAUGGUAAGUUAUUGGAGCUAAGUGAAUUUUGGAUCAAAGGUUCUGAGGGGAAUCAAAUAGGUUGAAGGUAGCCGGAAGAAAUGAAUAUGUUCCUGUGAAGUUCACGCGAUGGUAAGGGGAUAUCAUUGUCUGUGAUAUACAAAGAGGAAGCUCAGGAAAUUGGAUCCCGAGAAAUAAGUGAGAACUUGUAUUUCCGGGGACCGAGCUGUUGCUAUUGGAGGUUUCAGUAAUGUUCAGUAAAGAUUGGAUAGCCGAGAAGUGUUUAUGCAUCAAGAAGUGGCUAGAUGGGAGUCUAGUGCAUCCGGUAAGAGUAUGUGCAAGAGCUGCCAAGUUGGAGCGAAGUUUCUAAGUGCUAAAAUGGAAAGUCUGUGGUGAAUUAAUGACGGCUAUGGAAUGUGGGAAGUAAAUCAAAUCUGUUGUGAAGGUCGAUCAUGGUGCGGUAAAGUUGGAGGCAGUUCCAUUCUUCGGAAGUAAUCGACGAGAUUUGAUUAGAUGAAUAUCUAGCAUCUCGGAUUGAAAUUUGGACAAGUAUGGUCGGUAAUGGAAACCGUUAUGAUCGGUGGAAAGUUGAGAUAGCUGAGAGAGUAUUCUAAAAAGUGAGUUACUGCCAUGUGCGGAUGUUGACGAUCGACGGUACUAACGCUAUCGUUGGCUGGUAUUAUCGUGGUACGUUAGACCAUCUACAAUGGUUUUUGCUAUUUUUACCUCUGUAAUAGAGGAACUCUAUAAUAUAGAUGACUUUUGCUCCAAUGGUUUCCUCUAUUUUUUCCUCUAUAAUAGAAUAUUCCAAAAAGAUUCUUUUUAAAUUUUAAUAUUAACACCAUCUAUUUAUUAAAAUUGCAAAUUGACCCAUUUACUUUAACUUCUAUAAAAUUUUAAUAAAAUAGUUACUUUUAUUUAAAUUAAAAAUUUAUUAUAAAAACAUCAUAUUAUGUAUUUUUUGUUUAAAAGUACAUUAUAUUAUAUAAAAACAAUAAGAUACAAGAUGAUAUUUUAUUAUUAUAUAUAAUAAGAUAAAAUAAAAUCUUUUUUUUUCCUUAAAUAAAAAUAAAAUCUAUUAUUAUAUAUAUUUAUAAGAUUUUAUAUAAUUUACUUUUGCAGAUGGUAAUCUCAAAUUUUAGAAUAUAUAUUUAUAUUAUAACCUCUAAAAUAUUUUAUAUUAUUAGUUAUUAAAUUUAUUUAUUUUAUUUAUUUGUUCAUAAAUAAAAAUAAGUUUAAGAUUAAAAGGACUACUUUGCAAUAAAAUAGUUCACGUCUAUUUAUAGAGGAAAAAUAGAGUUCCUCUAUAUAUAGAGAUAAAAAUAGCAAUCUCUAUAAUAAAGGUGGAUAUAGAGGUGGGUUGGAGCAAAAAAUUGCUAUAAAAUAGAGUUUAGAGACAAAAAUAGAGGUGCGUUGGAGAAGCUCUUAGCAAUGCGAUGGUGAGUACUCCGGCGAAUAGUUGUCGGUCCGUUGGAUGGUAUGAUGACUAUCGGCAGUCGGUGACUGGUAGAGCGUGUUGCUUGGUUCCAAGAAUCGGAUUGGGAUCAAGUCUGACCCAAGAAGUUAUUUCAAGUAACAAGUCCAAGAUUUCACAAGAGGAAAUGGAAAUCCGUAAAUGAUUAUCUAAGGCAAUGGGUUGCCGGGAAUGUGGGGUAAAGGAGACUUCACUCAAGGUGUCCGAGAUGUUUAGAUGGUUAUCUUACAUCCUCGGAAAAGUCAGAAAUGAUUGUGGUGGUCUAAAGAAAGUGCAAGGAUUCUUUUGGAAAAGGAAAACCGGAAGUUAAGUUUACGUGAUGAAGUUGGAAGUGGAGCAUGUGUAGGCUAAGGACAAGCCGGAAAUGAAGAAUGACUAGCUUCACCGGAGGUGACCGGAGGUGAGCUAUUGUAGUCGGAGUUGUUUUCUUUCCAUAGAUUUGAUUGGUCUUGAGAACUUUUCAUAGGUUAAGUGCUAUCGCGGUAAUGUCUUGAUAAUUUAUCGAUGGUGGUUCCGAUAAUUAUCUUGAUGGUAUGUUUUGACUUGCAUGAUUGACUCAUGAGAUCGAUAGUAUGUUUGGAUUUCUAGAUUGAGCCUAGUGACUUCAUGACCGUGGCCUCUAGAAUCAUUCUCAUUACUUAGACUUAGUGAUGUUGCUUGCUAGCUAUGGUUUAUGUUUAUUGCGAUAAUGUUCCGGUGGAUACUCGAUGGUGGUUCCGAUAUUCAUCUUGACGAUUUGUUAUGUUAUAAAAUGGCAAGCAUCCUUGAUUAGUUAGAUCAAUUGUUAGAUUACAAUAGGGAAAAUGUCAAGAAGAAUUUGUUGAAAUAGGAAAUUAGUUAAGUGUGAAAGCUUAAGUGUUUUGUUGGUGAGCUUUGAAGGUACGUGGUUUCAUAAGUUGAUGUGUUCUUUGUGUACAUGCGUGUGCUAAGGAACAUUUAUGUAAGUGUACUUGGGGACUUGCGAGUCUGCCGAUGCACAAUGUUAUGGUAGUCACGGGGACUUACGAGUUUCCUUGAUGAGAUUGUUGGGCCAUUAGUACUUGCCAAGGUAGUAGCCACAAUACGUGAAAGUUCUGAGAGAAUGUUGAGAGUGUUAUGGUUGAUCAAGUUUGAUUACCAAGUAUUGAAACGUAAGCGGCUUUGAGAGCUAAGAGAUGAGCGAGGUAUAAGUAGGUUGAAGGUCUAGAUUGUUGAUCUAGUCGAUCCGAUAGUUUAAGGAAAGACUGCUCGGAAGGCUUUAGAUAAUCAUUCUUGACGAAUCACGUGGUGGAAAUAAGUGGAGUUUUCCAUUACAUGUAAUAUUAUCAUGGUUUGUGAAUCGAAAAAAUUCACCAAGGUUUGAAUGUUGGAUCGCUUACGGGAAUUUGGGCAGUUCUCUGAGGCGUGUUAACAAGUAAUCGGUAAGGACCGGAAGCUUUGGCCAAGGUUUGGAUGUAAUGCCGAAUGUUAUGCAAAUCAUAAGUGAUUGAAAGGUAGAUAAGAAUUGGUUGAUCCGUAAAUGUUGGUUAAGCUCAUGAAGAGAUCGGAAGAAAUGAAUAUUGGCAUCAAGAUCAUGCAAGGGUUCAUUAGGAGCAAAAGUCCGGAAAGGUGUAAGGAUCGUGGGGUAUCCGGGAUUGUGCAUGGAAAGCAAGACAAGUAGUAAGUUCUAGAAGUAUUGGGAAGUUCCGGAAAAUUCUUGAAAGGUUUAAGGUUAAGUGCAGAUGGUUAUGGCUUUGAAGAAAUCAGUAAGUACUAGAGUCAUGGUGGAAGUAUCGGGUCGUAAGUGUUGGUCCGAUUAAAUAUUUGGUGUUAAGGUAAAUGUUGCCAUGGGAGCUCGAAAAGUUUCUAAGGCGUAUUUAUGAAGCAAAAUGUUGUUCGGAGAUCAAGAGUGGGAUUGAUCGAAGGUUGGUUGUUUUGGCUCAUGAAGUGUCGAGCGUGGUAAAGUCCGACAAAGGUAGGUUAAACAUGAUGUAUUCGGGAAGGAUGCAUGAUGGUUAAAGUGUUGAGCAUUUGGAAAUGUUUAAUAGGAUGGUUAAGUAUGCAGAGAAGUUUAAAUUCUCCCAUGACGGGUCAGAAAUGUUAUACAUAGUGAAGGUCUAUCGACCGAGAGAAGGUCAAAAAGGAGUGCAUAUUACUUUGCGAGUAUGUUGGCAAGCAGAUUGCUGGAUUGAAAGUGUCUCCGAAUAGUCAUGUUUGGUUGGUAAGUGUAAGAAAAGUAAGACCUUGUCUGGCGAGGACUUGUGCGAAUGUUCAGCUCAAAUCUUUGCGAAGUCAAGGAAUUUGUGGAGAAAGUUCGAGAAGGACUAAGGUUCAAGGCAAAGAUCAAGCCGUGGAGUGGUUCUGGCCGAGAAAAAGUUUCGGGAAUCGAGUAAGUUAAGGAAGUGAGCAUAAAGAAAGGUAUAUCGGAUGCAAAAAAACAAAAUUUGCAUUACGGCAUUGAUGAAGGAAUGAUGGCACAAGUUAUUGAUUAAGUUAUUGGAAAGCUCGAGUAUUGGAAUGGAAUUCGACAAUAGAGAAAUUCGAGGACGAAUUUAUUUAGAGGUGGGGGAGAGCUGUAACGCCCGUCUCCGGCUUUUCUUGGAUGGUAUAAGGUAGCCUAUUGUCGAGUAUAUGUGUAAGUUUAUCGAAGGAUUUGUCUAUGGUCGGGAAAAUGUUGAUGUACUCGAAGGUUAUCGAGAAGAUCGGUAUGGACAGUUGGGAAUCCGAAUGGUCGGUGAGGAAUGAAGUAUUGUUCGGUUGGUUCGGACAAGAUGGGUCUUUCGGACAUGUUUUGUUGGAAGAUUAUCUAUUAUGCGGAUUUAUCGGACAUUUGUUUGGUUCGGACAGUUUUGGUCGAGACUCUAUCGAUGGAAUGUUAGUCCGUGGGCUUUCAAUCGGCCCAAACUCGUCAGGCCGCGAGUGGUGUUUCGGAAGAUCGAUAGAAAAGGAUAUUAUUCGACAAAGUGUUGGAAUAUGCAAAUAUUCUCGAGAGAAUAUCGGAGGAUCGACUGUUUACUCGAAAGUAUAAAAGAAUGAUCGAGAGAGCUAGGGUUUUUCAUGCAUUAUCUUGCAUUAUGAGCGCUGUCAAGGUAGUGAUCGAGAAAGAAGAGAAAAAGAGUGAAAGUUAUUGAGAGUAUUGUUAUGAUGAUCGAGAUCUUGUAUUCAUAGAUCGAGAUCAACGAUUAUGGCGGAUGACGAAUCCGGUGGAACGUAUGCAAUCGUUUAGGUUGACAAAUUGAUCGGGUUAAUGAGAAGUAAUGGUCGAUGUUCGAGUAUGUGUCGGGAAGCAUCGACAAAGGGCGAGUAAGUUCGGGCAAGAUCGAGUGGAUGAUCAAUUGUAUCGAGGAUUCGCGAGUGAUCGCAUCGAGAGAAGUGAUGAUCGGUCGGUUAUAUGCUAAAGAAGGAUAGAUGGAAGUGUUCAUGGGUACGAUUACCGAGAGAUCUCGAGGGAGAUUGAUGGUUAUCGAGUUAUUAUGUGUUAAUGGUCGAGAAUCGAUAGUGGUUGUCGAUGGAUGGAUCUGUUCGACGGAUCGAAGGUGAUUGGCGAGCACUCGGUGUUACCAAGUGUCAAACGUAGCAAGUGGCAGAGAGAAUGUCCGCGGCUGGACGGAUCAAGCAUCCAGCCCUUCUUUUAUUGUUUACUCUAUCACAUGGGGAUGGUUGGUUGUGUGACUAAGAAACAAUAAGGGAUGGUCAUCAAUGAAAUAAGGAGACCUGUUCGGUAGUGAGAGAAUGGAGUCCUGAAGGCUGGAUCGUUAGCAAGUGAUACAUAUGGAUGAUGUUCGAUUCAGAGACUCCGAAUCUAUAAGGUACACAUGGAGGGAAAUGUGUUCAUGUCAUUGAUUGUAUGGAGUUAUGUUCGUUAAAUGUGUUUAAAAUGGUUUAAGCAUGUUUUAAAGUAUAUUUUUGUUAAGUUGAUUUCUCGUCGGAAGUCUCGCCAGAAUGUUUUCUCCGGUAGAUUUUUAGUUUUCGGGUUAGGGUCUUUCAAGUUGGUAUCAGAGCGCGGUCGCUUCUGGGACAGUUCUCUAAUGGAAAGAGAUAAGUCUAGUUCGAUUAGUGCGGGAAUGUUAUGGAAAAGCGAUGAAAAAGUUGAAAGUGCUAUGGAAAGGCAUUAACGGGUCGAUGUUUGUAUUCGGUCCAGAGGUGAUCAAGUAAGAAUCGGAUGCGGGAUUUCAAGAAUGAAGUGUAUACGGCCAGUAGCAUGUUUCAGAUAUUGGUGAAGUGAUGGAUGGAUCGAGAGUCACUAAGACGGUGUACUGAAUCGGUCAAGUCAUUGGGAAUGACUGAUCGACGUCAUUGUAAUGGCUAAGGUGGAAAGAAAAGGGAUCAUUGUCGGUUAUGGAAGACUAAGGGUUUCUCAAAUGAACUGAUUAAGAUGGUAAGAAAAGCUAAGCGGAAGAAGUGAGUGGCUUCCAAAUAAAGAGUAAGUCGGUCGAGGUAUGGCCGAGAGUUGUUGAUACUAAAGGUUUGUUUGGUAAGGGAUUAGCGAAGGUGAAGUAAUCGGCUAUGAAUGUUUAGAUUUUGAUCUAACAUUCUAGUAAGGGUCGGUAAAGAAGAUCGAUGGUAAGUUAUUGGAGCUAAGUGAAGUUUUGAUCAAAGGUUCUGAGGAGAAGCAAAUAGGUUGAAGGUAGCCGGAAGAAACGAAUAUGUUCCUGUGAAGUUCACGCAUUGGUAAGGGGAUAUCAAUGUCUGUGAUAUACAAAGAGGAAGCUCAGGAAAUUGGAUCCCGAGAAAUAAGUGAGAACUUGUAUUUCCCGGGACCGAGCUGUUGCUAUUGGAGGUUUCAGUAAUGUUCAGUAAAGAUUGGAUAGCCGAGAAGUGUUUAUGCAUCAAGAAGUGGCUAGAUGGGAGUCUAGUGCAUCCGGUAAGAGUAUGUGCAAGAGCUGCCAAGUUGGAGCGAAGUUUCUAAGUGCUAAAAUGGAAAGUCUGUGGUGAAUUAAUGACGGCUAUGGAAUGUGGGAAGUAAAUCAAAUCUGUUGUGAAGGUCGAUCAUGGUGCGGUAAAGUUGGAGGCAGUUCCAUUCUUCGGAAGUAAUCGACGAGAUUUGAUUAGAUGAAUAUCUAGCAUCUCGGAUUGAAAUUUGGACAAGUAUGGUCGGUAAUGGAAACCGUUAUGAUCGGUGGAAAGUUGAGAUAGCUGAGAGAGUAUUCUAAAAAGUGAGUUACUGCCAUGUGCGGAUGUUGACGAUCGACGGUACUAACGCUAUCGUUGGCUGGUAUUAUCGUGGUACGUUAGACCAUCUACAAUGGUUUUUGCUAUUUUUACCUCUGUAAUAGAGGAACUCUAUAAUAUAGAUGACUUUUGCUCCAAUGGUUUCCUCUAUUUUUUCCUCUAUAAUAGAAUAUUCCAAAAAGAUUCUUUUUAAAUUUUAAUAUUAACACCAUCUAUUUAUAAAAGUUGCAAAUUAACCCAUUUACUUUAACUUUUAUAAAAUUUUAAUAAAAUAAUUACUUUUAUUUAAAUUAAACAUUUAUUAUAAAAACAUCAUAUUAUGUAUUUUUUGUUUAAAAGUACAUUAUAUUAUAUAAAAACAAUAAGAUACAAGAUGAUAUUUUAUUAUUAUAUAUAAUAAGAUAAAAUAAAAUCUUUUUUUUUCCUUAAAUAAAAAUAAAAUCUAUUAUUAUAUAUAUUUAUAAGAUUUUAUAUAAUUUACUUUUGCAGAUGGUAAUCUCAAAUUUUAGAAUNNNNNNNNNNNNNNNNNNNNNNNNNNNNNNNNNNNNNNNNNNNNNNNNNNNNNNNNNNNNNNNNNNNNNNNNNNNNNNNNNNNNNNNNNNNNNNNNNNNNUUUAUUUGUUCAUAAAUAAAAAUAAGUUUAAGAUUAAAAGGACUACUUUGCAAUAAAAUAGUUCACGUCUAUUUAUAGAGGAAAAAUAGAGUUCCUCUAUAUAUAGAGAUAAAAAUAGCAAUCUCUAUAAUAAAGGUCGAUAUAGAGGUGGGUUGGAGCAAAAAUUGCUAUAAAAUAGAGUUUAGAGACAAAAAUAGAGGUGCGUUGGAGAUGCUCUUAGCAAUGCGAUGGUGAGUACUCCGGCGAAUGGUUGUCGGUCCGUUAAAUGGUACGAUGACUAUCGGCAGUCGGUGACUGGUAGAGCGUGUUGCUUGGUUCCAAGAAUCGGAUUGGGAUCAAGUCUAACCAAAGAAGUUAUUUCAAGUAACAAGUCCAAGAUUUCACAAGAGGAAAUGGAAAUCCGUAAGUGAUUAUCUAAGGCAAUGGGUUGCCGGGAAUGUGGGGUAAAGGAGACUUCACUCAAGGUGUCCGAGAUGUUUAGAUGGUUAUCUUACAUCCUCGGAAAAGUCAGAAAUGAUUGUGGUGGUCUAAAGAAAGUGAAAGGAUUCUUUUGGAAAAGGAAAACCGGAAGUUAAGUUUACAUGAUGAAGUUGGAAGUGGAGCAUGUGUAAGCUAAGGACAAGCCGGAAAUGAAGAAUGACUAGCUUCACCGGAGGUGAGCUCUUGUCUAAGCUGUUGUAGUCGGAGUUGUUUUCUUUCCAUAGAGUUGAUUGGUCUUGAGAACUUUUCAUAGGUUAAGUGCUAUCGCGGUAAUGUCUUGAUAAUUUAUCGAUGGUGGUUCCGAUAAUUAUCUUGAUGGUAUGUUUUGACUUGCAUGAUUGACUCAUGAGAUCGAUAGUAUGUUUGGAUUUCUAGAUUGAGCCUAGUGACUUCAUGACCGUGGCCUCUAGAAUCAUUCUCAUUACUUAGACUCAGCGAUGUUGCUUGCUAGUUAUGGUUUAUGUUUAUCGCGAUAAUGUUCCGGUGGAUACUCGAUGGUGGUUCCGAUAUUCAUCUUGACGAUUUGUUAUGUUAUAAAAUGGCAAGUUUCCUUGACUAGUUAGAUCAAUUGUUAGAUUACAACAGGGAAAAUGUCGAGAAGAAUUUGUUGAAAUAGGAAAUUAGUUAAGUGUGGAAGCUUAAGUGUUUUGUUGGUGAGCUUUGGAGGUAGGUGGUUUCAUAAGUUGAUGUGUUCUUUGUGUACAUGCGUGUGCUAAGGAACAUUUAUGUAAGUAUACUUGGGGACUUGCGAGUCUGCCGACGCACAAUGUUAUGGUAGUCACGGGGACUUACGAGUUUCCUUGACGAGAUUGUUGGGCCAUUAGUACUUGCCAAGGUAGUAGCCACAAUACGUGAAAGUUCUGAGAGAAUGUUGAGAGUGUUAUGGUUGAUCAAGUUUGAUUACCAAGUAUUGAAAAGUAAGCGGCUUUGAGAGCUAAGAGAUUAGCAAGGUAUAAGUAGGUUGAAGGUCUAGAUGGUUGAUCUAGUCGAUCCGAUAGUUUAAGGAAAGACUGCUCGGAAGGCUUUAGAUAAUCAUUCUUGACGAAUCACGUGGUGGAAAUAAGUGGAGUUUUCCAUUACGUGUAAUAUGAUCAUGGUUUGUGAAUCGGAGAAUUCACCAAGGUUUGAAUGUUGGAUCGCUUACUGGAAUUUGGGCAGUCCUCCGAGGCCUGUUAACAAGUAAUCGGUAAGGACCAGAAGGUUUGGCCAAGGUUUGGAUGUAAUGCCGAAUGUUAUGCAAAUCAUAAGUGAUUGAAAAGUAGAUAAGAAUUGGUUGAUCCGUAAAUGUUGGUUAAGCUCAUGGAGAGAUCGGAAGAAAUGAAUAUAGGCAUCAAGAUCGAUGCAAGGGUUCAUUAGGAUCAAAAGUCCGGAAAGGUGUAAGGAUCGUGGGGUAUCCGAGAUUGUGCGUGGAAAGCAAGACAAGUAGUACGUUCUGGAAGUAUUGGGAAGUUCCGGAAAAUUCUUGAAAGGUUCAAGGUUAAGUGCAGAUGGCUAUGGUUUGGAAGAAAUCGGUAAGUACUAGAGUCAUGGUGGGAGUAUCGGGCCGUACGUGUUGGUCCGAUUAAAAAUUUGGUGUUAAGGUAAAUGUUGCCAUGGGAGCUCGAAAAGUUUUCUAAGGCGUAUUUAUGAAGCAAAAUGUUGUUCGGAGAUCAAGAGUGGGAUUGAUCAAAGGUUGGUUGUUUUGGCUCAUGAAGUGUCGAGCGUGGUAAAGUCCGACAAAGGUAGGUUAAACAUGAUGUGUUCGGGAAGGAUGCAUGAUGGUUAAAGUGUUGAGCAUUUGGAAAUGUUUAAUAGGAUGGUUAAGUAUGCAGAGAAGUUUAAAUUCUCCCAUGAAGGGUCAGAAAUGUUAUACGAAUGUGAAGGUCUAUCGACCGAGAGAAGGUAAAAAAGGAGUACAUAUUACUUUGCGAGUAUGUUGGCAAGCAGAUUGCUGGAUUGAAAGUGUCUCCGAAGAGUCAUGUUUGGUUGGUAAGUGUAAGAAAAGUAAGACCUUGUCCGGCGGGGACUUGUGCGUAUGUUCAGCUCAAGUAUUUGGGAAGAUAGGAAUCAAGGAAUUUGUGGAGAAAGUUCGAGAAGGACUAAGGUUCAAGGCAAAGAACAAGCCGUGGAGUGGUUCUGGCCGAGAACAAGUUUCGGGAAUCGAGUAAGUUAAGGAAGUGAGCAUAAAGAAAGGUAUAUCGGAUGCAAAAAAAAAAAAAAUUUGCAUUACGGCAUUGAUGAAGGAAUGAUGGCACAAGUUAUUGAUUAAGUUAUUGGAAAGCUCGUGUAUUGGAAUGGAAUUCGACAAUAGAGAAAUUCGAGGACGAAUUUAUUUUAAGAGGGGGAGAGCUGUAACGCUCGUCUCCGGCUUUUCUUGGAUGGUAUAAGGUAGCAUAUUGUCGAGUAUAUGUGUAAGUUUAUCGAAGGAUUUGUCUAUGGUCGAGAAAAUGUUGAUGUAAUCGAAGGUUAUCGAGAAGAUCGGUAUGGACAGUUGGGAAUCCGAAUGGUCGGUGAGGAAUGAAGUAUUGUUCGGUUGGUUCGGACAAGAUGGGUCUUUCGGACAUGUUUUGUUGGAAGAUUAUCUAUUAUGCGGAUUUAUCGGACAUUUGUUCGGUUCGGACAGUUUUGGUCGAGACUCUAUCGAUGGAGUGUUAGUCCGUGGGCUUUCUAUCGGCCCAAAUUUUUCAGGCCACGAGUGGUGUUUCGGAAGAUCGAUAGAAAAGGAUAUUAUUCGACUAAGUUUUAGAAUAUGCGAAUAUUCUCGAGAGAAUAUCGGAGGAUCGACUGUUUACUCGACAUAAAAGAAUGAUCGAGAGAGCUAGGGUUUUUCAUGCGUUAUCUUGCAUUAUGAGCGCCGUCAAGGAAGUAAUCGAGAAAGAAGAGAAAAAGAGUGAGAGUUAUUGAGAAUAUUGUUAUGAUGGUCGAGAUCUUGUAUUCAUGGAUCGAGAUCAACGAUUGCGGCGGAUGACGAAUCCGGUGGAACGUAUGCAAUCGUUUAGGUGACAAAAUGAUCGGGUUAAUGAGAAGUAAUGGUCGAUGUUCGAGUAUGUGUCGAGAAGCAUCGACAAAGGGCGAGUAAGUUCGGGCAAUAUCGAGUGGAUGAUCGAUUGUAUCGAGGAUUCGCGAGUGAUCGGUCGGUUGUAUGCUAAGGAAGGAUUGAUGGAAGUGUUCAUGGGUACGAUUACCGAGAGAUCUCGAGGGAGAUUGAUGGUUAUCGAGUUAUUAUGUGUUAAGGGUCGAGAAUCGAUUGCGGUUGUGUGACUAAGAAACAAUAAGGGAUGGUCAUCAGUGAAAUAAGGAGACGUGUUCGGUAGUGCAAGAAUGGAGUCUUGAAGGCUGGAUCGUUAGCAAGUGAUACGGAUGGAUGAUGUUCGAUUCAGAGACUCCGAAUCUAUAAGGUACACAUGGAGGUAAAUGUGUUCAUGUUAUUGAUUGUAUGGAGUUAUGUUCGUUAUAAAUGUGUUUAAAAUGGUUUAAGCAUGUUUUUAAGUAUGUUUUUCUUAAGUUGAUUUCUCGUCGGAAGUCUCGCCGGAAUGUUUUCAUCGGUAGAUUUUUAGUUUUCGGGUUAGGGUCUUUCACAAAUCCUCCCAUCUACUGGACUAUACACACAAGCGAAAAGGCAAACACAAAAAAUAACACACUAAACGUCUUCUUAGGACUGAUAUUAGUCGACACUCACACUAGACACUUCCAGAAACUUUCCGGUAAUGGUUAUUAUCAUUCCCUGGUGUCAAUUGGUACCAUUGCCUACUAUCGAACCGCCACACAAGACAACCAACUGCGACAUUAAUCCUUUAGAUGUCGACCGACAGUCACCUAGUGUAAUCGACACUGAUGCCAUAGAUAUCACUCUCGUUGCUUCUCCUUAAUGGAUUGCCAACUCCAGCUGCACUAAACACGUCCAUGCUUCCAAUAGAGACACACAAGGCCCCAAUCAUCCUAGAAGCGCAAAAUCAAGCAAGGAUAUCAAUCAUAUAAUCACAGAAACCACACACAACAAAUAUCUAAUAUCUUAGAUUAGUUGUGGUCAUGCACUCAUCUCUAAAACAAGAAUAUGUUAACAACAUGAAAAAAAAAAGCCCACGACAACCUUAUCACUCUACUACAACAUCAGAUCACCACUCCCAAGAACAGGACUUUCAAGAACAGACAUAGAAACCUUCAAGAGUCUCUCAAGAACUUUGUCUAAUUUUUCUCUCUUUUUUUGGGAACGAAAGUGGCUAAAUAGUAGAGCGCCGAGUUUUCACCUUAAAAACAAGCUCAACUGGAUUUCUCAAACUAAACCGCACAAAACAAGAAUUAAAAAUCAAACUGAACAACUGACAACUUUAUGGUGCCAAGUGACACCCCCGACUGGUGUCGAUUGACUGCCAUACCAAAAUCCAAAAUUCAGUUUACGGGCGUUACAACAAUUCAUUUACUUACACAAACUCUAAAUCUAUACUAGAGAUUGAGUAUUACACAUAUAUUUUAGAUAUUGGGUAUUAUAUAUUUUAUCAAUUUUUGAUUAUCAAAUUAUUUAAAUUAUUUUUUUAAGUUUCUCUCAUAAUUCUUUCAAAUAUAUAGAUUAAUAGACUCAUUGAAAAAUCUUAUAAACUCAUUGAAAUGAUAAACCUUAUCAAGAAAUCAAAUUUUACAUGCGUGAAUAUUUCAUAGAAUAAUUCACAUGUAUCUUUUUUUUUUUGACAUCAUUACAAAUAAUAAGUCUCUCUUUGAGAGGGACCGGACUCGAACCCGGAUCUGGUGAGAAGGCAAACAGAGGUGAGAACCACUAGCCCACUUGCUUCUUCUCGAAUAAUUCACAUGUAUCGUGAUUAUGUUAAUUACUAAUUUUUAGAAUUUCAAAGUUUGUAUGGUAAAAUUCCUUUUUUAAUAUAUAUUUAUAGAAAAUAAUAAUUGCUUUUAUUUCCUUAUUAUAACUAAUAUAAUUUAUUUUAUUUUCUGUGUUUUAUAUACUUUUCAAAAAUAGUAGAAUUUUUUUGAGAACUAUCUCUUUUGGUGUACCUAUUUUUAAAAUGCUUUCUUUAUCUGUUCAUUUUAAAAAAUACUCGUGUUUAAAUAUGAAAAAUUAUAAAGUUUUAUAUGAUUUAUAAGGUACUUUUGAAUAAUAAAUACUACUGGGAGAUUCGAUGAAAAAUAUCGUAUAAUGUUUUAAAAGGUUUUAAAUCGUUUUUAAUCUUACACAGUUUUUAAGUUUACAAGAUUUUUAUGCUAUUUAUGAAAAUAUAAAAAAUUUUAUCCACAUACAAAGAUAAUUUGUGUAUAUAUUUAUAAGGUUACACAUAUAUUUGGAUAGAUUUCAACAUUUUUUGUAUUUUUUUUACUAAGUUCGAAAAUAGAAUAUUUUUUAAAAUGGUAUUUGGAAAAUGGUAUAUUUGAAAUUUCCCCUAAAUAGUAAAUGUAAUCAUUUUAUUUUUAAGAUUUUAGUGAACUAUAUUCUUUUGAAUAAAAAUAUUUUUAUGCAUAGAUUUUACACAUGUCGCACGAUUCUAGUUAUUAAUUUUAUAACAAAUUUGUUUAAAUGAGAUUAAUACUUGGGAGAUUUGCACCAAUAACCUUUUUAGGUUAUCGUUUUGUACAAAUAUCCUCUUUUGGUGUCCAUUUUCAAAAGUAUCAUAUAAUAUGUACAAAAUGACUAAAUGGAAUAUUCUUUCUAAUAAAAAAAAUAUUCUUUCCGAAAAAACUUCCGCCAAAUUUUCCUGCCAAAAAUUUCCGACAAAAAUUUUCCCACCAAACUUUUUUGACAAAUAUUUUUCCGCCACAAUGUUUCCGCGAUUCCUUAAAAAACCUUUUAAAUACCUUGUAAAUAUUUUAAAACCCUUAUAAAAUUCUUUAAAAACCUGGUAAAUUUUUUAAUUAAGUCAUCCAAUCUUAGUAUGAUUAGAAAAUCUCUGUUUAAAAUCUCUGUUUUUAAUCUCUGUUUGCUAAUUUUUUUAACCCUUGUAAAUCUUUUAAUUAAACCCUUUAAAAACCCUUUAAUAGAUUAGAAAAACAGGGGAGCUAGUGGAGUCAUUUAAAGAUUUUAGCCGACAGAAAUUUUGCAAAUAAAAAAGACACUAAUGCUUUCCUAAUAAAAAUGUUUACUGAAUGGUCAAAAUAGUCGGCAGUGUUGUAACCCAAAGGAUACUUACUAUAACAAACUAUAUAUGUACAAUAGAAAGAAACGACGUACACCCCCAAAUAUUGUCGAGAAUAUGUUACUAAAACCAGUAUGUUGUAAAUGAGUUACUAAUACUCACCUUUAUCGCUAUUUUCACUAAAUCUGGAUUUGAAUUUUUUCCAUCUCAAAUAAAAACGUAUAAUUUAACUUUCGGAUAAAGAUGUAAAGAAAAGUAUUUUGCUAAUUUAAAUUUCAAAUGUAUUUAUUUAUUUUAAUGAAAACUGACUACAUAUGUGGUGAAAGCUAUAGAUUUUUACUAUAAUACUUGUAAACUAGAAAAAUAUAUAUAUAUAUAUAUAUAUAUAUAUAUAUAUAUAUAUGUACAUAAAUUACAUGGAACGAUUUGGAUGACAUUGUAAGGACUGAAAUCGGACAUUAAAGAUUUGGACCGACAAAAUUUUGAAAGGAAAUAUCUAAAGGAAUCAUGCUUUUCAUAUAAAUAUGAUUUAUGGUCAAAGUAGUCGGAAAGUAUAUAACAAUCCAUAGGGCACUCAUAGUUGUAUGUUACCAUUUUACAAGUAGGUGGACCUGUUUCGGAUCUUUAAUUUUAGAGUCAGUUUGUAGUUUGUACCAACCAACCCUUUGUACUACCAAUAGAACACCACUCCCUUCGUAAUUUUAAGUUUACUCGAAAAUCCGAACCUAGGUGCAUGGAAACUCUUUUCGAAGUGCGUUUCUCGUUUCCGAAACAGAAACUCUUGGAAACUAUAGCGGAAACACGAUUUCUGAUUUUUUUUUAUUUAUUUACAAACACGAUAGAAACUCGCGUUUCCAUUUUGGAAACCCGACGAAAUCUUAAACUUUUAGUUUAGAAACUCAAUUAACAAAAAUUUUGAUUUAUAAUAUAUAGAGUGAUUACUUUUAUACCUUUAAAACCUGAUUAAUUUAAUUUAAAUACACAUAUACAAUAAUAUAUGAUAUAUUAAUAUCUAAAUUUUGGAUUUCAGUGUUUUAAUAUUUAUCUUUUAGUUAAACUAUUUAGUAUUUAUAUUUCGAUUAACAUGUUAUUUCAAAUAUUUAAAAUAUUUGGAUGUUUGUUGUUAAUAUUAUAUAUAUAUAGUAUUAGCGUUUCCAACAUGUUUCCAUAUCUUAAUUUCAUAAAAAACUCGUUUCUCGUUUUCGAAACGUUUCGUUUCCGCGUAUCCGUUUCCGUUUCCAUACAACAUAGAUCCGCACUCCACUGCGACAUAUAUAUUAUGCUUAAUACUAUUUUCACGUUAAAUAUAUUCCCUAUGUUUCAUUAUAAGUGAUGUUUAAGGUUUUGGCACACUAAAUAAUAAAACAUAUAACUUACCCAAUUUUCAUAAAAACAUAACUAAUAUGAAUUCAACCAAUACGAAAAUAUGAUGUAAAAUAUAAUUGGUCAAAGAAUAUUAAAUACAUUAAUUUUUUGCAUAGAAAAUUGUAAACAUUACUUAUACUGAAACAAAAAAAAAUCGGCGAAAACAUCACUUAUAAUGAAAUACAGGGAGUAAUUUUUAAUUUUUAAUCGUUUUGAGAUUGAUAGUAUCUAACACACCUAAGAACAAUGGUCUUAAGAACAAUUUAUAUUUGUAAGUCUAUCUAGUCUUAGAUAUUAGGGGGAGUUUCAAAAAUACACAUUUUCUAAUACCACUUUUUAAAAAUACCCCUCUUUCUACUUUUAUCAAAAUGUCACUAGAAAUUUGAAAUUUAUCAAAAAAAAUAUGUGUAAGCUUAUAUUUAUAGACACAAAUUAUCUUUAUAUGUGUGUAAAUAUAUAUAUAUAUAUAUAUAUAUAUAUAUAUUUUAUAAAUACAGUAUAAAUACCUUUUAAAAAGAUUUUAAAAAUCAUUUAAAAACUUUAUAAAAACCUUGUAAACCUUUUAAAAACCUUAUAUAAACGUUAUAAAUACCGUUUAGAACCUUUUAAAACCUUACAAAUAUUUGGAUUUAGUCUCCCAGUAGUAAUGAUGAUCUUGAUGUACCUUAUCAACCAUAUAAAAGUUUAUAACUUUUCAUAUUUGAAAAGAGGUAUUUUUAAAAAUGGAUAGAAAAGAGGGGUAUUUUUAAAAAGAAGUACACCAAAAAGAGUAUUUCUCAAAAAUUCUCUAGAUUAUUAUGUUUUUUUGUUGAAAUUUAGAUGUAGGUAAAACUUUUUUGUCUAAAUCCAAAUAGUUCAUUUCUCCAUCUUUUUUCUUUUCUUUUGGCGUGAUGUUCAUUUCUACAUCUAAAUAAUGUUUUUUGAUCAUUUAACUAUUGCAACCCUUGGUUAAUAAUCGCUAAUCAAUAUUUGGAUGGUCGAGGUGGGCUUAGCGCCUAACAAGAAAAUCAGAAACUAAACAAAGAAUAAUCGGAGACUAAUUUUAGGGUUACUUUAUUAACUUUUUUAAAAAAUAAUAAAUAUAUGAUGAAUUAUAUGCAUAGCUCGAUCAUGUUAGUGAAGAAACACAAUGUAAAAUGCAAAAACUAUAAUAUGGUUUCAAAAUUAUAGUAAAUAAAUGAAACAUAUUUUUAAAGCCAAAUUUAUGAAUUUUAUUAAAAUAUAAACAUAAAUUAUUGUAAAAAUUCACAAAUUCACAAUCUAAAUGUUAAUAACCGACAAAAAAAAUAUAGCCAGAGACUAGUACAUCCAAGCAGAUAAAAUGGGUCUAACAAUUACACGCAAAGUAAUCGGGGUUAGGCGUGAAUUUUUUAAACACGAAAAGUUAACAACUUUGUUUUUAAAUUAAAGAAAAUACUGAUAUGAUAAGCUGGAUUGACGACGUACUAUUUUUAAUAAUGUGUCAUUUUUAGUUAAAUAAGAAAAUUGAGAUGUUAUAAGGUAUAACUUAUACCUGAAUAGAAAAGCAUUGUGUUUUUUAUUGUAUCUAUAUUAACAUUUUUGGAGCAGCUUAUAAAAUAAAUCCUGAACUUUGAAACUAUUUACAAGCUUUGCCACUAUUUUAAAUACAAAUCUUAUAAAAUCGGAAAUAAUAAUUAUCUAAAAUCUAGUUUGAUUAGUAAAAAGUGUUACGAACCAUUUUGUCGGUGUUUCGAGACGGCAUCUCGAUUUGUGUUAAGUGUUUUUAUCGUACUUUGAUUAUUAAAAAUGUUACGUGACGAUUUGUAUUAAUUAAAUAGUAAAGGAAUUAUACUUUCUUGGUUUCACUUUAAUAUAAGUUAAUAGCAUAUAAAAUAUCAAAGAAUGAAUAUAUUAUCAACCCCACUAGAAAUAUAUUUCUCUCCUUUCCAAAAGCCUAUAUAUAGUAACGUCCCUCACCUUCAUUUCCUCAUCACCAAUCCAUCUAAGAUAGUAUAACAACUCUAUCAAAGUCUACUAAAUGAUUUCUUACAAUGGUAGAUGUUUUGCAUUCUUGGUUGUCUAUCUCUUUGCAGCACAACAUGUGAGCGUCUAUGCCGGUAGCUUUCACAAAGACGUUCAAAUACAUUGGGGUGAUGGCCGUGGAAAGGUUCUUGACAAUGCCGGAAAUCUUCUUUCUCUAUCGCUCGAUAAAUCCUCGGGUUCAGGUUUUCAAUCCCACCAGGAGUUUCUUUAUGGUAAAGUCGAGGUUCAAAUGAAACUUGUACCUGGUAACUCUGCUGGAACAGUGACAACAUUUUAUGUAAGUAACAUAUCAUUUUAAAGCAUUAUCUUGCCAUUUUUAGUAUAGUUAGACUACUUACUCUAUAAAUGAUGAUGUCUUUGUGUAGCUGAAAUCGCCUGGAACGACGUGGGAUGAGAUAGAUUUUGAGUUCUUGGGUAACAUAAGUGGCCAUCCUUAUACUCUUCAUACUAAUGUUUACACAAAAGGAACAGGAGACAAAGAACAACAAUUUCAUCUAUGGUUUGACCCAACUGUUGAUUUUCACACUUAUUGCAUUAUAUGGAAUCCUCAACGGGUCAUGUAAGUGCUUUAACAUAUAGUAUCAUCUCUUAUAUCUUUAGAAGACAUUAGCUCAUGAUAGAACAUUUUUUUGUGUUACAUUUCUAGUUUUACGAUAGAUGGUAUUCCGAUUAGAGAAUUCAAGAACUCUGAGUCUCUUGGAGUUCCAUUCCCAAAGCACCAACCAAUGAGGCUUUACGCGAGUCUAUGGGAAGCAGAACAUUGGGCUACAAGGGGAGGAUUAGAGAAAACAGACUGGUCAAAAGCUCCAUUCACAGCUUUCUACAGAAACUACAAUGUGGAUGCAUGUGUAUGGGCUAAUGGGAAAUCAUCAUGCUCUGCGAAUUCAUCAUGGUUCACUCAAGUACUUGACUUCAAAGGCAAGAAUAGAGUGAAAUGGGCACAAAGGAAGUAUAUGGUUUAUAACUAUUGUACCGAUAAAAAAAGGUUUCCUCAAGGUGCUCCUCCAGAGUGUAGUUAAACAAUUAGUAUGAUUGUUUGAUUUCACGAAUAAGUCACAUGUGACAUUCUCUUUGUAACCUAAAUGAUAUUUUUUAUCUAUAGUUUUGUACUAUAUGAGAAUUCUAAGGUUUUUUUUUUCUUUUCUUUUAUGUUCCUUGAUUUAAUUAUACUAUUUGUAUGUGUGAUUUGCAUUUAAGUGAACUAAUUAAUUGCUUAAUAUAUAUCAGUAACUAUUGUUGUCCUUUAAAUGUUUCUUACUAUUGUAACACUAAAACAUAAAAAUUAAAAAAAUGAAAUAUUGGUUAUAAUUUAUAUAUUUUGAUAUUUAGAAAAAAAAAUUAAGAUACUAUAAUCAAUCCUCUUUCCCAAACGUAUGUUGUUGUAAUUCUUUUUCUUUUUCUUUUUAAUUUACCAAGUGAAUAUGUUUUAGUACCUAUAUAUUUUCGUUGAUCCUUAUAAUUAGAGGUGGUUUUUCGAGAUUUUUUUAGUUUUCUUACAUAGUUUUGUUAGUUUUUUUGUAUGGACAUGUGCAUAAACAUACAUUGGAAAUUACUAGAAUGAGCCAUUUCGUUCUGAAAGCAUAUUUAUAGAAAACAUUUGCUAGAAUAAUACGUUUUCAUAAAAUAAGUGUUAUAGGAAUACAAUCGUUGGAAAAAUUAUGGAAAGGAUACACUAAUUUUUAAAACCAGUGUUACCCUUAUAAUUUUGAUUUUGCAGAGCAACACCAUACUAUCCACAUAUAUAUAAGCAUGGAGUUCUCUUGCCUUCACAGUGUUUCGGAGCGGCAAGUAACAUGGAAUCAUAUAAUUUAUAGUUUAAGUAAAUUAUCCGAACAUUCUACCUAACAACCAUUAAAGACUUGAAAUACUCAUAAUUAAUGUUAUGUAUCCUUGCCAUUAUUAAAAGAAAGCUAAAUUAGCUAAUGUUCAGAAUUUCACCAAACAUUUAACACUUCUACGAGCAUAGUCUUCUUUGACAUCAAAGCAUAAUUUUAUUGGGCCAUAAAAAAGACAUUCAUGUGGUUCAAUGGCCCAUUAGUUGAGAGCUUUCGAAAUUUUGAAUACUUGAAGGUAAUAACUUUGUGUUACGAUGGAUUGUCGUUAAGAGUCUCAGAAUUGAGAAAAAUGAAAGGUUGUGUAAUUAAUUUUCAAUACGCCUAAACGACUAAUUCUAUUAAUUAAACAUAUUUAUCUGUGUAACGCUCUAACCUCCAUCUCUGUCAGGGUCCCUUUGUAACGCCUCGACAGUUGCUCUUUCCACUGGACCCCAUGUUCACUCUUACUCUAUAGGCCCACCUCUCUUAAUGGUAAUGGAUCUUAUGUCCUCUAACUAGGCUCGUGGAUUCACACAUAUCCUACGGCCGGUUUACUAUGCACGAGAUACUAUAAAGACUUGUUUACUGACCCUACAAAUCACCACAUGAUAUUUUCUUGUGUUUUGAUAUCACUCACACAGUUCCCACAAGCACUUCAUGGAAGGUCACCCAUCCCUAAACUACUCCUAUAAAGCUCCGACUGUCACCUAUCCAAUGGACCCCAUGUUCACUCUCAGCUCAUGGACCCAUCUUUCUUCAUGGGCCUCACGUCCUCUCAUUAGGCCCGUGACCAUCCAUAUUCAAUGGUCGGUUUGCUACAUCCAAAGAGGCUUCAAUACUUGUUUACCGAUCCUACAAAUCACCACAUAAUAUUUCUCUGUGUUUUGGCUUCACUCACACAGUUUCGACAACCAUUACCCGGAAGGUCACCCAUCCUUUGACUACUCUAGCAUAAGCAGCCUUAACUGUGGAGUUCUCUUAGAAGCGUUACCAAAACGAUAAGUGCACUUUGGUGAUUUAGGUGGCCAAAUCAAUUCAUUUAAACUUUUCCGCAAACUAAGGUCUCACAACUCCAUCAUAAGAACGCUUAAAUAUGGAGUUCUCUUAUGAUCUUUGACCAAAAAGAUAAGUGCACUUUGGUGACAUAGGUGGCCAAAUUAAUUUAUUUAAGCCUCUUCGCAAACAAGGGUCUCACAAUUCUCCUCCACUAAUAGACCGCAAAAUCCUCCUUGCGCACCAAGACCUUCCGACCCUAGUUGUCAUGUCUCCUAGUGGGCCCCAUGAUCACUCUAACCCAUGGGCCCACUUCUCUUAAUGGGCCUCAGGUCCUCUCACUAGGCAUGUGCAUCCACUCAUAUCCAACGACCGAUUUUCUACAUUCGAGAGACUUUAAAGACUAGUUUACAAAUUCAACAAAUCGCCAUAUGAUAUUUCCUUGUGUUUUACCUCACUCACGUAGUUCUCACAAUCACUUCCCAGAAUGUCACCCAUCUCUGAACUACUCCAGCAUAAACACUCUUAACGGUGGAGUUUUCCCAAGCCCUUUGACUGAAAGUAUAAAUGCACUUUGGUGACAUAGGUAGCCAAAUCUGUUCAUUUAAACCUCUAUGCAAACCAGGGUCUCACAACUCUCCUCCACUAACAUAGAUUCGUCCUUGAUCGACACCAGAGAGUUGGGCCCAUGGACUCAGAUUUAACAUGGAGCCAACUGGGACAAAUGACGGUCAGAGAGUUACAAGUGGUAUCAUAGCCAAAUUCAAAUGCGUGUGGAGUAACUAUGGGCUCACACCGUCGGGGGUGACAGUCUUGGUGUGUUACGAAGACGUUGCGGUCUGUUAGAGGGGGAGGUGAGACACUUGUUUGCGAAGAGGCUUGAUUAAAUUGAUUUAGCCACAUAUAUCAUCAAAGUGCACUUAUAUUUUUGGUCAAAGAUAGAGAGAGAACUCCAUAUAUAAGCGUGCUUAUGCUGGGGUUGUCUAGGGAUGGAUGACUUUCCGGGAAGUGGUUGUCAGAACUAUUUGAGUGAGGUCAAAAUACAGGGAAAGAGCAUGGGUGAUUUGUAGGGUCGGUAAACAAGUCUUUAAAGUCUCCCGAGUGUAGCAAACCGGCCAUAGGAGAUGGGUGGGUUCACGGUCCUAGUGAGAGGAUUUGAGGACCAUUAAAAGAUGUGGGCCCUUAGGCUGAGAGUGAACAUGGGUCCCGUGGGAGAGAUGACCAUCGGGCGUUAUGUUUUGUAUUUUUUUUGUUGGAAAUAUCAAGAGCCAUCAUUCUUGUAUUUAAGAAGUGUGUUAAGAAGUGUGCAAUCUUCUUCAUCAGUAUUCUCUGUUGUUAUGGCUAUGAUUCUAGAUUUAUCGAGUGAUAUAUCAACUACACGUAAUUAUGAUUGUAGAACUAGUGAAAACCUUUCAUAAAAGUUUGCAAGUAUAGACUCAAUUAUUAGAGUUUUUGCUGUGCUUGCAUGCUUUCAUGCAUGAAGGGUUUUUCAUUUAGCUUUCACCAGCGGUGGACAUGGGAAUCAAAAUUUUUUUCCCAUAUUUGAAAAUUGGCACCCCUCUUGUCAAACAUAUUGAUUUGACCAUAAUAGCAGUUGCAAAAAAAUACUUGCCGAAUUUUCAGUUUUCAAUGCGCGUGUAUAUGUGUAUGUAUAUAUUAAUUAAUGGUGCUUUAAAUUUUGCACCAAACGUAUAUAUCACUGCAACAUAAUACGUAUGAAUAGCACAUUAGGCGAUGCCUCUAGAUUUUACCUGUUUUAACACUACUUUUAAGUUAUGGUUAUGUCACUUUAGGUCAUAUCUCUUGAGUUCUUAGAAAUUUUCCCUUUUUUCAAUUCACUACUAGAGUCUAGCACAUGCAUUGCAUGCAUUAUAGUUUUCAUGUUCAAAUAAGGUGUUUUGGAAGAGAAAAGAGGCAAAGCAUAUCUAAUUCGACCAAGUUCGGAUAUGGAUCCAAUCAAGUAGGAUGAUCCGAACAAGGGACUCGACCAAGGAUUUGAGCUUGCUAGAAGAUGUACCCGUCCACCUACUCGACGAAGUCACUCGACGAGCAAUAGAGUAACCAAUCGAGUGACCUUAAACCGAAUUAGUAUUUUUUUCUUUUUAUGUUGUAGGGUUUGAUGUACCCCUUAUAAAUAUUGUUCAGAGGAUAAUAACCAAAGAAUCUCGCUUUUAAAUACCAAACCGGACGUCGGAUAUGGGUAGGCAUACGGACUAGAACUGGACAUGUAGUCCAUUAAGAGAGGUGGGUCCAUGAACUAUGAGUGUACAUCGGGCCCACUGAGAGAGGUCAUGGUUGGGACAUUUUAGAGGUAAAAACUUUGUGUUUCAAAGGAGAUGCACUCAAAUGUGCCAUAUUUAAUAUUAAUCUCAGGCUGGAAAUUUCUUUAAGCCUAUUUAAUAGUUUAAUCUUUUUUUGAAUGGAGAUUACAAGAACAUUAACUAAAAUUUUGCUUUCUUUAAGGAAAAAAUAAUUCUUGGAAAAUAACUAAAAGUAAUAAUACGUCUUGAAAAGAAAACAAACGUGUUAUUCGCUUUCUUGAUUUGUUAAGAAGCUUAAAAUGAGUAAACUUAUAGAUAUAUUUCCCUAUUGAAUUUAUGAAUUCUAUAUUCAUUAAUAACCUCUUCAAAUAACUUAUCAAAAUCAUAUUUGAUCUUUUCAGCACAAGCAAAUGUUAUGGCUCUUUACUUCCAUUUUGUCCUUCUGAUUAAACUUAAUGAGCGUGAUAUUCUCACUAGUCUCAUGCUACCCAAAAUUAACCAUAAUGUUCAAUUUUCUCAUCAAUCUCAAGUUACACAAAGUUAACCUUAAUAUUCUUUAAUCCUCUCAUCAAUCUCAAGUUACCCAAAGUUAUAAUGAACUUGUUUUUCUAUUUACUAAAAAUAUGCAUAAGCUAUCUAACUAUAACGUCAUCUCCAUAAAAUAAUUAUUAAAAAGUGAGGGUAAGAAAUGAGAAGAGAUUUAUCUUUAAUAAUCUUUCGUAUCUUAAACCCUACUAUGACAUUUGUCAUUUAUUUGUUAGUUUAUCAAUUUUCUUAAACUUAAAACUUAAUCUUAUGGUAUCUAGGAUUUUAAAGGUUUCUUCUGUGGUUGUGCUUUACAUUUAUGCUUUUGUGUAAUAUGGUCUACUUUGGGCAACUAGUUGUUUUGAUGCUAAGAGACUUAUGAAUAAUUAAAAUUUAUGAGUUUGAGUUUGCUAACUUAGUUAUCUUAUUUCACUAAAUUAAUCGUAAUGUUUUAUCAAGUAAGGGAAAAAUAUACAUGAAAUUGAUGUGCUUAAACCGUAGGGUGAACAUUUUUUUAUCUAAAAAAAGAGCGCAGCAAAAAAUACAUCUUUUGGUUUGGUGACUUUUUCGAAAAAAAACAACCAUUGAAGUAAGAGAAAACUUAUCUCAAUCGUUGGAUUUAAAAAUGGCAUCAACUGUCCUAGAGAGAGAGAGAGAGAGAGAGAGAGAGAGAGAGAGAGAGAGAGAGAGAGAGAGAGAGAGAGAGAGAGAGAGAGAGAGNNNNNNNNNNNNNNNNNNNNNNNNNNNNNNNNNNNNNNNNNNNNNNNNNNNNNNNNNNNNNNNNNNNNNNNNNNNNNNNNNNNNNNNNNNNNNNNNNNNNNNNNNNNNNNNNNNNNNNNNNNNNNNNNNNNNNNNNNNNNNNNNNNNNNNNNNNNNNNNNNNNNNNNNNNNNNNNNNNNNNNNNNNNNNNNNNNNNNNNNNNNNNNNNNNNNNNNNNNNNNNNNNNNNNNNNNNNNNNNNNNNNNNNNNNNNNNNNNNNNNNNNNNNNNNNNNNNNNNNNNNNNNNNNNNNNNNNNNNNNNNNNNNNNNNNNNNNNNNNNNNNNNNNNNNNNNNNNNNNNNNNNNNNNNNNNNNNNNNNNNNNNNNNNNNNNNNNNNNNNNNNNNNNNNNNNNNNNNNNNNNNNNNNNNNNNNNNNNNNNNNNNNNNNNNNNNNNNNNNNNNNNNNNNNNNNNNNNNNNNNNNNNNNNNNNNNNNNNNNNNNNNNNNNNNNNNNNNNNNNNNNNNNNNNNNNNNNNNNNNNNNNNNNNNNNNNNNNNNNNNNNNNNNNNNNNNNNNNNNNNNNNNNNNNNNNNNNNNNNNNNNNNNNNNNNNNNNNNNNNNNNNNNNNNNNNNNNNNNNNNNNNNNNNNNNNNNNNNNNNNNNNNNNNNNNNNNNNNNNNNNNNNNNNNNNNNNNNNNNNNNNNNNNNNNNNNNNNNNNNNNNNNNNNNNNNNNNNNNNNNNNNNNNNNNNNNNNNNNNNNNNNNNNNNNNNNNNNNNNNNNNNNNNNNNNNNNNNNNNNNNNNNNNNNNNNNNNNNNNNNNNNNNNNNNNNNNNNNNNNNNNNNNNNNNNNNNNNNNNNNNNNNNNNNNNNNNNNNNNNNNNNNNNNNNNNNNNNNNNNNNNNNNNNNNNNNNNNNNNNNNNNNNNNNNNNNNNNNNNNNNNNNNNNNNNNNNNNNNNNNNNNNNNNNNNNNNNNNNNNNNNNNNNNNNNNNNNNNNNNNNNNNNNNNNNNNNNNNNNNNNNNNNNNNNNNNNNNNNNNNNNNNNNNNNNNNNNNNNNNNNNNNNNNNNNNNNNNNNNNNNNNNNNNNNNNNNNNNNNNNNNNNNNNNNNNNNNNNNNNNNNNNNNNNNNNNNNNNNNNNNNNNNNNNNNNNNNNNNNNNNNNNNNNNNNNNNNNNNNNNNNNNNNNNNNNNNNNNNNNNNNNNNNNNNNNNNNNNNNNNNNNNNNNNNNNNNNNNNNNNNNNNNNNNNNNNNNNNNNNNNNNNNNNNNNNNNNNNNNNNNNNNNNNNNNNNNNNNNNNNNNNNNNNNNNNNNNNNNNNNNNNNNNNNNNNNNNNNNNNNNNNNNNNNNNNNNNNNNNNNNNNNNNNNNNNNNNNNNNNNNNNNNNNNNNNNNNNNNNNNNNNNNNNNNNNNNNNNNNNNNNNNNNNNNNNNNNNNNNNNNNNNNNNNNNNNNNNNNNNNNNNNNNNNNNNNNNNNNNNNNNNNNNNNNNNNNNNNNNNNNNNNNNNNNNNNNNNNNNNNNNNNNNNNNNNNNNNNNNNNNNNNNNNNNNNNNNNNNNNNNNNNNNNNNNNNNNNNNNNNNNNNNNNNNNNNNNNNNNNNNNNNNNNNNNNNNNNNNNNNNNNNNNNNNNNNNNNNNNNNNNNNNNNNNNNNNNNNNNNNNNNNNNNNNNNNNNNNNNNNNNNNNNNNNNNNNNNNNNNNNNNNNNNNNNNNNNNNNNNNNNNNNNNNNNNNNNNNNNNNNNNNNNNNNNNNNNNNNNNNNNNNNNNNNNNNNNNNNNNNNNNNNNNNNNNNNNNNNNNNNNNNNNNNNNNNNNNNNNNNNNNNNNNNNNNNNNNNNNNNNNNNNNNNNNNNNNNNNNNNNNNNNNNNNNNNNNNNNNNNNNNNNNNNNNNNNNNNNNNNNNNNNNNNNNNNNNNNNNNNNNNNNNNNNNNNNNNNNNNNNNNNNNNNNNNNNNNNNNNNNNNNNNNNNNNNNNNNNNNNNNNNNNNNNNNNNNNNNNNNNNNNNNNNNNNNNNNNNNNNNNNNNNNNNNNNNNNNNNNNNNNNNNNNNNNNNNNNNNNNNNNNNNNNNNNNNNNNNNNNNNNNNNNNNNNNNNNNNNNNNNNNNNNNNNNNNNNNNNNNNNNNNNNNNNNNNNNNNNNNNNNNNNNNNNNNNNNNNNNNNNNNNNNNNNNNNNNNNNNNNNNNNNNNNNNNNNNNNNNNNNNNNNNNNNNNNNNNNNNNNNNNNNNNNNNNNNNNNNNNNNNNNNNNNNNNNNNNNNNNNNNNNNNNNNNNNNNNNNNNNNNNNNNNNNNNNNNNNNNNNNNNNNNNNNNNNNNNNNNNNNNNNNNNNNNNNNNNNNNNNNNNNNNNNNNNNNNNNNNNNNNNNNNNNNNNNNNNNNNNNNNNNNNNNNNNNNNNNNNNNNNNNNNNNNNNNNNNNNNNNNNNNNNNNNNNNNNNNNNNNNNNNNNNNNNNNNNNNNNNNNNNNNNNNNNNNNNNNNNNNNNNNNNNNNNNNNNNNNNNNNNNNNNNNNNNNNNNNNNNNNNNNNNNNNNNNNNNNNNNNNNNNNNNNNNNNNNNNNNNNNNNNNNNNNNNNNNNNNNNNNNNNNNNNNNNNNNNNNNNNNNNNNNNNNNNNNNNNNNNNNNNNNNNNNNNNNNNNNNNNNNNNNNNNNNNNNNNNNNNNNNNNNNNNNNNNNNNNNNNNNNNNNNNNNNNNNNNNNNNNNNNNNNNNNNNNNNNNNNNNNNNNNNNNNNNNNNNNNNNNNNNNNNNNNNNNNNNNNNNNNNNNNNNNNNNNNNNNNNNNNNNNNNNNNNNNNNNNNNNNNNNNNNNNNNNNNNNNNNNNNNNNNNNNNNNNNNNNNNNNNNNNNNNNNNNNNNNNNNNNNNNNNNNNNNNNNNNNNNNNNNNNNNNNNNNNNNNNNNNNNNNNNNNNNNNNNNNNNNNNNNNNNNNNNNNNNNNNNNNNNNNNNNNNNNNNNNNNNNNNNNNNNNNNNNNNNNNNNNNNNNNNNNNNNNNNNNNNNNNNNNNNNNNNNNNNNNNNNNNNNNNNNNNNNNNNNNNNNNNNNNNNNNNNNNNNNNNNNNNNNNNNNNNNNNNNNNNNNNNNNNNNNNNNNNNNNNNNNNNNNNNNNNNNNNNNNNNNNNNNNNNNNNNNNNNNNNNNNNNNNNNNNNNNNNNNNNNNNNNNNNNNNNNNNNNNNNNNNNNNNNNNNNNNNNNNNNNNNNNNNNNNNNNNNNNNNNNNNNNNNNNNNNNNNNNNNNNNNNNNNNNNNNNNNNNNNNNNNNNNNNNNNNNNNNNNNNNNNNNNNNNNNNNNNNNNNNNNNNNNNNNNNNNNNNNNNNNNNNNNNNNNNNNNNNNNNNNNNNNNNNNNNNNNNNNNNNNNNNNNNNNNNNNNNNNNNNNNNNNNNNNNNNNNNNNNNNNNNNNNNNNNNNNNNNNNNNNNNNNNNNNNNNNNNNNNNNNNNNNNNNNNNNNNNNNNNNNNNNNNNNNNNNNNNNNNNNNNNNNNNNNNNNNNNNNNNNNNNNNNNNNNNNNNNNNNNNNNNNNNNNNNNNNNNNNNNNNNNNNNNNNNNNNNNNNNNNNNNNNNNNNNNNNNNNNNNNNNNNNNNNNNNNNNNNNNNNNNNNNNNNNNNNNNNNNNNNNNNNNNNNNNNNNNNNNNNNNNNNNNNNNNNNNNNNNNNNNNNNNNNNNNNNNNNNNNNNNNNNNNNNNNNNNNNNNNNNNNNNNNNNNNNNNNNNNNNNNNNNNNNNNNNNNNNNNNNNNNNNNNNNNNNNNNNNNNNNNNNNNNNNNNNNNNNNNNNNNNNNNNNNNNNNNNNNNNNNNNNNNNNNNNNNNNNNNNNNNNNNNNNNNNNNNNNNNNNNNNNNNNNNNNNNNNNNNNNNNNNNNNNNNNNNNNNNNNNNNNNNNNNNNNNNNNNNNNNNNNNNNNNNACAGAGAGAGAGAGAGAGAGAGAGAGAGAGAGAGAGAGAGAGAGAGAGAGACCCAUGAGAGAGAGAGAGAGAGAGAGAGAGAGAGAGAGAGGCUGAGGAACGGUUUGAUGGAAGUAUCCGAGCUGAGGUCUCACAUGUGUAACCUUUAGCCAUGGAAAAAAAAUCAAGUUAGAAAGAAGAUUAGGACUUCAGUGUUCUUGAUCAAAAUAUCCUCUACAGUCUACAAGGAGGAUCAGUUGAUAAGAAACUCAGAAUCAGAUUCUUUCCACCCAGUACCGGUUUCUCACAAUCAAAGACAACGCGGUAGCGAGUCAUAAAGUUCUCUGUAAAUUGUAAAAAUGAAGAAAUCCGUUAAAAAUCUUGCAUUUUGAAGUUUAGUGACACAACAUUUUAUUGAUUGAGUUUCCAAUUUGUUUCACGUCCGAUGAUGCUAAUCUUUUCUAUCUUCAUGAUGGCUAAACGGUGAAAGAUUCCGUUGCUAUAUCUACGGCAAUUCCUUUUCAGAGCAACGUCCCUUUGGAUUUGUUGUGGCUUAUUUUGCUGCAACUCAGAUACUGACAUGUAGAGUUCAUUUGGGAAUGUUUGAUCCUAUUCACAUAGUAAAGUAAAGAUAUGUUAACUUAAUGAAAUUAGUAGAAGAUGUCAGGGACAAUAAGAAAUCAUGUACCUUCGUGAAAGAUUGUAGGUCGCCUUCUGACACAUUGAAACGGUUGGUAAUGCUUGAAAUGAUGUUGGGGAUUCCAACAUAAUCCUCUCACCUAAGGUUAGAGAAUGCAAUUGGUUAUGUUGUGUUGACCCUGAAGUGUGGAACACGAAUGAGUCAUUGUCAACGGAUUGGUUUCCAGGUUUGGAAGUUGAAUUUGUGAUAGCACGUUUCUACGGCUCUUGGUAUCAAUCACCCAAUAUAAUUGUAGUAUAAAGGGUUUUAUCAAUCCAUAAGGACGCGUGCAAACAGUUCAUAUGCAAUCAAUAUUUAACAAGUUAAGCCAAGCAAGAAAGGUUUUAAACUAUCAACUAUAUAAUUUAAAACAAGCAUGAGCAAGACACAACAUUGAACUGAAACAGAAAUGAAACUACAAAAAUAAGAACAUGCAUUGAACUAGAAAUGCAAGAACAUAAAUGAAGCAAGAUAAAUCAAUCAAUUAAAGGGAGGUUAUGGGGAUGAGAUGGUGACUUCAGUGGAGAUCUUUAAGUUCACUAGGUUGCUAAAUUAAUCAAACACAAACAGUGUUGUUUCCUAGACAACAAGCUCAUAAGCUAACCAGUUCAAUCUCUUGACAAAAGCUAUCAAAUUCGAAUCACUUCCUAAUCUCAACUUCUGGUUGACGAAACAUGAAAUGAAUAUGCAUUAAGACUCAGCUCAUUAAUGUCAAAUAACACUCUAGACAACCAAUAUCUUGGGCUAGACAUGAAAUACUCUGAUAUUAGAUUAUCCGGCAUUCCAUCGAACACCUAUUGGGCGUGGAAGCCUGAGAACUAAUUACCACUUGAUCAGAAUGAGAUUAGUAUUAUAUACCUUAAUCCAGAAGGAAAGCUAAACAUUUCUACCUAUGGGCAACCUAACUACCUAAAGUUCUCCACCUACACAUCUAACUCAUCCCCAAAACCUUAAGAAUCUACUGAGAUCUGACAAACAUACUCAAUAACUCAAACCCACAUAUCUCUAAAUCAUGCAUUAGUAGAUAGAUAAUGAUCUGAGCAAGAUAAUACAAAGAAGCAACAGAAAAUACUCAAUAGAUCAAAAGAUAUAACGUUUACAAGAUUCUGGAAAUUCUAAAGCAAAAUGACAAAAAACCCUAAUACAACUCGAGAUGAUAAGUUAUUAUGCAAAGAGCCUUUUUAUAGUAAGUUUAGGUAGCCCUAAAACACUAGCAGACAAAAUAGAAAGUCGGUUUAAUGGUGCUCGAUCGGUCUGCUCGGUCGUGCACUCGAUCGGUCUUGUCGGAUGACUUGAUCGGAUGGUUGGUCGAGCUGCUUCUCUGGUCCACUCGAUCGAUUCCAUGGCUCGGAUCCUCCUGCUCGAUUGGAUGCAACAUCUACAAUUGGUCGAUUUGUCGCGAUUUGCUUCUUUUCCCUUGGGUAAACACAUGUUUAUGCACAAAAACUACAAUGCAUGCAAUGCAAGGCCUAGAUUCUACAAGUGAAGCAAAACAAGGCAAAUAUGCAUAAAUUAUCAAGUAAUGAGACCUAAAAUGACAAAAAAAUGCAUAAAUCUAGUGCUAAAAUGAGUAAAAUCCAGACAAAACAACUUUUCUGAUAUAACUGCAACUCAUCCAACAACUCAGAUUUGAUAUGCGCCCUCUUUUCUUUGAUUUUGUUACUUAUAUAUAGAGCUGUCAAACGGGUUUAAGGUCCGCGGGAAUGGCCCAUUUAGUACCAUUGCGGGGCGGGCCUGGACACUAUAAUUUGUGUCCAUCAAAUGGCGGGGGUAGCGAGCAUGGUCCAUGCAGAACACGGAUUUAACGGGUACAUCCAAGGCGGGUUUGCGGGUCUGCGGAUUAGGCUGCAAAAUUUUUUGAAAUUUUUAGUCUGUUGAUAGAUGAUAGAAGUUUUUUUUAUCUCCUAAUCUCCUGUUUAAGUUAACAUUUAACCUAAACAUAAAAACCUGAUUACGCCUCACCCUCAAAACAAUUUGGAAGAGUAGUAACUUUGAGUAUUCUAAGCUUCACCAUUCAUAUCAUUCAUCAUCGAUCACACCUCAUAUCAGUCAUCACCCAUCACAGUUUCACCACCUUAAGACAGCCACGUUUAACAUAAAACAAAAUUUUCAAUGGUAAGUUACUAAGGCUUGACUGGUUUAAACGCAGCGGUUGCGGUUGCGGUUACGGGAGUUUGUGGAAGCAGGCGGUUGUGGUUUCAAGCGUUAUAAAGCAUUUUGAACGACUGGUUUAUCGUUUGAAAUUGAGUGUCUUAGCGGGAGUUUUAUGACUGGAAGACCAGCGAUUGCAAUAGCGGUUUAAAAUAAAAAAAACUACCAAAUAAAUAUAAAUACAUUAUAAAAGUGUAUAAAACCAAAACUAUAUUAUUAUGAUAAAAAGUAUUAAAAAUAAAUAUGAAUAAUAACUUUAAAUCAUAAAUAAAUUACUAAAUAAUUAGUCAAAAUAUAUGAAUUUAUGCAUUUAUUCCAAGAAAAAACAUCUCUAAGGAUCAUCCCAUAUCUCUCUUGCUAUGUCAUCUCUAACUGUCGACAUAUAUUCAUCAGCUGUUGGAUCAUAAUUUCGAUCGAGUACGUUAUCUUCACGAGAUGGAGAUGUGUUUCCAUCUGGAUCAGCAUCAUAGUUCUCGGUUUCUUCUGCAGCAUUAAAGUCUGUGUCAACUUCAUUAGAAUCUCGAAUAAAAUUAUGCAAUGCCAUAGUUGCAGCAACUAUCCUCUCCUGCAUUUUCACAUCAUAACGAACCCAAACUUCUAAAAUAGACCAUUUUCCCUUCCACACUCCAAAUGUUCUUUCAAUUACUGAUCAAAGCGAAUAAUGUCUCUUGUUAAAUGUCUCUCUCAACCUGGUUGGUCUACGUCCAGCAAAAUGAUUUGGAUGGUAUGCUUCACCUCGAUAUGGAGCCAAAAACCCCCGCCGAUUAGGAUAGCCCGAAUCCACUUGAAAAUACUUCUCUGAAUUUGGAAAUGGAAAAAAAUUAUCCUGACGUGCACAAUAUGUCAAUAUCUUAGAGUCGUGUGCGCGUCCCGGGACUUCAAUACGUGUGUAUAUAAACCUUAUAUUGAAAUCACACACUGCCAAAAUUUUCAUUGAUGUGUAGUUAUGAUGAUUCCAGUAGGUGAUCUUUUGAUUGCCACCAACACGAACACGCACAUGCGUACCAUCUAUAGCUCCAACACAAUCUCGAAAAUAUGGAAAAUACCUCCUAUUAUGCUCGUUUUUUGAUAUAUUUGAUUUGUGGUGGUAUAUCAUCAAGCUCUUCUCUUUUCCAUGAAACAAUGUCUGAAUGCAAGCAACAAAGGGCAUUAAGAACAUCAUUAAAUUUUGUUGUCAUCGUCCGCUGUGCAACUUGAAAAUCUGCUGCUAUACUUCUUUGUAAUGGAUUAUGUCCCAAAAUCUUGAGCGACAUUCCUAGUGCAACUUUAGAUCUUACCCAAUGAGAGUCUUUAAGACCAUAAUUCUUUAGCGUAUUUAAGAGCUUAAGAAAUACUCUUUGUCUCAUACGUAAAAGAUGGAGGCAUUUUGUAUCGCUUUCAUGCAUUAGUUGAUGCAUUAUACGCUGUCCACGUUCUGGAUCCGUUCUCAACUGUUCUAUUUCACAAAAACGAUUACGGUCAAUAAAAAUUACUGCUUCAAUAACUUGGUCAUCUGCUUCUAUUAUUUCUCUGAUUGUGUUCAACUCCAUGUCACUUCCUUCCUGAAAAAAUCAAAUUCUUGUCACCUAAGUUGGAAUCAUGAAAGCAUAAUAUAUCUCUCACCAAAAAAAAGAAAGCAUAGAAUAUCAAGUCAACAAAACCAAAACUAAGCAUAAAAAAAAAUCAUUACGAGACUCCUUGGUUUGUCGCUUCAAAAAAUGUAGCUUCUCAUCAUCUGGGAGAGCAAGAAAUAAGAUCAAGAGAUGCCCAAUAAAGCUCUGUCAUCAGAACUAGAUCAGGUACUGCCCUCACAUAUUUGACAACAAGAGCCAUACGUUCUUCAGUUGAAUUUGUUGACUGAUUUCUACACUUUGCAUUUGUCAUAUGUUCAAGGUUAUCAUUCCGCUCUUCCAUAGUUGCAGCAAUACGGUCGAGUGUCAGUCUACUGGAUUCUGUUUACACUUUCUGUUCCAACUUACAUUUUUCACUUGAGUGUGUGUGGAAGAUCUCUCUUGUGAUGCAAAUGACAGAUCCACGUCGCCUAGAUUUGCAGAGCUUUCCCUAGGAAUUUUUGACAUCCUAUUUGGGUCUUGAGUUUUCAUAGAACCAUGUUCAUCAUGAUUACGCAUCAGAUGAUCUGUCUCUUAACCAUUAUUGUUUGUACAGUCAUUAUCAUUUAAGUCAACUACUGGAGUAUGACGGCGUACACCACGUCUUGGUUGCCAUGACUCUUCAACCACAACAGUUUCAUCUUGGAAUACCACAUCAAGAAGUGGUAGAAACCGCAAUGGUUGCAACCGAAGCCUCGAACCUUCAGGAUAAGCCUUAUAAAACAAAACAAAAAUUUAUUCAAGAUGCGAUUAUAAAAUAAAUAAAAAUACAAUAUUCACAAAUAUAUAAAACAUAUUAUAAUCGUUAUAUAUAAUACUCUUAUAGUAACACCGAUCAAAUUAUUAAAUUACUCCAUUACGUAAGCUCUUAUUUUUUAAACCAACGAACAGUAAUAUAAAUCGAUCAUAAUAAAGUAUAAAGUUGGAUCAUAAAUCAAAUUUAUAAUAAAGCAUGUAAUAGUGACCACCAAUUUAUGAAACCGAUUUAAAUAAGUUAUUCAUCAACCCACACAACAAACCAAUUUAACAAUAGCACAUGAGAAUAUUAUAUAAAUGUUACAUACCUUAAUUUUAUCUUUCCACCAAUGAUCAGGGACAUCAAGACUUCCUGUCGUCGAAUUAAAUCCAAGGCCAGUCGACCCAAACGUGAUUUUACGAUAGAUUUCGUAUUGCCUCUUUAAAGUAUCAAGUCUGUUCUUAAUUUUGUUCCACGUUAAGGUUAUUGGAAAUUUCUUUUUAAAAUCAAUAAGAACGUUUUAUUUUCCUUUCUCACUCAAACUUUUUCUUCUUGAAUUUCCAGCUUGUUUCUCUAGUGUUAUCAAUUCUAACAAUAAACGGGUCAUCUCAUCUGACCAGUUGAGUUUCUAUUCCAUAAAACAAGUUUAAACACAUAUUCAAUCAAAAAAGCUCAGAAAAAUACACAUGCAAAGGAUGAUGUCAUCAAAUUCUUUGAGAACAUACGUUAGAGCUAAUGAAUGGAAGAAAGAUAUAUAUAUAUAUAUAUAUAACUUACGUUUGCAUCUUGACUUUCAUUAGCUUGGGUAGAUGCCAUAAUUUUGAUGGAGGAAAAACAGCUCUUAAAAAUUUAGGGUUGCAGACAAUGAGCGUACGAUGGAGAUAUGUAAGAAUAUAUAUGCUAUAUUUUCUUUUUAAUCAAAAUUGUCAUUUAUUGUUUUUUUUAAUUAACCAACCGCAAACGCCCGCAAUCGCAAACACUUGCGGGGAUGAGCUUUUGAAAUCCAUCGAUUUCGAGCGAGCUGAAGCAGUUUAGAGCGUUUUCUAUGAUUGGUACCAAACGCUAGCAAACGCAAUCGCCCGCCACCAACCUUUAGGUGGCUGAAAUCGGGAGAACUAAUCAACACCUUAAUUAGUGUCUAGACUCAAGAUAAUUGAAUAUUUAGUCAAGAUAAAAGUUAAAAGUUUUUAUAAAUCAUAUAGUGGAUUUUCAUAACAAGCCCAGUCCGGCCCGGCCCAUAUCAAGCCUGGUCCGUCCAAUGUUGAGGAGGCUUAAUCUUUUCCUUAUCACCACUUGUAUCAAUCCUUAUAUAAAGGAGUCUAAGCUAAUGAAUAAAGCAUCUCAAUUCCCUUUCUAUUUUCUCGAGGUUACAAUACGUUAUCAGCAUGAUUCUCUAAACCCUAAAAGCUAAAAGCUAAAAUUGCCCCUAAACCUUAAACCUAAGAAGCUCGACGUUCUCUUGCUACUCCAAGGAGGUUAACGGCGAUUCUGGAUCUUGCUUGAGUUAUUGAGGUCUUUAGCUCCCGGUCCAAAUCCAUUCUGUAAUCAAUAGGUGUUCAAGAGGUAAACAACAUAAACCCUAAAACCAUUGUUUCAUGUUUAUAAUCUUAAAACCAUGAAACUUGAACAUGUGAUUGUUGUUUGAAGUACUUUUCAUAUGAAUUUAUAAAACCCUAAAAAUAUGAAAUUGUUGUUUGAAGUACUUUUCACAUGAAAUUAUAAAACCCUAAAAUAUGUGAUUGUUGUUUAGACUGUUUUUUCAUGCGAAAUUUCGAAACCGUACAAUAUGAGAUUGUUGUUUGGACUGCUUUUCAUAUAACCCUAAAAUCGAUUAUAACUUUGUUUCUCAUAUGGAUUGUUGCUUAUUUAUAUUAAUAUGAAGUUAUAAAAUCCUAAUAUAUGAUUAUUAUGAAAAUCGGAUAUGAAUGCAUGAUCACCUUAAUAUUUCUAUAAAAUAAAAUCGAUCAAGCAUGAAAUUAUAUAAUGAAACCUAAUAAUGAGCAUAUGUCUUUUCAGAUGUCGAAACUCAAUAACUUGGAUUUUUCUGCCCUUAAUCUCUCUGGAGAUAAUUAUUUACAAUGGGCGAUGGAUACUAAGAUUAUCCUAAAAUCUCUAGGGCUCGGUGAAUGUAUUAUGAAUGAGAAUGACGAGCCCGAAAUGAAUAAAUAUAAGGCAAUAUUGAUUAUUCGCCAUCACCUUGCGGAGAGUCUCAAGGAUCAGUACCUGACUAUUGAGAAUCCCUUGGACCUUUGGAAUGAGUAGAAAACUCGAUAUGAUCAACAAAGUACGGUGUUAUUACCAAAGGCCAUGUAUGAUUGGAGGAAUCUCAGGAUCCAGGACUUUAAGUCCGUGGAUGAAUAUAAUUCAGACAUGUUUAAGAUAGUCUCUAUCUUCAAACUGUGUGGAGAAGAGAUAAGUGAGAAGGAUAUGCUUGAGAAAACCUUCUCCACCUUCCACACAAGUAACGUAUUGUUACAACAACAAUAUCGUGAAAGAGGCUUUGAAACAUAUGCAAGUCUGAUCUCAUGUUUAUUGCUCGCCGAGCAUAAAAAUGAAUUAUUAAUGAGAGAUAGCGAGAUGAGACCUCCGGGAUCAGCUCCACUCCCUGAAGCCAAUGUUGUUGCAUCGGAUAAGAAAGAAACCAAAGAGAUUAACCACGUCCAAAGAGACAAUAAUACAUCCGGCCGUGGACGUGCUAAAUGGCAAGGACGUGGCCGUAGUCACUCCUCCGGUCAUGGGCAAGGUCUAGGCCGCAUGUAUCACGGUGGUAAAGGCCGUGGCCGUGGUACAUCUUUUAAGCCGCAAAACCCGACAGGAAAAUCAAUUUGCCAUAGAUGUGGGAUGGGGAACCAUUGGGCUAAGAAUUUUCGGACUCCCAAACAUUUUAUUGACCUUUAUCAAGAGAGUUUCAAAAGGAAGAAACCAGAAGCUCAUUAGGUGCAUUAUGAUAAUUAGGAAGAAACCAGAAGCUUAUUUGAAUAACCAAGUUUUCGACAUCAAGUUUUACGUCAAGCUUUAUAAUUCUCUGAAUUUUUAUUACUUUGGAUGUAUUCUCAAUAAUUACUAUGGAUUUGUCUCUAAUAUGAGAAUAAUUUUAUAAAAGUGUUUAAGAUAUAAUUCUUAUUUUAAAGUAUACAAAAGGACAUGGAUACAUUUGUGGUGGAUAGUGGGGCAAGCCACACGAUUUUAAGAGAUAAAAUAUACUUCAUUGACCUUACACUUAAAACGCCAAUAUAAGUACCAUAGCGGGUAUGGCUAACUUAAUUGAAGGCUACGGCCAGACCCAUAUAUUAUUGCCCAAGGGUACGCAUUUAGAAAUUUCUAAUGCGUUAUAUUCACCUAGCUCAAAGAGGAGCCUAUUAAGCUUUAAAGAUAUAAGAAUGAAUGGUUUUCAUGUUGAAACCAAGGGCGAAGGAAACAAAGAGUUCCUUAUAUUUAUGAAAACGCCCAAGGCCAUAAGAAAGUCCUAGAGACUAUACCCGCUAUAUCAACAUGCAUAUACUGUGCUAAGGCCAGUAUGAUAGAAGCCAAUGCCACGGUAAGUAAAGAGUUUACCGAGAGAUUCACUUUAUGGCACGACCGGCUUGGUCAUCCCGGGUCGAGUAUGAUGCAAAAAUAAUAAUGAAUACGUAUGGGCACACAUUAAAAGAAAGAAGAGUUAUCUCAAAGAAUCUCACGUGUGUAGCAUGUUCACAAGGGAAACUCAUAAUAAGGCCAUCACCAGUCAAAGUGACUAAGGAAACAAUAAAUUUUCUGGAAAGAAUACAUGGUGACAUUUGUGGACCAAUAGACCCACCUUGUGGGACGUUUAGAUAUUUCAUGGUACUAAUUAAUACGUCCACAGGAUGGCCACAUGUAUGUCUAUUAUCAACCCGCAACUUGGCGUUUGCGAGGUUACUUGCUCAAAUAAUUCGAUUAAGAGCACACUUUCCAGAUUUUCCUUUAAAGACUAUAUGUCUUGAUAAUGCUGGUGAAUUUACGUCCCGAGCUUUUAAUGCUUAUUGUAGGUCCAUGGGGGUAAGUGUGGAACAUUAUGUGGCACAUGUACAUACACAAAACGGUAUGGCUGAAUUAUUUUUAAAACGAAUACAACUAAUAGCCAGACCAUUGCUAAUGAGAUCAAAACUCCCGAUCUCAGCUUGGGGACAUGUUGUUUUACAUGCAGCUGAAUUAAUUCGCAUCAGGCCAUAUAAUGAGCAUACAUAUUCCCCAAAACAAUUAUUAAGGGGUCAUGAGCCAGACAUAUCCCAUCUUAAGACAUUUGGAUGUGCCGUAUAUAUACCAAUUGCUCCACCACAGAGAACUAAGAUGGGUCCUCAGAGGAGGAUGGGGAUAUAUGUUGGAUAUGAAUCUCCCAUAAUAAAUAAGUAGCUUGAGCCGACCACGAUUGAUUUAUUCAAGGCCAAGUACGCGAAUUGUCAUUUUGACGAAUCCAAUUACCCACUAUGAGGGGGGGGGGAAUAAUAAUAAUUAGCUGGUAAAGGAAAUUACAUGGAAUCAAUCAUCCUUAUCAUGGCAAGAUCCUCGAACUAUGGAAUAUGACUUAGAAGUCCAAAAGAUAAUACAAAAGUUAGCUGAUAAAAUUGCCAGAUUCCUUUGACCCAAACAGAGUGACAAAGUCACAUAUACCAGCUAUAAAUGCACCAAUAAGAAUUGAUGUUCAGGUAGGACACAAUCAAGUUGCUAAAUAGUCUAAAGCCCGUAUGAAACGUGGUAGACCAAUAGGUUCCAAAGAUAAGAACCCUCGAAAAAUAAAAAACGGUGCUAAGAAUGAAUCCGAGGUUGAGAAAACCGUGGUUACCCGAGACAUAACCAAACCUCAUAUACCUAACAAUGAGGCUUGGGACGCCAAGCUUCAAGGUACUGAUGAAGUUCUUGAUAAUAAUGAGAUAGCGAUCAAUUAUGUUAUGUCCGGGAUAAGAUGGAACCGAAAAGAUGUCGACAUCGAUGAUAUAUUUGUAUACAAGGUAGAAUUUGAAAUGAAAUUGAUAAGAGAGGAUCUAGAACCCACGUUUAUAAUAAAGUGCACCCAACGAUCAGAUUAGAAUAAAUGGAAGUAAGCUAUAAACGUGGAGUUAAAUUCAUUAAAGAAGAAGAAUGUAUUUGGUCCAAUAAUAAGGACACCUCUCGAUAUAAAGCCAGUUGGACAUAAAUGGAUCUUUGUGACGAAAAGAAAUAAAUAUGGUGAAAUCUUGAGAUAUAAAGCACGGCUUAUUGUACAAGGAUUCUCACAGAGACCAGGAAUAUAUUAUGUGGACAUAUACUCCCAUGUGGUGGAUACUAAGACAUUUAAAUUUUUUGCUAAGUCUGGCUAUAUAUAUAUAUAAAGAAUUGAGUUGCAGCUAAUGGAUGUAAUGCCUGCAUAUUUAUAUAAGUCCACUGGAUAAUAUAUGAGAUUACUACAGGGUAUUGAGCUCAAAAAUAAUAAAGGUUCUCGAGAACAGCACUGCAUAAGGCUGGACAAAUCCUUUCAUGGACUUAGACUAAAUGGGCGUAUGUAAGGUUAUAAAUGAUCCCAUCAGUCCAUGUAUUUUCAUAAAGAGGUUUGCAAAAAAAGGAUUUGUAAUCAUAAGUAGUGUAUAUGAAUGAUUUAAACCUCUAGGUAAUCGACCAAACAGUUGAAUAUAAAAGGAAAGAAUCUGAAAUGAAAGACCUAAGCAAUAAUUAAGACAUGUUUGGGAUUACAACUUGAGUACGUGAAUAACGGAAUCCUUGUGCAUCAAAUGGCAUCCAAUGAAAGAGUACUCAAGGAGAUUUAAUAAGGACUAGGCCCGCCCAUCGACCAGGCCCAAUGGUGGUGAGAAGCCUUAGAUUGGAUAGUGAUCCAUUCAGUCCGUAAAUGCCAUACCUCAGUGCCAUAAGAGCUCUAAUGUAUCUAGCGAGCCACACUAUGCCAGAUAUAUGUUUUGCCGUGUAUUUAUUAUCAAGAUUUAGCUCAUGUUCGACCCAAAGGCACUGGAACGAGAUUAAACAUAUUCUUCGUUACCUACAAGGUACAAAAGAUUUGGGUCUAUAUUAUACUAACCAACCGAAAAAGGGAUUAGUUGGUUUUGCUGAUGCAGGUAAUCUCUCGGAUCCGCACAACGGUCGAUCACAAACUGGUUAUGUUUUCACACACGGUGGUACGACAAUAUCUUGGCGAUCUCAAAAGCAAACAAUUGCAGCCACAUCGUCCAACCAUGCUGAAAUUUCGGCGAUGCAUGAGGCCACCCGUGAAUGUGUUUGGUUGAGGUCCAUGACUCAACAUAUUAGGAUCGAUUGUGGGAUGACCGAAUGGAAGGCAACACCAACAAUAAUGUAUGAAGAUAAUGCUGCCUGCAUAGCUCAACUUAAAGAUGGAUAUAUCAAAGCAUAUCUUGCCAAAGUUCUUCUUCACUCAUGAAUUACAGAAAGCCGGAGAGGUCCAAGUGGAACAAGUUCAAUCAUGUGACAAUUCGGCGGAUCUAUUCCCUAAGUCGCUUCCAACCUCAACGUUUAAGAAACUUAUAAAUCAAAUUGAAAUACAUCGGUUGAAAGAUCUUCAGUGAGCUUCAAAUGAGGGGGAGUAAUACGUGUUGUACUCUUUUUCCUUCACCACGGUUUUAUCCCAAUGGGUUUUCCUGGUAAGGUUUUAAUGAGGCAACAUCCCCAAGUGUAUUACUAGCUCACAACAGUUAUGACAUCCAAGGGGGAGUGUUAUAUAUCAUAUAGUGGAUUGUCAUAACAAUCCCAGUCCGUCCCGGCCCAUAUCAAGCCCGGUCCGUCCAAUGUUGAGGAGGCUUAAUUUUUCCUUAUUGUAUUAGGGUUUACUUAUCACCACUUGUAUCAAUCCUUAUAUAAAGGAGUCUAAGCUAAUAAAUAAAGCAUCUCAAUUCCCUCUCUAUUUUCUCUAGUUUACAACAAAAGUAAUAUUUUUUGUUUUGUUGCAGGAGUCACGUGAAUCUUGUGAUCUUAGAUCAAUAGAUUUGGAAUCUUAGAGAGUUGUUGAUUAUGCAAAUGCUGAAAACGAGACGUUUGAUGGAGCUCAAACAUCUAAACGUUGUAACAUGCCACCUAUUUAGAUUGACGAUGAUGAUGAUGAUUAUGUUGACAAAGAAAAGUCACCACCACGGAGGAAGAGAAAGCAGUUUGAUGGAGCUAAACCAUCUAAGCCAGAUAAAGGAGCUAAAACUUCUAAGCCACGUAAAGGAGCUGAAGAAUCUAAACGACAUAAACGGUCAUCCAUUAAGACUGACUGUGAUGAUGAUGCUGAUAUACCACAGAAGAAGAAAAAGCAGUUUGAUAGAGCUGAAGCAUUGAAAUCUCGUAAAAAGUCAUCCAUUAAGAUUGAUGUUGAUGAUAAUGACGACAUUGAUGAUAGUGAUGAUGAUGGUGAUGAUGGAAAUUCAUCAUCAAAGAAACCGAGAAGGCAAUAUUCAAAAGUGUGGAAAGAAUUUAUAGUGAUUACUAAGAAAGAUGCUAAGGGAAAUCCUGAAGAAAGAGCAAUGUGCAACCAUUGUAAGUCGGAUUAUGCAUAUAAUCCACACAAAAACGAUACAAAUUCAUACAAGCUUCAUUUGAUAGUGUGUAACCUGAAGCCUAGAAAUAAUGAUAUUGGUAAAAUGAUGCUCAAUUCAGAGGCAAGGUUGCAAGUUAGGAAGAUUGAUCAUAUGGUUUUUCGUGAAAUGAUAGCCAAAUGUAUUAUUCAACAUGAUCUCCCAUUUGCUUAUGUUGAGUAUGAGAGAGUAAGAUCAAUUUGGAAGUAUUUGAAUGAAGAUGUUAAAUUUAUUAGCCGGAACACAGCAACAUCUGAUGCUUACAAGUUCUAUGAGAAUGAGGCAGCGAGUCUAAAGAGAGAAUUAGCUAAUCUUCCUGGAAGGGUCAGCCUCACUUCUGAUUUGUGGUAUGCAAUCACUCAUGAAGGCUAUAUGUGUUUAACAGCACAUUACAUUGACAAAAACUGGAAACUGAACAACAAAAUCCUAGCAUUUUGUGUUGUACCACCUCCACAUACAGGUACUCACUUAGCUGUGGAGAUACUUCGGAAACUGGCUGAAUGGGGAAUUGAAAAAAAAAGGUGUUUUCACGCACUUUGGACAAUGCUACUAACAAUGAUUCAAUGCAAGAGAUGGCAAAAAAUCAACUUAUGCUGCAGAAUGAUCUGUUGUGUGGAGGAGAGCAUUUUCAUGUGAGAUGUGCAACACAUUUUCUUAAUCUCAUUGUUUAAGAUGGUUUGGCAGUGAUUGGUAGUUCGUUGCAUAAGAUCUGGGAGAGUAUCAAGUAUGUUCAAGAUCAGAACAUCGUGAGAUAGUAUUUGCAAAAUGUGUAGAAUAUGCUGGUAUAAAGCUUAAGGCUGGUUUGUUGUUGGAUGUGAAAACAAGAUGGAACUCAACAUACAAUAUGCUUGAUAGGGCUCUCAAGUAUCGAGCUGGAUUCAGAAAUCUCAAAGUUAUUGAUGGCAAAAACUACAAGUUUUUAUCCUACAGAAGAUGAAUGGAAACGGCUCAGUAAUCUGUGUGAUUUGUUGCAACCAUUUGAUCAGGUUACUACUCUCAUUUCAGGUUCCACAUAUCCAACAUCAAACUUAUACUUUAUGCAAGUAUGGAAGAUCCAAAACUGGUUGACAGUAAAUAAAUUUAGUGAAGAUGAAGUUAUCAGAAACAUGAUUGUCCCCAUGAAGGAGAAGUUUGAUAAGUAUUGGGAAGAAGUUAGUGAUAUUUUUGCAAUGACUACAGUGCUUGAUCCAAGAUUGAAGCUAACACUUGUGCAAUUUUGUUUUGGUAAACUUGAUAGAAGUUCUUGUCAACAAAAGAUUGCAGACUUACGUUGUAAACUAACUACUCUGUUUGAAUCAUAUGAGAACAAGUCUAUUUUCACAUCAGAUUCUUCAGAGACACGUGAAACAAAUCAACAAGAAGAUGAGAAUGAAGGUCUUGAAGGACAAAGAGGAAGCUUUGGAAAUUAUGAUGUAAGUACUCGUUAAAUUAUGAUGUCGCUUAAGACUCUUUAAGUUCUUGCUUGAAAUUGCAGGUUCUUAUUUGAAAUUUGCAGGUUCUGUUUUAAGGUGAUUUCUUAUUGUUUUUAUGCAGGAUUUUUUAGCCUUCCGCAAAGAGACUGUUGUUGCUAGUGGAAAGUCUUCGUUAGAAAUGUAUCUUGAUGAACCAGCAUUAAACAUUAAGAAUUUUAAGAGUAUAGAUAUUCUUUAGUAUUGGAAAGAUAACUCUCAACGCUUUGGAGCAUUGGCUUCUAUGGCUUAGGACCUCCUAAGUAUACCAAUCACAACAGUAGCCUCUGAAUCCUCAUUUAGCAUUGGUUCAAGAGUUUUGAAGAAUCCUCAUUUAGCAUUGGCUCAAGAGUUUUGAACAAGUACAGAAGUUGUCUCCUCCCUAAAAACUUUUAAGCAUUAAUAUGCAGCCGCAAUUGGUUAAAAGGUUUCGAAGCAUAUGAAAAUGGUAAGAAAAUAUUUUUCAUACAUGAUCAAUUCACAAUCUUAAACAGUGUAUUAACUUUGUUUGUAACUGAAUUUUGUAGAGGAAGACAAAGACUUGAAUGGUGAAGAUAAAACACUACCUUCUUUUCGGUCGAUUGUUGAUUAUGAAGAGACAACUUGAGUUUCAUACUUCAGUUUAGUACUUCAGUUUCAGAUUUUAAGAUACAACUUGAGUUUCAUACUUCAGUUUAGUACUUUAGUUUCAGUUUUUAAGACACAACUUGAGUUUCACUUGGAUUGAUUUUUAUGUUUCAAUCUAGUACUUUAGUUUCAGAUUCUUAGACACAACUUCAGUUUCACUUGGAUUGAUUUUUAUGUUUCAUAUUUUUAGACAUUUUUUUAGUUUAAAUUUGAUUUGCAGUUUCAGAUUUUUGGAAACAUCGUGUAGCUUGAGCUCCGGUUUGAUUUUUAUGUUUCCGUAUAAUACUUCAGUUUCAGCUUGAGCUCCAAGUAGAAUCUGAUUUCAUAGAAAAAUCAAACAACAUUAUAUUCAACAGUUUUUCAAAAUUUGGUGUUCGGAUCAAACAAGACACAAAACUACUCAAUUUUGCAGACUAGCAGGCACUUCUUUUUCACAGCAAUUGUAGGCUACAACUCGUGUUCGGCAUCGUAAGCGAAAUAGUGAUGUACGUCUGCUAAUUUCGAUUUCUAUAGACAGUCUUCUGUAUAAUUAAAGGGACACAAAUCAAGGCAUAUUCACAUUGUUCUUUGUUUAGUUAAAUUGUGUUUCUUGUGUUAGAACUUGUCUAUUUAGUGGUAAAACUAGCAUUAUGCGAUGUGGAAACUAUUCAAACAGUAAUAGCUAUUGCUUCAUUAUCUCUCUAUUUUGGUUGAAAUUUUAACCAAUUGUCUGGUUUUUAGGAUGGUGCAGGGGCAGGCAAAGCAAAUGGAAACCAUUUACUUGUCAAUGUCAGUAGCAAAUACAAAUCUGGAUGAUAGGUGGUUUUGCUCUAAUAGUUUACUUGGGUCAUCUCUACAUUACAGCCAUGGUGGUUGUUAUUCAGAUAUUCAUGGCUCAAGAACUGUUCAAUUUGCUGAGAAAGACUAUGAAGAUAAACAACUUUGUUCUGUUCUGCGGCAUGUCUCGAUGGUCUUGCCAUAGAUGGUAUGCAUGCGGGCUUGUCUGCUUACUUGCCUGUUUUACGGAGCGGGCUUGGACAGUAGGUUCUCUGUUCGCGGUUCAAGCAGGCAGACCGCGACGGUCCAUGAUCAACGACGGUCCAUCGCGGACUGGACCCGGCGGACGCGGGCAGACCCGUCUGACAACUCUACUUAUAUAUUCAACAACUCCAGACAUUACUUCAACUUUAGCUGCUACUUUGACUUCACGCAUCAUUUCUCUAAUACGUGCCUUGUGUUCUACGAGUUUGGCUUCCCCAUGGACAAACAUCUAGUCAUGGUUACAGGCAGCCGGCACCUCUUUUGUCACGCCAAUUGGAGCUUUGGACUUCGUUUUAUCGAAUUUUUUGGCGACUAGGAUAGUUGACAGUGGAAAACCUACAUUACCACCUGUCAAUACAUCCUUUGGGAAGGUUGUUUUUGAUUUAUAAGUUUGGUGAGGUAAGCUACAUAUGUGUUUUCCACCUCAUCAUCCCAGAGGAAGCUCUGUUCAGUAUGCUCAUCUCCUGUGUUGGAGGAAACGGGAACUAUCUUCAGCUAUAGAUUAGCAAAGGGACAUAAGUACAAAAUACCAAUAUAGAUGAUGUCCAUAAAUAACCGGUGGACAAUCAUGAAUAUUGAUGGACAAUAUAAAAUGUAUAAAAUUUAGAGAAUAUAAGGACCUUAAGGAUCACACCUACGGAUGGUUCUCAACUUCGAGAAUGGUAUCAUUGCGGAAUGACUUUAGCUUCGAAAGUUGUACAAUGGAGCGGUCAGUGAAGGUUUGUUGGUUAUUACCAUCUGGCAUGCAUUUCUCUAGCAAAGGGAUUAAGUGGAGGGUAAAAAGCUAAAGUGCCAAAAUGAAUCCAUUUGUUGCAUUGUGAGAGCAAAUUAACUUAUCAACAAGGUCAUCUACAUUCUAAACUUUGGAACCAACCUUGACCAUCCGCAAAGUAAGUAGAAAAGACUCGCGACCCCAUGGAUAUGAGUAAAAAGUUUUAAAGUCCUUCACCAUUUCGACGACUUCAAUAGAAGCUCUAACAGGCUGGAAGGUACAAAUUAAGAUGCCCUCAAAAUCACUAUAAGAGCAAGUCUCAAUCUUUUCCAACCUUGCAUCUGCAAAUCUGGUGUUUGCCUUUUGACUCUUUUCAAUAUUGUUACAAUAUCCUAUAUGCUGACAAUCUCCUUUUCUUGCCAACAGUCCGCGCUGGUAAAUAUCCUUAGUGUGACAAAGUUUAUGUGACUUGAGGAUGGUUUCUUGAUUCGAGAAUGGAUCGCAAGGAAGCUGAAUAAUUAUAGCAAACUCUCUGAGCAAAAAUCUGAUUGUUUGACCACCAAAUACGAACCAUAUAUCAUGAUGUUUCUGUGUAUGCAGAGAACGACAUAAUAUAUUGUGGACAAGUUUACUAGAAAGAGACAACUAGCGGACAGGGUAGUCCAAUAAGACCAAGCAUGGAUUCUCUUAUAGCCUUUAGCUUGAGGGUAUCAUAAAGGACAUCCACAAUGUCCAGCAAAUAUACGGGUUUUGAAUAGGAAUUAAUCUGUCCCUUUUGAGGGUACCGGUCCGUAGCAAAAACUCAAUCUCGAACCAAUUUCGAUACUAUUUCAAGGCUAUUGCAUUGACGGACACAGGUAAUGGAGGCUUCCUCGGGGACAGUAGGUAAUGCCUAAAAAAAGGGACAUAACAUAAGAAAUGAAGCCAUAGACAGAAUAUAUGCAACAAGGAAAAUUGUGCGGUGGACAUAAGUUAAAUAUAUGAUGGACAACAUCGGGAACGUGGACAAAAAAGUUACCUUCAUAAGGGACGGAUUAAUUCCUAUUCACAACCCGAAUAUUUGAUGGACAUUGUGGAUGUCCUUCAUGAUAUCCUCGAGCUAAAGGCUUUAAUAGAAUCCCCGCUUGGUCCUUUAUUGGACUAUCUUGUCCGCAAGUCGUCUCUUUCCGGUAAAUUUAGCGACUAUUCGACGACUACAUUUGGCGACUACAACCACAGUCGCCAAAUUUAGCGACUAUUCGACGACUAUGUAGCGACUCCGUUACGACUACAGACACUUAGUCGGUAAAUCGUCGCUAAAAGACGACUGACAUGUGCAGCCGUUAUAGUAGUCGUUAAAUAGCGACUGUUUUAUGAGCAAAUAUUCUAGACGGUGUAAUAGUCGCUAUGUAGUCGGUAAAUUGGCGACUAUUACGCAACUACACAGUAGAGUCGCAAAAAAGCGACUAAAUUGCGAUUUUGGCGGCGAGUCGUAAUAUAGUCGCCAUGUAAUCGUAAAAUUGACGCAAAAGAAACACGUUUUAUUCGUUUGUGGUAGGUGAGCACGAGGAGUGGUAGGUGAGCACGAGGAGUGGUAGGUGUACCGUUUUUAGCGACUACGCAUGUUGUCGCUACAUAGUCGCUAAAUAGUCGCUAAAGUGUCUAUAUAAGAAAGCUUCGAUCCACAAUUCUCUUCAUUCAUUCACAACACAAACAACCAAUAUUAGAAGAAAAAACGAGUUUUGAGAGAUUUUCAAUAAUGGCUGGAAAUUAUAAUAAUUUUCGAGAGUGGAUGUAUAAGAGGAUCGACGAAGAGACGGGAAACUUCUCAGAAGAAUUUAGAGCGGGGGUAGAGCAGUUCAUGGCAUUUGCAAAUAGCCAGCCUUUAGCACAAGACAAUGGGGGUAAGUUUUACUAUCCAUGUAGUAAAUGCAAAAAUGAUAGGCGUAUUCCGGGGGCUAGAAUUUGGAACCAUCUAUUUAGUUAUGGGUUUAUGGAAGAUUAUUAUGUUUGGUAUAAGCAUGGGGAAGAAAUCAAUAUGAAUUUAGGAACGAGUUAUGUUGAUCCGACGUAUAUAAGUGGGAGAGAAGAAGUGGGUAAUGUAGAAGAUAGAUAUGUGGAUAUGGUGAAUGAUGCAUUUCCUAAUGAUUAUUACAUGAGUUAUCAUCAACAUGAUGACAGUUAUUAUAAUGUAGAAGAACCGGUUUAUAACCAUUUAAAGAAAUUUUACGACUUGUUAGAAAGUGCUAAAAUCCACUAUAUGAUGGUUGUCGUGAAGGUCACUCUCAAUUAUCUUUAGCUGCUAUUAUGAUGUAGAAUAAGGUAGAUUAUAAUAUGAGUGAAAAGUGUGUGGAUUCGGUAUGUGAUGUGUUAAGUGAGUAUUUACCAUAAGGAAACCAAGCUACCGGUUCACAUUACGAGACAGAAAAAUUAAUGUGUAAUUUAGGGCUCCCAUAUCAUACAAUUGAUGUUUGCAUCAACAAUUGUAUGAUAUUAUGGAAAGAUGACGAAAAAGAAGAUAAAUGUCUCUUUUGUGGUCAUCAAAGAUGGAAGCCUAAUGAAAACCGACGUCGAACAAAGAUACCAUAUAGUCGUAUGUGGUAUUUAUCUGUUGCAGACAGAUUGAAGCAAAUGUAUCAAAGCCACAAGACUGCAGCAGCAAUGAGAUGGCAUGCCGAGCAUCAAGCGAAAGAUGGAGAAAUGAGUCAUCCUUCAGAUGCGGUUGAGUGGAAAUAUUUUGAAGACCAACAUCCCCAGUUUGCUGAAGAACCCGGAAAUGUGUAUCUUGGAUUAUGUACGGAUGGGUUCAAUCCAUUAAUUAUAUAGAAAAAUUAUGUUCUCGACCACACUUACACAUUGUGUUAAAUUCCCAGAUGGUUAUGCUUCAGAUUUGGCUAGUUCUGUUGAUCUAGAAAAUGGAAAGUUUUCAGGCAUGAAAAGUCAUGACUGCCAUGUUUUUAUGGUGUGAUUACUUCCAUUUAUCUUUGCCGAACUCUUAGAUCGAAACAUCCACCUUGCGUUAUCAGGUACUUCCUAAUAAUUAAUUACUUAAUUUUAUAUAUAUAAAUUAAAUAAGCAACAUGUUGAAUUGUUUGAAUAUAUAUAUAUAUAUUCUAGGAGUUGGAGCAUUUUUCAGGGACAUAUGUUCGAGAAAGUUGCAAACAAGUUGCAUUCAAAUUCUGAAAAAGAACAUUGUUUUAAUCCUAUGCAAUUUGGAAAAGAUCUUUCCGCCGUCAUUUUUUGAUGUCAUGGAGCAUUUGCCUAUACAUCUCCUAUACUAAGCUGAAUUAGGAGGCCCUGUCCAAUAUAGGUGUAUGUAUCCGUUUGAACGGUUUUUCAAAAAAUUGAAAGGAAAAGCAAAGAACAAAAGAUAUGCGGCAGAAUCAAUUGUGGAAUCAUAUAUCAAUGACGAGAUUGCUUAUUUCUCAGAGCACUACUUUGCCGCAAAUAUAAGAACGAAAUCCAGGUAAAAGCAAAUAUUAUUUACAGUUAUGUUUCUUACUUUUCAUCACCCAUUGGUCAGGUUAACAAGAUUUGAUGAAGGUGAAGUCCCAGUAUAUCAUGUCUCUGGAGUACCUAGUUUAUUUACACAUGUUGGCUGUCCAAGUGGAGAAAUGUAUGAAAUAUGGCUUUCAAAGCAAGACUAUGAAUGCACACACUCAUAUGUUUUACGAAAUUGUGAAUAUUUUCAACCAUGAUUUCUCAUCAUAACGACUAUAUUAUUUGUUCUUCUAUAUAUAGUAUGUUCGAGGAUUUUAUAUCAGCAAAAUAUCCUGCACUUUCCGCAAAAGAACUUUCCGCGAAAAGAGCUGACGAAUAUCAUAUAUGGGUUAAAGAAUAUGUAUGUCAUAUUGAUUUAUAUAAGUGCUAUAUAAAUUUUGCAAAUUAUUGAUUUUUUUUUUGUUUAUCAUAUAUUUGAAUAUAUGUAGGUUACUUAUUGGAACGCUACAAAUCCAUUUCCUACCUGGGUUCAAGAGAAAGUGCAUGGACCUUUGAACAAGGUUAAAACAUGGCCAAUUUAUUUCACAAGAGGCUAUUUGUUUCAUACAGAGAAUCACGGUGCUGGACGAAAGACAUGUAACUAUGGGUUGUGUGUUAAAGGUGAAAAUUAUACUGAUGCAUCUGAUGCAGCGAAUUUCUACGGGACAGUAUUGAUAUCAUAGAACUUGAGUAUGAGGGGAUGGUCAAUUUGAAAAUCACACUUUUUAAGUGCAAGUGGUAUGACCCUGUUAUCGGUAGAGGCACUCAGAGGAGUAAUGGUGGCGUCACAGACGUACUUUCAUCAAGAAAGUACAAUAAAUACGAACCAUUUAUUCUACCUAUGUACGUAUAAAAAUUUACACAUUAAGAAUAUAUACAUAUACAAUGUAUAUAUAUGCCUAAUAAAUUCUCCAUGUUGAUAUAUAUAUAUAUAUAUGCAACAACCUCUCAAGCGCAUCAAGUUUGUUAUAUCCCGUACCCAUACAUAAAAAACCGAAACAAUUGUGGCUCAAUGUUCUUAAAGUUAAUCCAAGGGGAAACAUUUUUGGAUAAUACGAAAACAAAGAAUCGACUCUUUUACAAACAGAAAAUGAUGAUGAUGUAUUGAUGACUACAAUUGAAGACCUCAUAGUUGACGAUUUGGAUGUGGGAGUAAAUGCAAUUAACCUAGAUUAUGAUGUUGAAGAUGCGGAACCUAAACCUGAACCUAAAGAUAUUUCAUCGAGUUUGCGGUACAAUUUUUGUCUUUUAGUCUUUACAUUCUGGUUUACUUGUUUAUAUUGACUAACACCUUUAUCUCUCUUUGUUUGUUUUGCAGAAAACACACACCUGGGAUCCCUUGAUAACAGGGACAGUUCAAAAAGCAUUUGAGGUGGUAUGUCAAAAACGGAUAAAAGACAUGGUUAGCAAUGUGAAGACUAGCCGAGAGAGACCGUUAUGGAUUGAAGAUACUCUUUGGAAGAAGAUGGUUGCGUACUGGGAAACGGAUGAAGCCCAGGAAAGGAGUACCACAUAUUCUAAAGCUCGAAUGUCUGAUUGUAAUGGUCUCGGUCCUCACAUUCACUUAUCAGGACCCGAAGUCGUAUCAACAAAUCCAACAAGACAUGGUAACUAACUCCUGGUUUCUGAUUUUUUUUAAACAUCUUUACUUUAUAUUUUUUGAUAAUCUGUCUUGUAGGAAGAGAAAUUGGGAAGAUCUGUGAGUCUUGGUGAGGUUUUCAUCAAGACUCAUACUAAGCCAGAUGGUACCUAUGUUGAUGGGAAAGCGGAGAAAAUUGGCAAAGCUUAUGAGAAGAACAUGCAAGACAAGUUGUUUGAGCUCGAGGCAGAGAAUACCUCCGCAGACGGCCCCCGAGAGCUCACAGCAGAUGGGCAAACAGCCAUCUUUCUUCAGGUAAAGUCCCAUUCUUGGUUUUAGCAUUCAGAAUAUUUUUAUGCAAUGGAUUUUUAAAUUUCGUCUUUCUUUUUCCAUAGUCCACAGAAAAGGAUUCAAGAGGAAACCUUUAUGGAGUUGGAAGCAUCAAGGACCCUCUUCUCCUUGGCAAGCGCAAGCAACCAAAAGACGUCGCCUCGUUUGUGACACUACAAGACCAGAUGAAGGAAGCUCAGCGCAAAAUUGAAGAGCAAGCUGCUGAAAAUGAACGACAUCACAAUGAGGUGGCUGCCCGCGAAGCUGAACAUUCCAAAGCUGUAGCUGAGCAAAAGGAAGAGCUCGCACACUUGAAAUUGGUGGUGAAGUACCUGCGCAAAACCUAUCCAUCAUUUCUUAACUUCAUUACUUCUUGUUCAACUUCAAGAAACAUCGAGGCUCUCCAGACCGAUCCUCCCGCGGCAGCUCAAACUACAGCAUCUCCAUCUGCUUUUAAAUCUCUUAAGUUCUGCAACUUUUGUUUUGUGUUCAUUCCUUAGUAAUGUUAUGAACUAAGGAAUACUUUUUAUGUAUAUAUGAAUCAUUCCUUAUGUUUAGUGACUUAUUAUUUCUUUUGAGUAUAUGAAUCUUCUACAGGUUGCAUUUGACAAACAAAAAUGAAUUUGCUAAACAUUAAAAACGAAAUGAAUUUGGGAUUUAAUUAAAUUAUGUCGUACCAUAUUUUUUUUCUUCAAAAUAAGUAGUCGCUAAUUAAUCAGAAUUAAGUCAUAAAGUAGUCGCUACAUAGACGCUAUAUAGUCGGUAUUUUUGCGACUAUUAUACAACUAUAAGAGCAAUCAUAAAAUCGUCACUAUAUUAUCAGAAAUAAGUAGUAGAAUAGUCGCUAAAUUGUCGCAAGAAAAUCGCUAAAUUCACGACUAUUUUAUGACUACUUUAUAACUAUAUAUUUGAUCGUAAAAUCGUCGUAAAUUGAUCAUAAAUUAAUCGUAAAGUAGUCGUAAACUUUACGACACGUUUAUGACUAGUUUACGACUACGUCAUUUCGUCGUAACGUAGUCGCCAAUUAGCGACUAAUCUUACGACUAACAACUUUAGCGACUACAGUAUUAGUCGCUAAAUAGUCGUAAAAUAGGGUUUGGCGACUACAUAGCGACUAAUACUGCAGUCGCCAUUUGCCAGUUUUCUUGUAAUUACAAUUCUCUGCUUACACAGAAACAACACGAAAUAUGGUCCGUAUUUGGUGGUCAACAAUUUAGAUUCUCACUCAGAGUUUGCUAUAAUUACUUGGUUUCCUUGCAGUCCAUUACCGGAUCAAGAAACCAUCCUCAAGUCGGAGAAACUUUGUCACACUAAGGAUAGUUACUGGCGCAAGCUGUUUGACAAGAAAAAGGACGUUGUCAGCAUCCAGGAUAUUGAAACAAUGUUGAAAAUAGACGAAAGGCAACCACCAGAUUUGCAGAUGCAAGGUUGGAAAGAAUUGAGACUUGCUCUUAUAGUGAUUGUUGAGGGCAUCCUAAUUUCUAACUCCCAUCCUGUUAGAGCUUCUAUUAAAGUCGUCGAAAUGGUGAAGGACUUAAAAAACUUUAACUCAUAUCCAUGGGGUCACGAGUCUUUUCUACUUACUUUGCGGAUAGUCAAGGUUGGUUCCAAAGUUUAGAAUGUGGAUGACCUUGUGGAUAAGUUAAUGCGCUCUCACAAUGCAACACAUGGAUUCAUUUUGGCACUCCAUCUUUUUGCCCUCCACUCAAUCCCUUUGCUGGAGAAAUGCCUCUCAUAUGGUGAUAACCAACAAACCUUCACUGACCGCUCUAGAAUACAACUUUCGAAGCUAAAGUCAUUCCAUAAUGAUACCAUUCUCGAAGUUGAGAACCAUCCGCAUGUAUGGUCCUUAGAUUCUCUAAAUCUUAUACAUUUUAUAUUGUCCAUCAAUCUUUAUAAUUGCCACCGGUUAUUUAUGGACAUUAUCUAUAUUGGAAUUUCGUACUUAUGUUUCCCUUUGCUAAUCUACAACUAAUUUUUGUUAAAUUACCAACCUACAAUAGAAGUAUUUUUUGUUAAAUUACUAUACCAUAAAUACAAAUUUACAAACCCAAACCAAUCUAUAAUAUCUAUGUUUACUAAUAAAUUACUAUAUGGACAUAUUUAGGUACACACGUUGUCCAUAUUUUGUACUUCCAUUCUUGGUAACCCAGAUAGGAAAUUUAAAAAUAUUUUGUGGCUUCCAUAGAAUUCCUGCUAUGGACAAUACCAGAGAAUAUUUGUGAAGGAGUAAAAUACACUCAGUGUCUAGGGAAAUAUGAUAAAAGUGUCGACUUGUCCUUUUGAUAGUGUGGAAUGCCUACAACCGUGUAGGUCCGCACUAUUAGUCUACGGUGCAUUUACUAAAUUUGCAGCUUUCUUGAAUAGUAAAAGUAAUUUCGAAUUACAACUAUACCGUUAAGGGUUCGUAGAAGGUUUCGCUUAGAUCUCUGCAUCAGUUCAAAAUAAACAAAUAUGGGUAGAUACAGUUACAGCCAGCCAUCAUCUUCCUCUGCCGAUUCGAUUAGGUCUAUGGACCGAACCAUUGGCAACCACGGAAUCCGAAGCUAUAUUGUCCUCCAGACUACCCUACCUGACGUUGCUACUCCCAAUCGUCUAUACUACGGUUGCGAGAGCAAUGAUUUUUGACAUUUUUGUUAGAUUUUAUUAUUUACUUAUGGAUUGGUUUGAUUCCGGUGUUGAUGCUGACAUUGGUUUGUAUGUGCUUCAGCAAUGACAGACGAGCUGACAGAUGUCAAGAAACUGGUAUCUACUAACAAAGAACUCAUUGAAGGUAUGAAGUGAACGGACAUUGGUAAAAACGUCGACCCCCCCCCCCCAGAAUGCUAGAUUAAUGAUGCUCGAUGAAGACAUUGAUCACCUAAAGUUUGUGGAAAACAAUGAUGACCUCAUUACCGAGUUGACCGACGUUGUCCAUCAACUGGUGGAGGAGUUACGCCUGAAGAGCAAUAAGAUGUCUACAAGUCUUAAAUUUGUCAAUUUAAUUAUGGCAGCAAGUGCGGUGGUGCUUUGUUUGUUGUUUUGCCUACUUAAAUAAGAUAUCUUUGCUUAAAUGUGUGAUGUAUUCCCCUUCUAUAUUUCAUGGACGUAAUCCUUAGAACUAGUAAAACCAUGUAUUUUCCAUCUCAGUUUUGUAUUAGAUAAUUACUAUAUUUUCUACUCGUUUAAAUUUGUCCACUGUCAUCAAUGUACAACUAACGCUUUUAAACCACCAAAUGAAAUAUUUGCUAUAAGGUUAUGUCCAUACACAAAAAUACUUGUCUAUAUGUCUGAAUUAAUGUUAUGUCCAUACACCAAAAUCAUGUUGAUCGUAAUAAAUGUCUACGUCAUCACUUCUUACGCAAUAUCUACGAAGGGAAGAAUCCUCGAUAGAAUUAAAUGUUAAGUCACUUCUGAUGAGUAAAUUGUGUGCCACCAAACAACAACCAUAAAAUUAAUGAAUUGUGAAUCCAAUAUCCAUAUUUAUACGUAAGAUGGGGUGCAAGUAUUCUAUAGCAGAAAAAGUGAAACAAAAAAAAAUGACAAAUCUUCUUGACCUACCACAUCAUCUUGCAAUUUUUAUUGUCACUCUUGUUGCUAAAUCCGAGUUCCAUAAGCUAGCACCUCUUAUUUCAUUAGGUUCAGAAGGAUGUGCUCUUGCAUUUAAUGAGUUGGUAUUGAGGGAAACUUCUCUUGAUAUUAUUGAAGAGCAGCCAGGAGUAAUCAAAAUAAAUUCAAUAUUCGUCCAUGUUUUGUUAGGACCAUUAAAGCUAGGAACCCUACAUCAAUGUACCUAGAGGGAAGUAAGUACGUUCCAAAAUACCGGGAUUACAGAGAUGCCAUCCCCAUGUUUGCUUACAAGUGGAGUAACCUAUUCCGGAAGGAGAAACUCUCGAUGGCAAUGAGUUUCAUGAUCAAACUUUUGGUCUUAUGUGUACGGGAGACGGAGGAGGGGAUUUCGUUGAUGACGAAGUUCUGAACUUGUUUCGAAGAAGAAGAGAAGGUGAUGUUGUUGCCCAACGAGUGUUUUAUGAUUUCACAGGGCUGAGUUCUCAAACAACGGUUCAAGGGCGUUCUAAGAUUGUUAAACUUAAGAAAAAUAUUCUUAGACUUGAGUUUGAUGUAUGCGAGGAUUGCACCGAACUCAAGAGAUGCCCCUUGCUACACAUUUUGGCGUUGCCAGAGGUUCAGGGAAUUAUUCGAUAUCCCUUGACAACUGUCCGUAGAUACGCAACCGUAAGUCUAUCUCAAUAUGUGGAAGAGAAACUCUUAUGUUCAUGUCCAUGGCCAACAUUUUCAAUUGUGUUUCUCUAAUGUAUAUUGCCAAGUUUAAUAUGUGUAUGGACUUGAUGAUAUUUUUAUUUCCAUACCAAACAUUAUGCUUUUUAACUCUAUGUAUUCCUCCAAGAAUCAACAAAGUAAAACCACCCCAAAGUGAAUAAUGAUCGAUCUUACUAACGUCCACAUCAGUUAAAGUGUGGCAACAUGGAAUUAUCAACACAUCAAACGCCCUACAACUACAUGUUUUCUUCUCUAGGUCCACUUCAAAAAAAAUCUCAUACCAUCAUUCACUUGAUAAACCUAGUCACUAAUAGACAACAUAGCAUAAUCAACUGAAUCUUCGAGAUUAUCGAUUAAAAUUUGUUCCACCUCUGGCCUACACCUUGUUUGUGUUUUCCCAGAAUGUUUCCUACGCAAAUAGAACCGUCACAUCAACAUUGCCCUUAUAAACUCCACCAUAGCUACUAAUAAUCCACUGCUUUAACCAUUGCAGCGUUCAAGGACUCCGAAAUAUUGUUGCUCAUUAGAUUAUAUCUUCUUUUCGAAUAGUGGAAAAGCGUCCAAUGUGGUAGACCAAUAUCGUCAUGAUAUUUAACAAAUUCUGGUUUACGAGUUUCAACUUCUUAAAACCAUAACUUGAAGUCACGUUCAGUAAACGCCCUUCCUGUAUUAGAAACCAUGCAUGCAAGCCCUUCACAGUGAAAAUUAGAUUUAACGUUUCUAUGCAAAUGUCUCGCACAUGCCCCAUUGUGAGCCAAUGGAUAAACCUUCGUAAGCCAUGCGUUUAUUGCAGCAUGUCUAUCUCACACAAACACAAGAUCUUCCUCGUUUUUAACAAUUUCACACAGUUUCUAAAGAAAUCAAAUCCAACUAUUGACAUUCUCGUUGUCCACAACCCCCAAACGCUAAUGGAUAUACAUGUAUAUUUCCAUCUUGUCCACUAGCAACAACUAAACAUCCUUGGUAUCAGAUUUCUUGAGUAUUUAAUACGGUAACUUAACCGAAGUAAAGUAUAUGCGGGAUCGAUCACAUGGAGCAAGGUUACACUAAAGACUUGCGAGACUCGUUCUUAGCUACAGUGGAAAAGAUUUGUUGUUUGGUUUUUCAUAAUUGUAAAUAAAAAUGCAAAUAAAAGAAAAUAAACUUAUAAAUUAAAGACAUUGGGCAGCAGGAUAUUUUCAGAGAAUCAAUGAAUAACGAAUAAAAGCAAUAAGGAGUUCAAGCAUGAAGAACCGUUCUUAAACAUGAACACAAGUUUAGACUAAUUCUCUCUCAAUACAUUAAUCACUAAAUUAACCUAUUCAAUUACUAAACUCUCAUUUGUAAUUUCCUAGACAAAUUCGCAUUAUCAAACAUGUUCAUUUGGUUCACAAGACAUUCUAACAUCAACUCUCGCAGGUUAGAAAUACAAUGCUCAAUUUACAUUCAUCCAGACAUUUUAUCGAACAUCUCUGAAAAAAAAUAAAAGCCUAAGUUCUAAAACAGGGUGAUCAAUCAUAUUCUAGCAUUGAGAACAUGUAAAUUGAAGAACUCAAAGAUUAAGAAUUCCCUAAGACAUCUAAUCCAUCAAAUCAUUUAAUCUCCUACUAAGAACCCUAAAACCUAAUUAAGAGACUACUUAGACAUAGCAAUUGGAAAAAAAAAAGAAAAUAGACAUUCAAGAAAACAUGUUGAAAUUCCAGAUACAAUAAGAAAGGGUUUAGAAAUCUUCUCCAAGUGUCAAGAGGAUGGAUUCUUCUCCCCAAAUUUGUUUAGAAAGAAAAGGACAAUGUCUAGAACUAAAAAAUAUGAAGGAUGGCUGCUAAAAAGGCGAGCCGAGGGUAUAAAAACAAUAGGAGACGAUUUGGGUCUAUUUCGGAUCGAAUAUGGGUGAAAAUAUGCGUCAGAGGUAAGGGAUUGAUCAGUCCCGGGUGUGGACCGAUCGGUCUGGCACUCUCAGGUUUCAAUUAUACAUCAGCUUCAACAACUCGUCAGAAUGACAUGUCUUCACAAAAUCGGGUGUAACUCUUGAAUGCACCGUUAGUAGUCCUUGAAGUCACAUGCAAAAGAAAGCUAACAUCUUUCUUCAUCUUGUGUCAAAAUAUGAGAAAGAUCUAACGUUGGAAAGUCGUCCAUAUGUUCCCAAACAUCUGACACUUGUACAUGAAUCUGCGUCUCCAAAUGUGUGUUUGCAUCCCAAAACAGCUUAUUUUAAUCCAAAGCAACCUAAAACCUGUAAAGACUCUAUAAUGGACUAAAAGAAUCUAAAAACACACUUUGACUCAAUUAAAAUUAUAAAAUGAAAUAGAAAAGAAAGACUUAAAACCGAUAAAAACACAAUAUAUCAGUAUCUCCCCUUCAUCUGGAUCCCAUCUAUGACAAAACUUUCCUUAGGCAUGGGUAUCUAGCAAAGAAUAGAUAGUUGAAUAGAUGCUCUCCUUUCUUGAUUUUUCUCAGUGUCGACAUCCGUAAUUGUCCCCAGAUUUGUUCUCUUCAAAAGAUGUAAUAAGUGGACAAGUGCAUGUAACUACCUUCCUCACUUCCUCGUCCCUCACAAAUUGCCAACUCCUUUGAAUUCCAAUAUUUAAUAUAGGAGACGGUCACAUUGAACUCCGCUAAAACCAUUUCUGGUUUUACUGGGACCUACAUGACACAUACUAUGCUUCAGCUCAACCUUUUUAAUUUCAACAUUCUUCGAAUCUUUGUGGUUCUUCGCAAAAACUCUCCACUUACAAUUCUUGUCCACACAAUUUGCUAUGACUUUUGUCUUGUCAGAACUCCCCAACCUAUAGUGAAAUAUCCUCUUCAUGGCAUACAACGACAAAGCAUUUCGAAGUUCCAACUUGCUUUUAAAGACUCUCCCAACAUAUAUUGCAUUCUCUCACCUCUUUAAGUCCAUGUUUGCUAACUCGCUAUUAGAACCUUGUACAUUAUCUCUACACGGUUCUGCAUCCAGUACAAUAGCAUCUUUUGGCAAAUACCAUUGCUUGAUGAACGUCGUUAACCGUGAAUUCUUCUAAUCGCUUGUUAGAUAUUUCUUCCCCAACAAAACUUUCUGGUGGACGUUCAUCCGCAAUGUCUAUAGCAGGAUUGGAUGGAACAACAAUGUCUGAGAUUUUUGAUGGACGAGAGAUUCCCAACCCAUUCGAUGUUUCUUCUUCAUCUAACCCUACUGAUCUAAUAACAUUAAAUGGAUCCCAAUCUUUUUGAUAUUCUUUGUUGAUCAACUCACUCAUCCCGUCAUAAUCGUAGUCAUCCUCAUCGUCAUACUGAACCUCAUCCUCACAACCGCUAUUUUCAUGUCCAUCUCUAACGUCAUUCCUAUCGCCUUUGUGACCAACGAGCGCCUCGUUUGUUCUUCCAUCAACGUCUACCAUAUCUUCGUUUAGGUCCACCGUAACAAUCUCGUCCAUUGAACUCGUCCCUAUAGUUCUGCUGUCCAUUGUCUUUGCCUUUUUCGCGACCGAAUCCGUAAGAUGGUUUGAGUACUUUUCCUUUUCAAAACAUCAUUAUCCGAACGUUUCACUUUCUGAGCAGCUUUGAGCUCUUCAACUUGUGCAAUAAGUACCUCAUCAUCUACACUGCUAUGAACUUCUUUUCCGCUAUCAGGACUUCUGGCGGCCACAUCUCCCUUUGACGUGUCAAACGUACAAAAAAUGUUUAACUGGUUGUUAUCCCUCUGUUUCCUUUUAAACUGGCCAAAUGCUACAUCGCAACCAAUAUAGAUGGGCAGUAUUUGACCUUGUGUGAACACUUCCGUCUCUCCAGCAUACCAAAAACUUAGGCGUAGACGUUUAUAUUUGUUGUCCACCCGGUAAACACGGACCACUGCAUGCAUAAGCUCCUCGUACGUCAUGCCAUCAUUGUAUGCGACACAUCUUCCAAACUCUUUUGGAUAGCCAGAAAAUUCCCACCUCCCGGAUUCACGAGUUUCUAAAACUCCACCUAACACUAAGAUUAUCUCGUCGAUCCCUGAUUGGUCCACAAGAACGUAUGAUGAAAAAAAAAACAUCAUUUAUUGCAACCAAACCGGAUCUUCACACGACCAGUCAUGGCCACACUUCAAUAAAUUUCUGCUGUUACAUAACUUGUAAUGAAUCACAAAGAUUUGUUUCGAAUAAAUGCCGACAUGAAUGAAUGUAUCUUUAUUUACCUUUAUAAUUUCACGUCCACCGUCUUCAAUCCUUUGUCCACGGAUUCUUUAACGCAGUAAAUCACAAUUUUUCUAGAACAUCUCUAUCUAUCCUUCUAACAACUUCGCUUUGUCUUUCUCUUUCUCUCUACCUUGUUCGUACACUUUUUUGUAUUUUGUUUUUUACUUUCUAACUGGUGAUGUUUACAUAGUUACUUACUUAUUUUGUUUGUCCACCAUUAAUGCUUUUGUACUAUGUUUUCCAAUCAGCCGAACAAAGUGUCCGUACCUUUUAAUUUUAUUUUUCUUUUGCUUUUGUUAGUUCACCCGCAUCUUUUUCACAAGGUUAGUAUUGUAUAUUUAACAUCCAAAAUGGUAGAUGAGGUAAGGUCCCGAAUCGUGGCAUUUCUAAAAACAUAAAGGUGAAACUUUAAUACUAUUGAUAAAAUUCUUUUUUUUUUUGGUAAGAUUGAUAAAAUUUUCUUGUAUAAACUAUAAAGCUAUUAAUGAAUUAUUCAGUCGACAAAAAAAAAGUUUUUAAAAUUGGGUUUGCUAUUUAAAAUAAAAUUAUAUGACGAAUUCGAAAAUGAAGUUUAAAUGUGAUGGAGUUCUUUUGUCGUUUUCCCUUUAAAACAAAGUUUUAUUAUUAUUUUAUUUUUUGCCAAAACUGUAUAAAAUAAAUCCGUACGAUUUCGCAACAUCAGUCACUCCCACGCUUUUCUUCUCCCUUCUCUCUUCUCUCUUCUCUCUUCUCUCUUCUCUCUCUCUCACUUCUUCUUGUUCUCCGAUUUGUAGACCAGAAGGGUUCUAGGGUUUUUAAUCGGCGAUCACGACGGCUGUUCUGCUCAACCACGAUCACGACGGUGCGUUUCUCUGCUCUGUAAUUUGUUCAUCUGUUGAUAAAAUCAUACAAAUGUUGGAAAUAAACCGAUGAUGAAGUUUAUAGAUUUCUAUGGUUUCGUCUUCUUCGAUGAGUUCGUUUCCUCACGAAGUAGCUUAGCUAGGUUUUAGAUACUGCUGUGUUCGUCAUCGUCCUUGUUUUUUAAAGUGUCUUCGUUGCUUCUUUUAGGUGAUUUCUCGAAAAUGCAGGAAAAUUUCAUGGAGAUUUGGGUUAAAUUUCGUAAAUCCGUUGUAAUGGUUUCUUCGUUUGGUGUUUUUGUGUUAUGUGGAUUGGUUUUGGUUAGUGAUACGAAGCUGAAUCUGUUGAAACUUGAUUUUUUUUUUCUUCAGCUUAACUCUAAUGGACUGGUCAGAGGAAGAAGGAGAGAUUUUACCUGAUUCAGUUGAUGAGUACUAUUUCGUUGAUGAGAGUGAGGUACCUGUAAAGUUUUGUGUUGUUCCGCUCAAAUGGCAUAGUGUGGAUUCGACUGAUAUCUCGGGAUCGCCUGUGUUUUUGCGUGGGAAUACUGAUUGUGGAGAUCAGUCGUUUUGUAAGCUUGUACAAGGGUGGAACUUUGAUCUUUCUGUUGAUGAAAAUCCCAAGAUUGAGGUGCUUUUACAUGGGAUGCACUGGAUUACUUUACAGAGUCCGAGAAAGAGUUAUGAGAGUUUAGUUAGAACUACUCUGGUUAGUCUUCAAUUUCUUCACUUUGUCAAAAGGAAUCCGGAUGCGUCGAGGAAUGAUGUGUGGAAUAGCUUACAGAAACUGGAUGGGUAUGCUUAGAUGUUUUUUUUUUUUUUCUCUCAGUUUAUCUUCAUUUGUUUUCUUUAAAUGUUGUCUUUGAAAAUCAUGUUUGUGCUCUUCACUCAGGAUCCAGCCUUCAGAGGAUGACUUAGCAGAUCAUGUUUCUUUACUUUCUGAAGCUAUAAAAAGGGAUGAAGAUUUAACAAAAUCGAAGGUAUGUUUUCUCUUUGGUCUUUCUUAUCUUCGUUGGAAAGGAUUUAAGAGCUGAAACAUUAUGACUGAGUCUGAUUGUAAUGAGAGCUUGAUCUAAAGAGCUGAAACAUAUGACUCAGAGCUUGAUCUAAAGAGCUGAAACAUAUGACUGAUUCUGAUUCCUUCGCUUCAAGUCUUGUUGUAGUAUUUCUGGAUCUGAACCCACAUCAAAAUGUUUGUUUUGUCUUUGGUCCUAGGGCAGACAGAUACUUUUAUUUCGGUUUUGACUUUGUUGGUUCCUGAUCGGACAGUCUACCUUUACUGAAUAGCUAGUUAAGAAUUCAGAAUACAGAUCAGUUUAGAAUAAACCAAAUUUAAUCAGAAAAGCAAGUCACAUUUAUAUAUUUCUUUCAGAUAUUUACUGUUUCACCUUGACAAUUAUUCUGCAGUGUUUGCUUACUUUUCUGGAGAAGACUUUACAAACAAUACCUAUAGAAGUGGUAAGAGCGAGAUAGAAGUGGUUUCCUUGUUCUCUGCCGCCUUUCUUGCUCGUCUGGUACUAAGUUAAUGCUUAUUAGGAACUUCCAACGCACCAUCAACAAGAUGCGCAGACACCAAUGGAACAGAACGUCAUUGUUGAUAAUAUGAUAGAUGAGGAAUUCAGCAGCGAUGAUGAUUCUGAGACAAACCUGCAGUUUGAUCCAGUCUGUUCAAUUUGUGACAAUGGUGGCUAUGUUCUGUGGUAUGCCAAGCUUCAUAAGUUUUAAAGAGUUGGUUUUAUUUCUAUAGCAACUUACAAACUGCAACAAUUUCAUUUAAUCUCCCUGUUUUGAUCUCAGUUGUGAAGGAAGUUGCUUGAGAUCUUUCCAUCCAACCAUAGCUGACGGAAUUGAGACACACUGUGAAUCGCUAGGAUUCACUGACAAGACUCAAAUUCAUGUACGGCUUAUUGGCUUUGGAGUUUCUGUUUGAUAUGCUAUUAUGGUGAGGCUCCCAUGCUGAAGUUGGUUUGCUAUAUAUGUAGGCACUUGGGACCUAUUUGUGUAACAAUUGUCUCUAUAAACAGCACCAGUGCUAUGCUUGUGGCGAAUUAGGAUCCUCUGAUGAAAACUCCUCUCAACAGGUAUUAUAUACUUGUUUAAUAUCACAGGUCAUUUUGGUGAAAUUAGCUGUAUAGAGUAGUUGAAAUCCAUCCAACUGUUUACUGCUUUGAAGGUCUUCCCUUGCUCUGCAUCAAACUGUGGUCAUUUCUACCAUCCUAAUUGUGUUGCAAGACUUCUCUGUGCUGAUGAUCAAAUCAAAUCAGAAGAACUUCAAGCCAAGAUUGCUGCUAGAGACUGCUUUGCCUGUCCUUUACACAUAUGUAAAGUCUGUAACACAAGUGAAGACAAGAAUCAGUAUGCGUUGCAUUUUGCUGUAUGCAGACGUUGCCCAACAGCUUAUCACAGAAAAUGUUUACCUAGGUAAACUGAUUUUCGUUUACACUUGUUCUAAGCUCCUAAUAGAUAUAUGUAUUAGCUUCAGAUCUUUGUUUCUUCUUUUUGUAUUCAGGGAAAUUACCUCUGAACUCAACUCUGAGGCUGACACAUUGCAAAGAGCUUGGGAAAGACUGCUUCCGUACAACCGCAUUCUUAUAUAUUGUUUGUAAGUUUAUGAAUGUUCUAAUCAGUUUAGAGUGUAUUUAAAGUAGAGGUUUCUGUUAUGGUCUUUAUAAUUCAUGGCUUUUCAUAACCUCUUGAACAGGGCGCAUGAGAUAGAAGGUCCUAUUCUUACUCCAGCUAGAGACCACUUAAUAUUUCCUGAUAUAUCUGGCCAAAGAAGAACACGAAGUCACGGGCUAGCACAGUUCAAAGAGGAUGUUCCCAGUAAGGAGACAGAUCUGGAGCAUCAUGAUGGUCUAUCUAGUUGUCCUGGUGACACUUAUAAGAAACCAAAGAAAGAUAAUAGGUUUCAGGAAGUGGAAGAGAGGUGAUGUUCUUUUUGGCGACUAUACAAGAAACUGUUACAUUAUUAGUAGUUUCAAGUUUCACCUAAUCAUUUUAUUUUUCGGGGAAGACAGGGUGAUGGGUAUAAUCGACGAAGUGGAAUCCUCGUUUAACUUUGAUGAGUUUGUUAAGUCUCGCCGGCAAACCCAUAUAAAAUCCUACCAUUCCGGAAAUGAUAUCAGUAAGACAAUCACAACAGGAUUGGUUCAGACUCAUGUCAAUGUAUGGAACUGGUUACUUUAUGAAAUAUAGAUAUGUAAUUUGACUAGUAGCAUUGUCUCUCUGAAUCUUAACAACUGUUCUGCAGGCCGCUCGAGCUGCCUUAAAGAUGUUUGAAGAAGGGCGUGACAGAGAAGCAAAAGUUAUAUUUGAUCCAGAUAUCCUACUCGAACUCAUGAAGCAUAAGGUUAUAACUUUAUAUUUCGUUAUCGUAAUCCUUUCAUCACCUAAAGUAUACUUGGAUGACUGUAUGCCAUUCUUUGAGAUACGUACACGUGAAAGAAUUUCAUUAAGGGAAAAGGUUACACAGUCUAAAACAUUCAUGUGUUUGAUGAACUGCAGAGGAAGCUUGAAAUAUAUCUUUCGCCUUUUCUCCAUGGUAUGCGCUAUACAUCGUUUGGUCGUCACUUCACAAACCAAGAGAAGCUUAAAGAGGUGACUUAUAUAUAUCAAUUGUUUACUUAACUCAUGUUUACCUCGUUCCAUCAGAGUCUACUGGUUUAGUGAUGAUUAAGAGAAGUUGAUUUAAUAGGAAUUAAUAAUGCAGAUAGUAGAGAGGCUUCACUGGUAUGUUGAAAAUGGCGAUACGGUAAAUGUGCUAAAUAAUUCCUUAACCAGUACCUCUGCUAUGCUGUAAACUAUAUUAAACAUAACAUUCUGGGUAAACUCUUGGUGAUUUCAGGUAGUCGACUUUGGCUGUGGCUCUAAUGACUUCAGUUGUUUGAUGAAAGAAAAGCUUAUGAAAACGGGAAAAACAUGCUUCUUUAAAAACUUUGAUCUCAUUCCACCUAAGGUACAACUACUACUCUUUUUACUCUUCUGUUUGAAGUUUUUUUCAUGAAUAUACAAAGAAAAAGUUUAUAAAUGCGAAGGAGAAUGAAUAACAGAAUGUUCCCAUGGCAGAACAACUUCAACUUUGAGAAGAGAGAUUGGCUGAGUGUGAAUCCAGAAGAGUUACCUGAUGGCUCUCAAUUGGUAAGAAAGAAAAUGUAAUCCUAAAGUUGAGAUGCAUUUUGUUGAAUUCAUUGACUGAGUUUUAUGUGUCUUGAAUAAAAACAGAUUAUUGGAUUAAACCCGCCUUUCGGUCACAAAGCCAGUCUUGCUAACACUUUCAUCAGGAAGGCCCUCGAGUUUAAACCGAAGAUUUUAAUCCUCAUCGUACCAAGUGAAACAAAAAGGUAUGUAAUGUAUAUAUAGCAAAUACACAGUCUCGAUCAAUAACAAACAUUUCAUAACUUCGGGUUCAUCUACAUUCAGGGUCGAUUUGAUUGCUGAUUAUGACUUGAUUUGGGAGGACAGAACAUUACUUUCUGGCAUGGUAAGUACGCCUAUAAUGACUCCAGCUCUCAUUUAUUUGAUGAAUAGCUUUCAGUCACACUCGUUCUUUUUCCCCUUCAGUCAUUCUACUUGCCCGGGUCGGUAGAUGUGAAUAAUAAAACGAUAGAGCAGUGGAACAAUAUACCGCCACCUCUUUACCUUUGGAGCCGAAGAGACUGGGGUAAAAUCCACAAGACUAGAGCACUUCAACAGGAUCACAUAACACAAAUGCAUCACUCCACCUACAACAACAAAAUUCACCACGCAGAGAUCUCUCAAGUUGAUGUUGAUAAUGCUAUGGUACAAGACAUGGAGAUAUCCCCUGCCCGAAUAUAUUACUAACUUGUCCGACUGUGAGAAAUAGAAACAUUACUACAUCCUUAGCUUUUGAAAAUAGUAUGUGAUGAAACCUUAGUGUUGUCUAUGAAACUAGUAUGGAUCGAUGAGCACAUAUUUCCAAAACUUUGUAUUUGUCAUCUCAGCUAGUUCUUGCUUCCUCCUCUGUUUUUCUGGUAGUGAAUAAGUGUAGCCAAUUUUUAAGUUCGAUGAAUGUUGAGUAGCCAAUUGUUCUUUAAUCUAUAAAAGAGUAAAGAACUAUUAUCUUACAGAAAAGGAUUAAUAUACAAUUUCUGUAAAUAAGACAAAUCCAUCUAAGCAGACAGACACAUACACUUCAAUGGAAUAAAAAUGUCGAAAAAACCAUAAACUUUCAAAUGUGGGACAAAAGAAAUAUGAACUUUCGAAAUGUCAUUUUAUACAAUUUUACCAACAGCAAAUUGAAACAGCCAAACCUUUCAUUUUCUAGUUAAGGACACGACAAAGUUGAUUGUUGUUUUAUUGCAUUGUCUUUGAGACAAUGUAAUAUUUUGCUGCAUUAUGUGCGUACUUCUUAAACAAGCAGUCAAUAAUUUCGUUUCCAAAAUGAGCAACCAACAUCAGUUCAGUGAUUGAUCUUUUCCUGUUUGCCAUCAUUUCCCCAAAUUUUAGUCGACAUGAUUCAUCGUCGUCUUCCUCACUAUCUUUGUAUGGAACUAGAUGUUCAUGUGUCUCGAAUUCGUUAAUCUCGAAUGAUCCUUCGUUUUGAAUAACUUCCCUUACCUCGUUUUUACCCGCAUCAUAGAACGGUAAGUUGAAUGAAUCCACCUCUGAUUCUUUUACAACCCCUUGCCAUAACAAAAUGUGACAUUUUAAUUUAUAUAUAUAACUAUUCUUUACUUAACAAUAAUGAAGUAUAAACUUUGUUAGGAUCUAGAAAACAGCAAGAACUAGUUUGAAUGAUUACCUCAGAGACUAAGUCAAGGAUCAGAAGCAUUUCUGCCUUUGAAUGUGAGCACCAUGCGUCCCUUAGGCAUUACUUCUUCAGACCGCAUUUUUAAGAAUAACGAAAAGUCUUUUUGAAACUGAUCCAAGUAAGCCUUUGACACAUUUAACGGGCAAGGAUUUCUUAUAUAUAUGUUCUUGUUGUUAUCCUCAAUCCCUUCAGAGACUUUAGAAAGCCAAUAGAUACUACAAGCUGAAUGAACAAAAUGAAGAGAUUUGUUCGGGAAAAGCCUCGAGUAAAACGAACCAGGGACUCCCGAGACAAAGCAACUUCCCUUAGAGCAUCUUUAUCGGUACAUUUGUAGGGAUAUAUCUUAAUGAAUUUAUAUUAUUACAAUAAGAGAGAGAGAAGAGAGAAAGAUAGAGAGAUAGAGAGAAGAAAAAUGACUUCCACUCCUGAUACGCCACGUGGCCGUAAGACUUGAGUCUUGGGCAAGAUCCGAAUGCAUCCUGACACGCCACUGUGUUAUUAUUUCCUAGUUUUUUUGAAGGAUAUAAGACCGAUGGACAUAUGCCGAUAAAGAUGUUCUUAUAGUCCAUCUUUAGCUUCUCUUGGAAAGAUGAAGCCCACUUGAAAGUCAUUUUGAAAUCAUUCAUUGGAAGAUCGUUCAGACAUAUCUCCAAGGAACUUUCAAGGGUCUGAAAUUUCUCGAAGAUUUCCAAAUAUGUCAUAUCUCCGAAAGAUUGCGCAGGCUCGGACCAAGAAUACAUGUGAUUUUGGUAGGAUGUCUUGGCUUGAACCAAGAAUACAUAUACAUUUACUUUUGAAUAAUAUGUACACGUAGAUUCCACAUCAGCGUGACUUCUGCACAAGUGGAUUCCACAUCAGCAUUAAUUAAUCAUUUAUCACGUUUUUGUAUGUUUAAGCACAAAAACUUAACUUUAGAUUUGAAUUUCAAAUUAUUUAAAAGUAAAUUUAUUUAUAACACAUACGAUAGUUCAAUGUAUAAAUUUAACACAGUAUAGUUUUGCAGGUAUGAAAAAAACCCGUUUCCGAUAUGUCAUAUUUGAAAAUCUUUAAGAAAUUUUUAAAUUUCAAUUAGCAAUUUCUCGACGACUUUUUCCGUUCUAAAUCCGUUAAAAUAGGGAUUUUCCAAAGGAUAUAUUACCAAAAAUUUCAUCUCUUUGAAGUAUACUGUUUUCUUGUACUUAUAUAUGCUUCUUCUUUUUUUGUCAACAAAAUAACUAUGAAAUUAAUUCAAGUGAAUCAAUCUGUAAGACAAUUGUUUACAAACUUAACAAACUACGGACGGACUCGUACUUUACAAGCUAAAUUAUCAGCCUUUACAUUUGCAAUUUCUUUAAAUAUGAGAAAGGAUAAGGUCGAAGAUAUGGUUUUAAUUUGUUAAUCGAAGAGGCCUCAAUAAUUUGGAAAUAUAUUAUUCCUGUUAUGUUAUAAUCGAGAAACAAUAUGAAAGUUAAAUAUUCAAAAAAAAAAUUUCUGCUUUUCUUUGUUAAAGAAUAUAUAGUUUCCGCUAUUAUUAUUAUUAUAUAAGGACCUUAUGUAUAUUGUAGGAGUAGUACGCCAACCCUAUAAUAUUUGACGUCUUACACAAACAAAAAAAUAAUAAACAAGUAGGUGUAUAUACGUUUAUAUUCUCUUGUUAAUUAUUAAACAAUGACUCGUCUAAUGUGAAUAUCUGAAUGUAUAUACAAUUCAUGUAAAUAUGGUUUUUAGGUAGUCUUGACUAAUGAUUUAUGAGUGACUCUUGCAUGCAUGCCAUGUGAUUGGUGUUCAAUAUUGUAGCCAAAACCAAAUCCCUUAAGGGUUCUUUCUUUAUUUUCUUAUCAAACGAAACGACAAGGGUGGUUUUGUAAAUUGACCCUAACCUCAAAACUGAUAACAUUUUCAUAUGAUUAUUGGUUUUGUACAUUUUUCUAUAGAUAUCAUAAUUCUAGAAACUGAAAAUUUCUUCAAGAUUAUACAUUUUUCUUCCUUGUUAUUACCAGUACCGUAAAUAAUAAUUUUCAGAAAAACAAAUCAGGGUUCUGUUUUAGUAAAUCUAGUUUUAUUACAUCAAUACAAAUACAAUACAAUAUAACACAAAUGAUUUGCAUAUUGGUAACAUUAAAAUUAUUAGUGACAAGGCGGCAGAUCAUCUGGUGGAGGCAGAAGCUGCUGAUUUGGCCAUAUUCCAUUCUUAACAAUGAACACAACAUUCAUACCCCAAGUUUGAUGUCUAUCGAAGUGACAGUGCAUGAACCAAACCCCUACAAAACACAGUUGCAACAUUAAAAAUCUUUGUUAAGUUAUGUCUUUUUGGCUCUUUUAAAAGAACAUCUUCUAGCGUACGUGGUUGGUAACAAGUAACAACACUACAAUAUAAGCAAUAACCACAAGAGAUUCAAACCUAGUCAAAGUUGAGACUAAGCAACUGUGUUAUCAAGUACUCUUGUCCCUUUAUGUUAUUGAUUUAUGUUUGUAAGAUUAUAAAUUAAAAUGUAAAGUGCGUACCGGGAUUAAUAGCUGCGAAUCUAAUAGCGAUCCAACCAUUCCUAGGCACGGUCAUUGUAUUUUUAUACGGUGGGUCGUCGAGAUUAUACGUUGAGGAUGGAUCUUCAUCACUUGUGUUAUAAUUCCCAAACCCUACUCCAACAACAUGGAAGCUAAAACCAUGGAGAUGCAUAGGAUGAUCAAGUCCACCACCAACUAAACUAGUCCCUUGAAUAACAAGCUCAACCACUUCCCCAAACUCAAGAACCUUUACCUCGGUCGCGAGCCUCGGGGUUUGUAAAAAUAGCGGUUGGUUUUCCGCGGUGAAAUUGAAAAUAUACGGUGGAAUGUCCGGAAAUCGCGUCCCGUAGACGCCUUUAAUGUGAAGGUAAUAGGCUUUUAGUAUGUCCACGUGACUAGGUGUGACAAAUGAUAUGUUGUUCAUACUGGCUGCUAAUCUUGACCCAUUUGGACCUGCACAUGAGUUUUGGGGACACCUGAGAAGAUUUAUUGAUAUCGUCGUGACUAUCCUACGCGAGACAAGAGGUGGAGCUUGUCCUGAGUAUAGGCUUUUGAUCUUGGUAAAGAAGCCGAAAGCUGCGGAUGUGUCAUUGUAAAAAGGAAGGUUUGGGUAAAUUCCUGAAAACAUUAACGUUUCGGCUUUGGAUGAAGAGAUGUAACGCAAGACUCCAAUAGUGGUUGAGUUGUUGAAUUCGAUAUUUCCCGUUUGGUAAGCUCUGGCCGCCAUGUAAUAAGUAUUUUUCGGGUUUUGGUCGGCUUUGAGUAACAAGUCUAGUGUUUCACCAGGGGAUAUGGUUAUAUAAGUAGCGUUCAAAGGCUUUGUGUAGUGUCCAUCAGCCCCAACCACGGUGAGGUUGUGAUUUGCGAUUGCGAAAAAGAGAAUAAGGUUCACCGCGGCGUUUACCAUCCUAAUGCGAUAGGUUUUGCCCUCUUCUACCAAGAGAUGGAAUGUAUCUGUUCAUGUAAAAUAACAUAAUUAUUGUAAUAUGUUUAAAACAAAACUCAUAACGGGUAAGGAAAAUAAUUAUAAAACAAAGUUUACAAAACAUAUUUCUCAUUUGAUCAAAAAUUUUAAUAUAUUUGCAGAUUAAGAAAGUGUUGUUGAAGUAGAAAAGAUAAGAAAAAAUGAAAAUAAUAAGAAGAAACCUGAUUUAGAGCAAGGAUACAAGAAACCAGGAUGUCCAUUGAUGGUCAAAGCAUCAGACACAUUAGGAGCACCUCCGGUCCUUAUGAACUCCUCCACCACCUCUCUCACAUCCUGCUUCCACCACUCUCCUGACCAGUUUUAUGAAAUUAUAUAUAAGAAAAAAAUACAAUUUUGUUUAUAAAAAUGUGAAUUUAUACAUAAGUUGUCCAUUAAUUUACCCAAAAUUAAGGGGACUUCAUGGUCCGCCUUUAGAAAAGGGAGAGAUUCCGGGAGCCAGGGAUAUAUGAAAAUAAGACCGUGUACGGUGGCACGUGUCCAAGAGCUAUGCGCGUGCCACCAAACUGUCGUGUCUUCAAUGGAAAAUAUGACUUUGUAGGUAAAUUCUGACCCGGGUCGAAUCGGGCAUUGUGUUAUGUAUUCAGGACCAUCUGACCACGGGUUUCUCGGCUGCUCUACACCAUGCCUAUAUAUGUAUUUAAACACCAUUUCGAUCAGUUAGUUAUAUACUUAUAAUUAGUAUAGACUUAAGAGAAGGGGUUUUACCAAUGCAUUGUAAUAUUUUCGCUAGCUUGGUUACGAACGGUAACAUAGAUGGUGUCUCCUUUGUAAGCUUUUAAAACCGGUCCCGGAAACAGACCAUUAACGGUUAAAAUCUUCUUUGUGCUACACAGUUUUGUAUAUGGAGCUUCCUUAACCUGCCAAUAAAUUAAAACUUCAGUUAGUUUUCAUCAAAUCAGAUUAGUUUACUAGCAAGUAAUUAUCGAUUAAUUGAUUUAAACUUACAAUGAAUGUGUAGUGAUGCGCAAUGCAAUUGUUGUAGAGGAAAAGAGAGAUUAGGAAGAAAUAAGAUAAGAAGUGUAACAUUUUGAGAGGAUUAACUGUUUCUGACUGAAGUUAAUCAAAGAAGAGAGAUGUAUAUUUAACUAAGUAGAGAUCUAGAGACGUCUUUCUCAAGUUAGUUAAUUUCGGAUUUACAAAAAUUAUGUUUUAGGAAAGCUACAAAACAUGUAAGCUAAGCUAAAUCUCUUGGUCCUAAUUUGACUAAUGAUUUCACAUUGUCCCAACAAAUAUGUAACUACAUUUCUUGAUUGGUCAAACGGAUCUUUCAAGUUAAACGAAUAACAAUACAAAUUAGUCUAGGUAAUGAUUUUUUCAAUGUUAUGUUUAUAGUAAGAAAGAUAACAUCAGUCCAAUAGUUUUGAAGACUUUUUGUGUAUUUUAGAAAACAUGUUAGUCAAAGAACAUCACUUAAUGAGUUUGGUUAGGCGAAGCUUUACUAUGUUUUUAUAUAUAUCCAAAACCAAAACAUAUUCCCAAAUUCGUUACGUUUUUGUGUUGAUUUAGUUUCUUACGUGCUAUAGUUUACAGUUUAAUUUGUUUAGAAUUAUCUUUUAAUUGUCUAAACCUUUUUAAUUAAUAUAUUUAUAUGUAGUGUUCACUAAAUUAAAUAAAAACAAGAUAGAUAAUGGAUCAUCCAUUUGGAGAUCGGUGAGCUACCAUUUCACCAAAGCUCUCUAUGUACGUACGUAUAAGUUUCCUAUUUCUUUUUUAAAGGUUACUUUAAAAAAAUUUAAAAUACAACUUUGCAAAUAAUAUUGUUACUUAAAUUAUAGAUCAUAUGUGUUAAUAUGUACUUAAGUUCUGAUAACUCUAUUAUUGUGACUAAUGAAAUUUCGAUUUUUUUUUUAAUGGUUAGGAGAAAUUUUUUGAACAUCUAAAUUUGGAAAACCUUGACUGGAGGAAAUAUAAACAUUGUUAGCUUAUUUUGUUGGUUACCAAUCUUGUUUGGAUUUCAGACUGAUAGCUUAUUUUUCUUAAGAGUUUAGAAGAUGUUAUUUAUUUUUUUAUUUGUUGCUAUUUAUAACCAUUAAGUGACUUUAAUGAUUUUAAAAGGUCACUAUUUCUUGAUGGUUGUCGUGACUUUUGAAUGAUAUUACUCAUCCAAAUGAUAUAGAACUGUCUAAAAUUAUAUGCAAGUCUUGUUAAACUAUUUUACUAAAAUGUUCAUGUGGUAAGAUAGUUAAAAAAAGGCUAUAGGCUCUAAUAUGUUUUUUUAUUACUUUGAUUUAUUUGUUUUUUCUUCUCGACUCGCACUUACGAAAAUAAUAGUUAGAUAUGGUUUUGUAUAAUGUUUUCCAUAUAGUUUAAUUUCUUGAAAAUACAUAAUUUUUAAAGGUUCAUGUAGUUUUCGAAUAUGGGUACAUAUAUGUUUUUAAUAGAUUAAUUAUCUAAAUUCUUACACAUUCUAUCGAGAAAAUUAGAAGUCCUAACAUGUAACUUUCUGUAUAAAAAAUGGUAAUCAUAACCAAUAGCUAAGGAAGAUAAAGAAAUAAAGCUAUUUGGAUUCUUAACACCAUCUGCAUGGAAAUAAAACUAUUUUGGAUGCUUAAACCAGUUAAAUCGUGGUUUUAGUUAUGUUUAUUUAAUCGUGGUGCAACAUGCUUCAAUUGGCUUCAGAUCUACGACAACAGUAAAUUACAAAGACUAGAGUGAAUCAAAUGAAUACAGUGAAAAAGUAGAGUGGAAAACAAAGUUUAAAUUAAUCAGUUCGAAAACAAAGUUUAAAUGUUUUUGUGUUGGAUUUGCUGAGGGAAGACACACCAGUUCUGUUCAAGUCCAUCUCAAAGUUCAAGGUUCGAUCCUGAAAAAAUACUUGAGCAUAUUUGGUUUUGGAUCAUUCUGGAACCUAGCGGUACAAAAUAAAUGUUGAAUGGAUACCUUUAGAUACCACAAGUUAAGUUUUUUUUGUUCCAAAAUACCAUAACUUUUUUAUUUUAUUUUUUCCAAAAAUGCCACAAAAUUUUAUUUUCCAAAAAUACCAUAACUUAAAAAAUUGAAUUUUGAAGAUGUAAUUUUUUAAACAAAAAAAUGUUUGGCUUGACAAUUUACAAUUAGGAUAUAUUUUUUAGGGGUAUGAUUUAGUAUUUAGGAUUUAAAAAUUAGUUUUGAAUAUUAAAAAAUAAAAUUUCGUAUUGUGGUUUUUUGUAAUUUUUUUUUAUUUUAGUAGUAUUUUUGGAAAAUAAAAUUCGUAAUGGUAUUUUUGGAAAAUAACUAAUUUAGUGGUAUUUAAGAGAAUUCCCCAAAAAUUAAUAUAUGGUACGGUAUAAAUGUUCGAAUGAUAAAAAAUACAACAAAUUUUAUUUUUACACACCUAAAUUUAAUUAUUUUAACUUUGUUAUAAGUAAAAUAUUUAACUAGUAAUAAUAUUAUUAUAAAAUUUGGCAAUUAUGCUAUCUAUUUUUGAUCUGUUUCCUCCUUCAAUUAUUUCCAAAAAAAACACAUGACAAGACAAACAUAGAACAUAGAAUGAUUGUUAUUCAUUAAUUAGCUUAUGACACUGAGUCUCUCAUGAGCUAACUUCUAAGGGAUACAUUCUUCUUCAUUCUAAUUCCCUUGUUACUUCAUAAGGAAGGAGAAUGCUCCGAGGGAACAAAGACGAACCAUGGACCAUGUCCAAUAAAUUCUCUAACGACGGCACUUUCUCUAACGACGGCACUUUCUUUCCCUUCCUAAACCAUGGACCAUGUCCAAUAAAGAUAGAUCUCACUGAGAAAAACAUGUUGUCAUAUCCAUGGUUUCCGAAACAUUCUUGAACGUUUGUUAUGUUUUGUUUCACCAUUAGACCUUCUCCGACCAUUCCUAUGAUCGGUGGAAUCCUAGAACUCUCCGAAUAGUGAAGCCUUUUCGGUAACUUCUCCUUCAAGUAAACCUGUAAAAACUCUCCGUUUUCUACUUUCCCUGAGCUCAAAGCUUCAUUCAUCUUCGCCACAAGUUCCUUGUUCUUCUAGUUUGGAUUCACGACAUCUUUGCCCCAUCGCGGAUUCAUUGCUAAGACCGGGCAAUAAGACUGGAUCAAAUCCGCAGGUACAUUGAUCCAAUCCGCUAAAUCAUCAAUGUAUAUCACCCUCUUGUCACAAUUAGUAACCAUUCCGUGGUCACCAAGUAAUAUCACAUGAACAUCAGUAAACACCUUCCUUUUCUUCAAUCCCUUGAUGACUCUACCGAUCAUUUUAUCAACCUUUGCGACCGCUUGUGUGAUCCGAGGAUCAUCAGGGCCAUAUUUAUGGCCUUGAAUAUCCGGUUCUUCGAGAUAUAGAGUCAUGAAAUCGGGGAUUUUGCUCUCGGGAAGAUCAAAAUAGGUCAAGACCGUAUCAACUCUUUCUUCAAGAGGGACUGAAGCAUUGUAAGGUGUUUUACAAAAUCCUUUAGGGCAAGUCCAAGAGCCUUUAGGAACGUCAGAGCCUGGCCAAUACACAGUAGCAGCCUUGAGCCCUUGGUUUACUAUAGUUACCCAUAAUGGCUCACCUAACCACCAUUUAGGGUCUAGGUUUUUGUUAUAGAAUUCUCCGGUUAUCAGAUCAGUGAAUUUGUUCAUGAUUAUACUGUGGUAAGCCGGGUAGAGUCCGGUGGCUAUUGAGUAGUGGUUAGGGAUAUUAGAUUGUGGGCUUCUAACUUAAAACCAAUUGGCAAUGAGUGGAGAGUCCGUGUCCUUCCUGGUACGGUUGUGCCAUGGCUUAAUUUCGAAGGAGUGGAUAGUCCUUGUGUCUCAUGUGUAUAGAGAAGCUAAUCGUCUUGCUGAUGGUUUAGCUAACUAUGCCUUUUUGAUUCCGUUGGGUUUUCUUGCGUUGGAUUCUAUUCCGGUUGAGGUUGCUUCCAUUCUAAGAGAAGAUGUCUUUGGUCCUCCGCGUCCAAGACGGGUCCGGUUGUAAUUUUUCUUUUUAUUCUUAAUAAGUUGGGAGAUUUCUCCCGUUUUCCUUAAAAAAAAUGUGGGAUAUUGUUAUCCCUAAUAAGGGAACGUCAUGAUUGGAAAAACCGGGAUUAAACCAGUCUGAGCUUAGGUUCCUCUCGAAAUGAGCAAAUCAAUGUUUGGUGUAUCAGUCUUGAAUUGGUAACCAAACCGGAAGUCAGUGGAAAUUAAGAGAACCACCGGUUUGUUGAGCUUCUUGAUUGGCCUGGUGUAGGAUGAUGGAGAGACUGAACUAUCGGCAUUGAUGGCUUGGACGAGGACGAUGACGAUGACAAAAACAAAGAUUAAAGAUAACUUGCACAAGGGGUAACCGGGAAAAUAAAACCGGCGGUUAGGUUUGUUUCAACGCCAUUGGAAAAGAAACAAUGAUGGUUGAUCUCAACAAGGUUUUAUAUAUCUUCUUUCUGUGUUAGUUCUCCCACGUUUUUCAGGAUCCUACACGAAUCUCAAUGGGUAAGCUUCGUUUAAGAUGUAAAGACAGCUCGUCAAAUCUUGAUAAUCGAUACGCAGUUGACGUGAGUUUUAUAUAAAAUACUAUUUGUUGACCCGCGCGUAUAUUUUAUUUAUUUAUUUUGUGUUAUAUUUUUUAUUUAUAUUUUGAUUUUUUUAAAUAUUUUGUUUUGUUUUGCAACGUUUGUUUUGUUGUUCUUUAUUAUUGUCAUUUUUUGUUAUUCUAUUUUUUCAUAUUGGUUGAUGAUUUGUCCUCACGGUGUGCAUAUGAUAAAAGGUGUCAUGUGAUUUCCUCGGCUAAGACUUCGGAAGCACUAAGACCUCGGGAAGCAAAGGAUUGGACAUAUGGACAUAUUAUGUUUGGUUCAAAGGGGUUAUCCCAAAUGUAACUUUCCAUAAGUGGGUAAGUCACCUUGAUAGAUGGCUCACGUGGCAAAGACUUGUUUCCUUGGGAUAGAUUCAGUCUUUAAAGUAUUGUCUAUGGUCAUUUGUUUCAGAAUCUUGGGACCAUCUCUUCCUUUCUUCUGAUUUUUCUGUCGAGCUUCGGAUGUUGGUCUUUUCUAGGCUAUGCCCUUAACAGUGACUUUUCGCCUCGUCGUCAACAUUGCUCUGUUGGACUCGGCUCUCUUCUUCAAUAGUCUGAGCGUUUGUCUCUUCAAGUAGUUUUCAAGUUGAUCGACCGCAAAAUUCGCAAUAUCGUAUCGUCAAGGACACUAAGAAAGCGUUAGCACAAGCUGAUGCUUUUAUGGAUUCGUUAACCCAAAUCUUGCUUAAUUAUACAGUAGCUUUUUUUUUUGUUUUUUUUUCUUGGUUAUUUUCUUAUAGGUUUCUUUUUAUAAAAUCGUAAUUUUAAUUUUAAUGAUAUUUACAUUAUAUGUAAGAAAAAAAAGAUAAAUGAUGAUACGGCGGAUGACGUGGCAGAUAAUGUGGCUGAAGGAGAAGAGAGCAAAGCUAAUUUUAUAUAUAUACUAGCAGUUGAUCCGCGCUGCGCGCGGGAGGUUUAUAAUUUUUUUGUUAAUUUUUUAUUCAUACUGUGGUAUUUUAUUUAUUUUUAUUUGAUCUUCAAAACAUAUUAUAGUUAUUUUCUCUUGAAUUAUUAUCUUUCAAUAUUUAAAUUUGGAUUAAAAGCAUUUUCUUUUUGAUAAUGUUAUAAACUAAUUUUUCACUUUCAAUUUUAUUUUUCCCCUUUAAAAUUUUAUAUAUAUAAUUACAUAAAUGUUGUUUUUAUUCUACCAUAACUUUAAAAUUUACUUACAUUCUUAAACUCAGUAACACAUUUAAAAAUUUAAACUAUGAUCAAUUUAAAAAGAAACUUGAAUUAUAUUAUUACCAUUAACUAAUAAAAAUGAAAGUAUUUCUUAAUUAACAGUUCAUUUAUUUACAUAAUUUAUUUUUAUUUAUAUAAAUUUUUCAUUAAUUAAAUAAGUAGCAUAAAUAUGCACUAAAUGAAUGUUUUAAAUUUAUUUUAAUGUGUUGUGUUAAAAAAAAAAUUAUUUUAAUGUAGAAAAAAUGUGGCGUAGGUGGAUGCUUAGGUGGCAUCAUGAGAAGAGAAAAAAAACUAACUUUAUAUAUAUAGAUAUAUAUAUACUAGUCAGUUGCCCGCGCUACGCGCGUGAGUUUUAUUAUGCUGUUGAUGAGUAAUUGGUUCGUAUUUUAUUUCCUACUUAUUUUUUUUCAUUAUAGCAUAUACUCCCUCUGUUUCAUUAUAAGUGAUAUUUUAGCUUUUUUUUUUUGUUUCAAUAUAAGUGAUGUUUUCAAUUUCCUAUGCAAAAAUUUAAUGUAUUUAAUAUUUUUUGACCAAUUAUAUUUUACAUCAUAUUUUCUUAUUGGUUGAAUUCAUAUUAGUUAUUGAUGUUUUUAUGGAAAAUAGCUAAGUUAUAUGUUUUAUUAUUUAGUGUGUCAAAACCUUAAACAUCACUUAUAAUGAAACAGAUGGAGUAUUUUUUUUUAUCUUAGAUUGUUUGUAUAGAAAACAUGUUGAGUUUUUAGCUUCAUUAGUAGUUGAAAAAUUAAGUGUGUAUAGUAUAAGUCGAUGUGUGGGUGUAAAAGGAAUUGCGGUGUAGAAUCAUAGAGAAACAUGUGUUAUUAGGGUUCCUACGAGAUAUAGAUCUAGAUGUUAAUAUUGUGAGCAUUUUUAAUAUGCUGUCUCGAAAGUUGAAAAUGAUUUAUGGGUUUCGGGCGGAUUGUUAUAUUUUUUAUUAGUUACAUUACCUCUUUAUAUAUUGUCAUAAUUUAUUUUUUUGUUUUACGUUUUUCUUUUUUGGAUUUGACGUAAUUUAUAUCUCGUUAUGAUAAUUUUUAUACGAUUAUAUAUUCGUUUCGGAUUUUCUGUUUUAUAUAUUUUUGUAUUUUCAUAUGGAAAAUUUUUAACAUUUAACAUAUUAGUAUAAUUUACUCUAUAUAUAAUUAUUUAAUUAAUUUCAUUUAAUAAUGUAUUUUUGAAACUCCCCCUUUAAUUUUCAAUUUUUUAUGAAAUAUUGUUAUUUCUUUAUUUUGUUUAUUAGUUUACCAUAUGUGCUGUAUUGAAAAAAAUUAGUUAAAUUCAUAUUGGAAACCUUUAUAGAAAUAUUAUUUUAAUUGUUACUAUUUUUAUACGUGUUUUUAAAAUGAGAUUUUAUGUUUCGUCCCAACCUAUCUCAAUUAUGUUUCGUCCCGUUAAGUCUCAUUAUAAUUUAGGUUUACAUUGUGUAAAUAUAAUAAAAUUUGUUGUCAUAUUAUUUUGAAAAUGUUUUCAUUAUAAAACAUUCACUUUAAAACUAUAAGAGAAUCUAUAAUUUAUAUAUUAGUUAGUAUAAUCGAUAAUUAGUAAGAUUUUUUUUAAUUAAUCAUCUUUUUAGUUUUAUAAUAUAAAAUAUAAGAAAAUACCUUUCAUAUUUCUUUUAGAAAACCUUAUUGACAUAUGUCUAAAUCUUAAAAUUAAAUGAUAAAGUAAUAUAAUUACUUCUUAAAAUUAAAAUAAUAAAAUGAUGUGGAUGAUGAUUAGUAUGAUGAGGUGGCUUAAGGAGAAGAGAGAAAAGUUAACUUUAUAUAUAUACUAGUCGGUUGCCCGCGCUACGCGCAUGAGUUUAUUAUGUUGUUUAUGAGUAAUUGGUUCGUAUUUUAUUUCCUACUUAUUUUUUUCACUAUAUUAUACUUUACUUUUUUUAAACUUAAAUUGUGUUUGUAUAGAAAAACUAUUGCGUUUUAGCUUCAUUAGUCGUUGAGAAAUUAAGUGUGUAUAGUAUAAGUCGAAGUGUGGGCGUAAAUGGAAGUGCGGUUGAGAAUCAUUGAAAAACGUGUGCUAUUAGGGGUUUUACCAAAUAUAUAUAUAGAUGUUAAUAUUUUGGCCCCAUUUAUAUGUUGGCAUGAAAUUUGAACAUGAUUUGUGGGUUUCGGGCGGAUUGUUGUAUUUUUAAUUGUUUACAUUAUCUCUUUAUAUAUAUUGUCAUAGUUUAUUAUUUUUUGUUUUACGUUUUCCUUUUUUGGAUUUGUCGUACUUUAUAUCUCGUAAUGAUCAUUUAUAUACUAUUAUAUAUUUUUUCUGAUUUUAUGUUUUAUAUAUUUUUUUGUUUUUUCAUAUGGAACAAUUUUUAAAUUUAACAUAUUAGUAUAAUUUACUUUAUAUUUAGUUUAUUUCAUUUAAUAAUGUUUUAUUUUAAUUUUCAAUUUUAUGAAAUAUAGUUAUUUUUUUAUUUUGUUUAUUAGUUUAACAUAUGUGUUGUAUUGGAAACAAAUAGUUAAAUUCAUAUUGGAAACUUUUAAGGAAAUAUUAUUUUUAUUUUUACCUUUUUAUAUGUUUAUAAAAAAUAAAAAUUCAUGUUUCGGUCCAACUUAUCUCACUUAUGUUAGAAACUUUUUUGAGACAUAAAUUAGAUAGAUUUAUAUUCUCGAAAUUUCUUAAGUUUUGUUUUAUUCCCGUUGAAUCCCAUUAUAUUUAGGUUUACAUUAUGUAAAUAUAAUCAUAUAUAUAUUUUAAACAUUCACUAAAACUAUAAUCUAUUAUUUAUAUAUUUGCUAGAUAAUCGAUAAUUAGUAAGUUUUUUUAACUCUUAAUCAAUUAACUUUUUUAGUUUUAUAAUGUAUAAUAUAUAAAAAAGACCUUUCAUAUUCAUUUUGGAAAAACUUAUUUACAUAGGUUUAAAUAUUAAAAUUAAAUGAUAAAAUGGUAUAAUUAAUUUUAAAAAUUAAAUAAUAAAAUGAGGUGGAUGAUGAUGUGGCUUAAGGAGAAGAGAGAAAAAGUUAACUUUAUAUAUAUAGAUAUAGAUAAGCAAGUAAUGGAACCAAGCGCGUUAGGGGCUAANNNNNNNNNNNNNNNNNNNNNNNNNNNNNNNNNNNNNNNNNNNNNNNNNNNNNNNNNNNNNNNNNNNNNNNNNNNNNNNNNNNNNNNNNNNNNNNNNNNNUUAAUAUCAACAUGACUUAACAUCAAUAAAAUUUAUAUACAAUUUUUAAUUUGUGUUAAAAUGAUUAUCAUCAUGUUAAAAUUGGGUUUAUAACUGUUUUAGGGACAACGCUUAGCCUGCUCAAAUUUCCGAGUUUGAGAAUAGCAGAUUUUUGAUGAAAUGAUUAUCAACCUACUAAAAUUUCCAAUUUCAAAUAUUUCGAGAGGAAAAGAAUCAUUCCUCUUUUUAAUUAUAUAUUAACAAAGAAAACAAAUUCUCAACAAAAUUAGUUUAAUAAUAUUUUUAAUAUAUAAAAAAUAUAUUUAAUUUAUUCAUAUAUAUAGAUUUCAUUUUUAUGAUAUAUUUUAUAUUUUAAAAUUAGAAUUGACAUGUGUUAACAUUUUACUGAUAAUAAUUAACACUUAUCAUGAUCAUGUUAAUGACCUAUCCAAUUCUAACCAUCCAUUUUAAUCCAACAGCUAUGAUAACAUCUAGGAGACAAGUUGGUCACUGAGAAAUAGAAUCAAUAUAAAAAUGGUGGUAAAAAUACUUUGUAUAUAAAAUUCUAAAGAAUAAAGUAUAUUUAUACAACUCUCCCCAACAACCCCACAAAUAAUAAUAAUAAUAAUAAAUGACUUUGUUUCUAGUUUUUUUUUUCUCAAAUUGUAUUUGUAUGUUGCAACUUGUAAUAUUAUGCAAACAACCAACAUUAUUAAACUCAAGUACUCAACUCAGCUAAGUUUAAAUGAAGCAACCAAAGGAAACUUAGUGCAAUUACAAUCUGAUGUAAUUAAAAUCUAAUGAGAAAUUAUUAUCAAGAAACAACACAAGAUUAUGCCAAGAAUGUAAUAAAUCAAUGGUCCAAUAACCACCAAUAAACUCUACUGAAAACUUCUCAACUCUAAUGUGUAACUUUGUAAGUCUCACUGUAUUACAAAUGUGUCGCUAUUGCAUAUACAUGCCUCACUCUCAAUAAGGAACCUGUAACUCUAUAAGAAGUAAGUAAAGCUGAUUGCUGCAUUGCUUCCUAAAUCUCUGAAUUCAACUUCAGAAUGGGUUACUCGUGGAUGUGAUUGACGCCCUGAUUUUUUUGACAAUGCUCAGAAUUAUUUCAUAUCAUAGUAACGAGAUGCCGAGCCGUAAAAAGACAGUAUAGAAUAUAGAUCAGUUUCAUGUGACUAACCAAGCCUGCUUGCAUCUAAUUGCUUCUUCCCGAACUCUCCGUUUUGGAUCAUCGAGGGACUUUGCGAUUGCUUUUAAAACCUUUAAGUUGAGAUUUCAAAGUCAUGAGACGCAUUUCAUACUCUUUUAACAUACUAAAAAUCUGCGUUCUUGAUCUUUUGACUAACCUGUCUUCUGAAAGGAUAGAUUCUUCUAUGCGGCAAUUCCAACAGCGUAGCAAGACACUGAAUCGCUGUCUCCCUAACAACCUGCAUACAGUUUAUUUGUUACCAUUAGAUGCUGAUACUUGUGGUCAAUAAAUCAAUUCCAUUGAAAUCAGAUGCUACUGAAAGGAAAUUUAUUGCUUACCAAUAGAUGCGGAUAUGAUGUAAGCUUAACUAGGCAUUCAAUGAUUAUAUGUGCAUUAUCUUCGGCAGACUGUUGUCCUGCAAACAGUUUAACAGUUAAUGGGCAAUAAGAAAACUGUUGUUUCUCAUGAGAAAAGAAUGAAUCUGAAAUUCGUUUUUGAUGUUUAGUAGCCACUGAAUCACUCAGCCACCUGAUCAUAGCCAAUAAAAUCAUUACCAUAUUUUCAUUCUUUAGGUGCUGGCGCAAGAAAAUUAAAAGCCUAUAAGAAGUGUUUCGUCUUCGACAAUUAAAGCAAGUUUGAUAUACUGUAAUAAGCUUUGGCAUUCCAGUAUCUAACUUUUCUUACCUUUAGUAUCAGUAAGCGUUCCAGAUAAAACCAGUAACAAACUGAAGAGAGUUUCUUUCUCCACAGAGUCGACGCUUAAAACAGACAAGCCUUCCAGUAUCAUCGGUUGUAGCUGCAUAGACCAACGAAAGAUAAGAAAGUGUUUCUAAAGGUACAAAAUACAAAAUCUAUAUGAAUGCUUACCUUUUUGGUGUUGUCCAAUAUGACCGUUACUGGAACAUUGGAUAUGACAUGCGCAAGAGCCACAUGCAACAUUUUUCUGAAACAAUGACGAAACCAGUCAGAUAAAAUCAAAAAAUUAAAAUUUACAAUAAACUGGAACUUGCUUAAUUAUGAUGAGCAUUUGAAACGUGAUGCAACAAAGAAGCCUAAACAGUAUGACUUUAUGUGCUAGCUACACCUAGCCAAAAUUAAACUAGCAAUCUUCAAGAGGUCUUCUUAUUGUUCCAAAAAAGAACACUAGUAAGGUUCUUGUAGGUGCAGUUACAUUCUUUCUACGGAAAUGACCAAAUCUUUUUUUAUGGAAGAGUAGUAGAACCAAUCAGAUAACUUCAUAUAACAGAGUAACAAUACUUAUAUACUUAAAGAUUGUAUACCUCGAUAGUGGAGUCUGAGAAUUCAUAAUCAAAGACUCCAAAAUGGGAAUUAUUAUAGAGAAAAACCGCUGCUUAUAGAGUGGCCGUAUGACUGCAUGAAAUUUUCUGUUCAGACACACUUCAGAAUCAGACAUUAGUAUGGAGAAUGCAUCUGCUGCAUGUUUCAUGGCAGAAGGAUGAAGAGCAUGCCCGGAAGAAUUCGUGGAUUUUAAGCACUCCACUAGUACCAGAGCUAUUUCAUUGACUCUUUUAUCACCCCGCAUGAGUAAACCUUUCCCAAUCCAUGCUAGUCCUGUGAUAGCAUGGGUUUGAAGCUCCAGCGAACCACAGAAACCUAAACAUAUCUUUGAUAAGGUUGCCUCACUUCCACAUGUAGUUUUACCAGAUCCAUUAGAAGAAACCAUUUUUCCCGAUGCAAAUUCUGCGUGAAAUAUUAUAUCACAUGCUUCUUCCAAAGAACAAUCGCUUGUGAUAGAUGUUCCGCCGGUACCUCGUCCCAAUUUGUUAACAAUUGACCCCAACGCUUGAGCUGCUGGAAUAUAACCCUUAUAAAGUGAGACCAAACACAGACGUAUAAGUGAUUUUGCAUCUGGAAUGUAUGCUGCGGGAGAUGCAGCUAUGAUAACUGAUGCAUAUAGUGAAAGCAUCAAUUCAUCCCUAGUGGACAGGUCACGUUGUAGACCCUCUAAGGCAGAAAAGGUCAAAGGUAUAGACUCCAUAGCUGCAAGUGUGCUUGACGUGACCACACUAUAAGCUUUUUGGAUUAUACUGUUCUGUGAAUCUACCAAAGCGAUUCCAACAAUUUGCCCCAUUGUUGUCAUUGCCGCCUCAACAAACUCCUGUUGUAGAAGGGGAAUUAAAUUCAUACCGUAAAUUCAUAACAUUCACAUUAGAUAAAUCAAAGCUACUUUAAAGAUAAAUCAAACCGAGCAGCGAGCACUUACCCUACCAUUAAAAUCACAACUGAAAACUCCACAGGAUUCAAAUUGGUUCCACAUACUGAUAGCAAAAUGUACCAAAAAUUUCUCGAGACCAUCUAUCUCGGCCACACUAUUUGAGAUCAAAACAAAAUACCACAAGUCAAAGGACUGAUACGAAUUGACAUGCAAAAAAGGAACGAAGAAUAUUGAUCUUGACAGACAGAAGGUAUAGAAAAAAACAAUCUCCAAUCAGAUGAAAAACAGUGAAGCCAUACACAUGAAUGCACCACAUAUAGUUUCUAAGUUUUCAUCCUCUGAACGGUAAAACUUGCAAAUGAAUAAAAUACGGCUAAGAUCGCAUCUUUGUAAAAUACUAAUAUUUAUCAUAUUUUCUCCUCUCACAAAGUAAUUAUAGUUAUCAUCUCUAGUUUAUGGAAUAGUAGAAAAGACUUUUGCUAUUCUAUUGCUUGUUGGUUUCCAUGUGUUUAUUAUAAACACUCUCUGUUAGGUUAAUGUGACAUCUACUGAGUUAGAAGGGAUUGACGAAGGCCAAUAACACAUUAAACCUUAACAGAGAGCCUAAAUACUCUACUGAAGUAUGGUAGAGAUUAAAAUGGAAACUAACAAGCAAGGCAUGUACCCUAGUAUCAUCCAGAACUUUUUGUUUUCUACAAACAGCUGAAAUUCUAACACACACGCUGGCAAAGCUAGAUUAUUUAUGAGGUAUAAGAAAUUUAAGAAAAGUUUGGAUACCGUGGAAGCAAUUUGUUGGUUAAACACCUCAGGAGCUGAGAGCAAUUGUCAAUUGACUUGAAGUUGCCAUUGACCUGACAAGUGUUAUCCAAAUAGUAGUUAGAUACAAGGAAGCUCUCGAUCCCUUGCUUGUUGGAGACAGAAACAGUCUGGCCAUAAUAGCAAGCUCUUAACAUCGAGCUGGAGAUAGAAACAGUUAGCUAGAAUAUAGAUGAAAACUUUAUGAUCGCGAGUCAUGGAGGAAACACAUACAUAGAAAUCAGACAAACUGGAACAAAAAGCUUCUUCCAAUCCCAGAACCAUUUUCUCAACAUACUUUGGCCCAGUGGAGCAAACUUCUGAAGUUGCUUCUAAUAUCAUUGGAUAUGGAAGACCACAUUGACUAGAACAGGCCAAUGAGACCAAAUUGUUGACAACUAUACUCAUGUAGCAGAUAGCCUUGUCAGUCUCAUGAUACCGAUCAAUAAAUGAGCCGAUGCAGACAAGUGCUUUCAACGCCAGUUCCCACACCAUUGGUUUACCACUCUUGGAUGUGAUGAUUGAUGUUAAGGUCAUCAAAAUCUUCUCGAAUUCGGAUCUCGAAACAGGAGAAGACCCACCCCAAAACAUACCCAUAGUCAGCAAACCCUUUACUGCAUUGAUUCAAAAAAAAAAAAAAUAGGAUUCAGUAUUACAUUAAAGUAGCACGAGUUCCCUUUAUUAAACUAGAGGCAAGGGCAAGAACAUCAAAGUAACCACAAGCAUUCACCUCCAAAAUAUACAUCCGCAACAGAAUCAUCACCAGAGCUGUAUACUGCAGAAGCAAACACCUGGAUCAAUGGAACUGAGAAGCUUUUCACUGUAGAGCACCAUGAUUCCUGUGCACAUUCAGGAGUUGGAGAACAUUUCUCAAAAUCCAGGAUAAGAUCUUUUGAUGCUGCAAGAAGUUCGAUGCAAAGAUGAAGACCUCCAUGGUAGAGUCUGGUAGAGACCGUAGAGUUUCCGUUUUGAACAAUAUCGCCAUUAGAAGUUUUCUCUACGAUUCCUAGGGUAUUCAUAAGGCGGAAGAAAAAGGAUUGAAAAAUUAUAUUGCAUGACUGAACCGAAGCUUUGGCAGAAACAGACAGUAUCUGACUGAUAACGAGAACCUCCUGUUUGGUUAUGUCAGGCAUUUCUUUAUACUGAGGGUAUCUAGAGAUGGUAUCAAAUACCGUGUUUAUACGUAUAUCAUCAACGACUAAACCUAAAAAGGAGAUAUCUUGCUUAACAAGCCUCUGAAGAAGGCUAGCAGCUUCACUGUGAAUCUCAUUCAUUUCAAACCCUGGAGUAGUGAUGGAUUCUAGAGCAAAGGACAAGUGUGCCCCAGUGGAAGAAUAAAAUGUAUCUUUCAAAGCGGACCAAAGACCUUCAUAGUGCUUCUUCAUUCUGUCAACUCCAUACUUCAUAGUGCAAUCUUUCAGACAUUUCAAAGAAUCAACCUAGACAGAUUUGAGUGGAACAAAAUAACUACACUUAUCCAACAUCCAGAGUGGCAUAUAAUCUAGAUGUGUUAGAACAGAAACUACAUGUUAAACACACCUUUGCGAUAGGUAGAGAAGAAGAAAGCUUUUCAAGAAGCAAUGGAAUAGCAUAAGGCUCAAAAAGAGGUGUCGAAGAGAUAGCCAACUGCAAUAUUGAACAACGUACAUCAGUGAAUUCAUAAUUCCUCCAUUUAAACCUAAUACCUUUUCAUUCAUGCUUGCAACUGAAAGGCAUACUUAGUUAGAAUUAGAAAGCAAAAUUAACUUUUCUAUCUUCAAAACUAAAGAAAAGAGAAAGAUUUAUAAGAUCAAAAUUUACAGAAAUGCAAAAUAGUUUAUCUGUCAAAUCUUCACACCAUUUUCUAAGGGUCUAUAACCUUUUUCUUUUUAAAGAACUCUUAACCAGAAUAAUCAAACUUAAUAUUUAACCUUUAGAACAUAAACAAUUGAGCCACAAUAAGAGCAUAAACUUUAUGCACAUCAUGAAUAUUGACAAGAUGCUCACCAUUAGUCCCCUUGAGAGGUCCUCUCUUCUAAUAUUAGCUUCAUCGUCUUUUGCCUAACAACCCCAAAGAAAGCACACUAAACAGCUUAGUGAAAGAAAGAGAACCCCAUCUAUAUAUCAAUCAUAGAAAGGAUAGGCUUUAAACUCACAUGCGUAAAAUGAAGUGGGAAAUAGCAACCAAAAACCUCAAAAAGAUCAGAUGCCUCAGAAGCAAGUGGACCAGAAGGACUGGGGAACAACUGAGCCAAAAGCUCUAUUAGAUGAAAAGCUACUAUUAAGCACUGAGGGUCUUUUUCUCCAUCAAUGGCUUCACAUGUAGCAUAAACAAGUAGAUUUCCCUAGGAAACGGAUAGUCAAUAGAAUUAGAACAAAGUAAGGAAAGGCCGCGAGUAGAUCUAAACAAGAAAUAGAAAAAAACAGAAAAUUAAGAUGAAAUUGCAUGCAUUUUGUCUGUAUAGACUAGCUAAACUAGGAAAAUUAGGAUAACCUGAAUGUGACCCUUUUAACAAGCCGAGACCAUAUAAUACACAUUUGCAUGUUUAGAUUCUUAUUUGUCUUCCUACUAGGCUGACAUAAAUAGAUUUAAAGAGCCAUAUACUACAUAUUUGCAUAUUGAUAUAACUAUUCAACUUUCCACCAAAUUGCCGCAAAAUAGAUUUGCAAGAAAACAUUCAUCAUACAGUAGAUCGAAAUUUCAAUUCUGAACUGUAAUACAUAUCGGCAAGUAAAGAGUAUUAACUAACAUACAUACCAAAGUCUUCAUAGCUUCAGAGUAAUGUUGUAGAAGGCACUCCAGAAGUUCAAAACAGAGCUGCAAAGAAAGUAGUACAAUAAUUCAAGAAAAAAAAAACUUCAGAUAACAGAUUUACCACUUCAUACCUUGCGAUCAUGCGGUGCUAAAGCUUGCACUUGCACAUUCUGUAUCAUUGACUUCGCCAUAGCUUGUGCAUCAAUGUCAGUAACCACACCAGCUACAUCUUUCCUCUUCAUUAAUGCCAAGCAACCAACAAGCGCCCCACGCAGCGCUCUCCAAUCUGCCUGAUACAAGUACAACCAAAUCAUUACAUCUCUAUGAACAAAUAGAAUCCAAUUUGAUAAAAUCAAACUACAAAAGCAUCACAAUCACCAGCUUUUCAGUAAAGAAUCCAACGAGAGUAUGAACAAUAGCAUCAGUCAACGGCUUCGCUUUCAUAGAAUCGAGAAUCUCCGCAAGCAGUAGAAUCCCUAAUAAACAAUUAAACACACCAAUUCCACAAUUCCGUUCGGAUUGAUACACACAAAACUCACUAAAAUCUAAAGCCAAUUCGAAUUACCUCGUGCUCGAACAACAUAAUCAGUGGUAGUCAAAUACAUCUCCAUCUCUAAAACCUAAAAAUUACACCAAUACAGAGAUUAACAACACAAGAACACAAGACUAAGGAUGAAAAAAGUGAGUGUUGUGAUGAUAAGUUUUACCAAUUGGUUGAUAGACAAAGAACCAUUCUCCAAAGAAGAAGCAAUAGCUUUAAGACUAUCAUCCUGAGAACGAAAACAAAACCUCCAUGAAACUGUUCUUCUAAGUUCAAAUACGAGAGAAGAGAGAGAGAGAUCAAAACGUACCUGCUCAGUAGGGGAACGAGUAAUGUCAACAAAAGUUUCGAGAUACUGUGUGAGUUGCUGAUUUGGUUCUACCAUCCUCGCACGCAGAAGCUUUGAGUAGAUGAUUUAGGGUUUUGUGAUUUCUGAGGAGAGCUUCCACGAGCUCCGACGAGAAGAGGAAAAACUAAAAAGAGCGGCUAAAGGAAGUGUGAGGAGAAGGAGGAGGAUGGAGUGGUGUUUCUGUAAUUUAGUUGGGUUAUAGAGUCUUUUUUCGUAACCAGACUAUAUAUUACGUGGCGAAUAUACAUUGGUGGGCCUGUAACGCUCGCUUAUGAGUUUGUGCUUAUGAGAAUUUGGGCCUGUCACGUCAAUUCUAAUUUUAAGUGUUGUGUUCGGCUUUGAAUUUGAAAUGUUUAAAACUAUUUUAAAUACUUUCUUUUAACAAAACAAAAUCUAAUUUUAUCUUUAUUUAUUUUUAUUAAUUAUUAAUGCAUAUAUGACAUGUAAUUAAUUUAAAUUUUUUCUGAAUAAAAAAUAUUUGGUAGUUAUAUUUUAUUGUAUCGUUAUUUUAUAUAUUUUUUUGUCAACAACUUUCGUAUAAAGGAGUCAAAUGAGCUAAGAAGAAAGAAUAUUAUUUACAUAAAGACAAAGUAGUUGUUCAACACGCAUUCGGCAUACCAAUUUAUCCGCCUGAAUAUUAGAACAAUAAAGAACUUUUAAUAAAGAGAAAGAAGAAAACACUUUCCUAUUUGUAACGCCCGUGUCUGGAAAACCGGGUGGUAUCGAUUGACACCAAAGAAGGGUGUCGAUUAACACUAGUAAUUUUUGGUUCGGCAGUUUAAGUUUUAAAUCGUCGGUCCAAUUGGGAUUGGUUUGGGGGAAACCUAGGGCGACUUAAAGGCUUAAGGAUUGGCCGUUUUCCUCAUUUUAGAGUCCUUUGUCGCUUUGUGAAGGUUGGGACAAAGCAGAGAGUGAGUUUGAUUUUUUGGUGCCUUUGAAUAAGUUUUUGGAGCGAUCAAAGCUUGUUCUUGGUGGUUCAAGGCUAUAAAAAGGUAGAUCUGUGGUGUUUGGGGUCUGUGGAGGUUGUUUUCACCCUUGCAAGCCCCGUGGUGUUCAAGCCCCUGUUCGUUGCUGUUCUUUCUUGUUUAAGAGGUGAGUGCAUGACCAAAGCUUAUUUAAGCACUUUUCAUCAUUGUUUUGGGUGUUUUGAUGAUUGUUGGAUUGAUUUCCUUUUUUGUUGGGCUGUUUAUGUGAUGAUCCCUGAGAAACCACUUGGAGACUCGCUCUUACCAUGAGGGUGAUUUGGAGAGGAAAUCCAGUGAGAAAACGCAGCUGGAGCGUCUGCAGAGUGUCGGUGGGUGGGUGUCGCUGCGUCUGCAGAGUGUCGGUGGGUGGGUGUUGCUCGACACCAAUGUUUUGUUCCGCGAGGAUAGCUUCGACUCGCGAAUGGAGUGUCGUGCCCGGUGUCGACCGCAAAGUAGUGGGAUGAUUGCCUCACGAAGUAUUUAUGAAAUACUUACGCAUCUCUUUCCUAUGAUGCAGGUAAAACAAAAGUGUGAUCCGUGGAAUCAUGUCGAGGAGAGGAGGAUGAUCUAGUCGCUCAUUGGUGUUUUAGAUUAUGGUUGCAUUUGUUAGGGUGUUAGAAUGGAAUUUAGAAGCAUGUUAGGAUGAUCAUGUUCUAGAAUAAUAUUGUUGAACUGCUUGGUUAAUGGAAAUGUUUUAUUGGAUUUUGGUUAAGUCUUAUGUUGGUUAAUUGUUGAUUGGUCUGGUUAAAUUGAUUUAAUUAAUUAGUCAGUUUAGCUGGUUUGAUUUAAAUGGGUUAAUCUGGUUUGCAUGUGUUUAAAAAAAAACGAGAUGGGUUCUUUCACUAUCUGCUUGGAUCUUCUCUAAAUAUGUCGCGAACGCUGACCAUUCUACUGGGGAAGACACCAUCUCCACCAAAUCUGAAUAGUCUGUAAAGAAAGUCACUUCACUUUGGGAUGCAUCGAUCAUAAUUCAUACACUUCAUCGCCCACACCAAUUCUUCUACCUCCGUAUGUAGCGGUGAAAGAAUCAUUCGUAGAUUAGCCGCACCCAUUGUUGAGAGACCUCAUGGUGAAGUACGUAUCUCCUGUAGCACUUACCAUUACUUUAUAGGGUGAUUUACUGAAUAACUCACUUUUGAGUUGUGAUAUACGCUGAAAGUCACUUUAUAAGCUUCACCAAAUUGUUACACUGUUUGAUCCCAAUAAAGACGAAAUCGGCCUAAUAAAGUAAAACAAAUAAAGUGAGAAGAAGGAGAAAUCGUUGGCACAGUUACGUAGUUAGGAUACUUUUUAAUUAUAAAAAUAUUGGCUUGGUUUUUCUUUCUCCUCUUUCUCUUUCUUUCUUUUUUUCCUUUUACGUUUUGUUGUUGUCAUUUUAAAUCGUUAAUAUAAAAGUUUUCAAUUUUGUUUCAUACAAUAUAUGCUGAUUAUUUAUUUUCUAUAUUUUAAUAUGCAUUUUGAUAUCUC